CUCUCCUCCAUCAAAAGUAUCCCCAUCUUUUCCGACAUGGCUGCUUCUUCAAUCUUCAUGGCAACUCCCAUCACACUCCUCAAGAAAACUCCCACCUUCUCCGUCAAAUGUAUGUCACAAACACCUCAAAGCGGUGAACCGGGGGUUUCAAAACCAGCAACCACCCCAACACCACCACAGAUCAACAUUCCUCCUCCUCCGCCACCUGCUCCAAAGGUCAGCACGAAGUUCUCUGACGUGUUGGCGUUUAGUGGACCUGCACCGGAGAGGAUCAACGGAAGGUUAGCCAUGAUAGGGUUUGUGUCGGCGAUGGCUGUGGAACUGAGCAGCGGUCAAGACGUGUUCACCCAGAUCGGCAACGGCGGUGUUGCGGUGUUUGUCGGGACAAGUGUGGUGUUGACGUUGGCGUCGUUGGUGCCGUUGUUUAAAGGAGUGAGCGUGCAGUCGAAGUCGAGUGGACUGAUGACAUCAGAUGCAGAGCUUUGGAAUGGGCGGGUUGCGAUGUUGGGUCUGGUGGCUUUGGCUUUUACUGAAUAUGUUAAAGGCAGUGCCCUUGUCUAGAUAAUGUAUCAUAAACUUUUCUAUUACAGAAUUACAUCUAAGAUAGACAAAUGUAUAUUGUUUUGAAUAUUUAUGUUUAUCGAUUUACCAUACAUAGUUCAAAUCAUAAAAAGCAUGUUUUUUGAUAAUAUAGUAUAAAACAAAUAUAAUAUCAAUCAAAUUGAACGAUGUUGUGGUAUCUUUCAAUAUAAAAUUCUCUUUAUAAAAAUAAACAAACAACGUACUAAGAUAAAUUUUAGAGGAAUGAACUUAGAUUAGCAAUAUAAGAGUCAAAGUCUACAAAUUAAGGUAUUGAAAUCCUAGUUUCACAACUUCCUCUUUGAAUGUUGAACUGAGGUGAUCUUCAUUAAUUCAGACUGAAUAAGUGACUUAGUCCAGCCUAGUCAAUUAGCUAAUUUAAGAUGACAAGUAUCCAAAAUUCAAAAACAUUAUAGAGCUCAAUUUCAAACAAAAGUGACAAAUGACUAAUGCUCACAAAACGAUCACCGAAUCAUUCAAAGCAUUUACUAAAAGCCAGUCUAAUUCUUAUUGGUUUGAAAUCUAAUUUUAUCAUCAACUGUAUACAAGAUUGAGAUUGAUAUCAGAGUAAUAAUCUCUAAAAGCAAAAUAAUGUAUUCAAAAGAAUAUAUAUACAAAAUGAAUUAUGUCCCAAGCAGUACUGUGCAUGAGUAUAAGAUUACUAUUAUGUUGGGAUCCAUUAAUUGAUAACUAAGCACACUUCCAAAUUUACUAUAUGGAAUUUAGUUAAGGAUUAAUGUCAAGUGGGGUGCAUCCACCCCACUCAAAGGCCUUGUAUAUGUUACGGUCCCAAGUGAUAUUUUAUAAGGGUCUUUUUGUAGUUUUUCUUUUCCUAAUAUAUUAACAUUUUUUUUUGAUAUUUUUGGAACUUUUUAUUUUCUGAGAAAAGUAUACAAAAUAAUGUAUAUACAAGCUUACUUGAAGAUAUGAUCGUUUAUGAGGUUAUUCAAGACUUAUUCUCUUGAAGUAUCUAUUCCUAGCUAGAUAUGAACAAAUGUGUUUGCAUUUAUCCUUUUUUGCCCUUUGUCAAUUCUUGACUAAUAAGGUAAUGGUAGUUCUUGGUGAGGGAUUCACCUCUGUAUUGAUUCUUCAUUCUAUUUAAAUGUUUGGAUUCACCUCUGUAUUGAUUCUUCAUUCUAUUUAAAUGUUUGGAUUCACCUCUGUAUUGAUUCUUCAUUCUAUUUAAAUGUUUGGAUUCACCUCUGUAUUGAUUCUUCAUUCUAUUUAAAUGUUUGGAUUCAACAAUGUCUAGUUGAGUAGUUCUUUAAAAGCACAUUCUACCAUAUGCAUCUUUAUGUCAAUAUUAAUUGGGGAUUCCAUAAACUGAAACUCUUGGAGCUCAAUAGUGUAGUUGAAAAACUUUUGUUGAGCCCACCACUUACAUGAAAUAGGAGACUUUUUUCAAUAAACUAAGUGGUUCCUUCUUUAUGGAUCAUCUUUUCGUUUCUCCUUUUGAAAGGUCCCCUGGUGAUACUUUUAUGUGUUAAUGAAACUCAGUCCUUAUGGCAUGCUUUUUGGAUAUGAUAGUACGUGACUAUCAAGAGCUUAUUUCUACUCAGUAUAGUCAUACUCUCAUAAGUCUCUCAAGAUUUUACACUCAGAAGCAUCGUUAGAUUGUAUGGCUACCUACCUUGUACUAUAAGCAUGUUUAUUAACAUUUAGGGAUUUAUUUAGAAGGAUAUCAUUUUUCAUAUUUUUUGUCUAACACCAGAUCUUUUUUCUCAGCUCAAUUGUUUCAAGUAAAACUAAGUGUCUUCUUGAUUCGACAACAAACCAUUGGUCAUCUUUCCGAUUUCAAGUAUUUUGCAUAUCCUCUCAAAACUUCUUUAUUUUUUAACACAAAUUCAAAAACUAUUAGGUAUCGGGAUUUUAAGGCUUCUUUAUUUUCACCCUCAAUUAGAUUCAUAUUUUUCAUUGCCUUGCAGAUUUCCUUUUUAGUUUGAGUCUAUUUAUCACGAGCCUGAAGUCAUUUUCUUCCCCUACCCUUGUUAGUUUUGGCUAUUGCUAGUGCACGUACUUCAUUGGCUAAAUGAGAAGACACCUCGAUAAUGGUGGAUGACUUGGUGAAAUUUAUAGGUUGUUCCUUAGGCUAUCCAAAGUGGAGGUAGAAGAAGACGCAUGAUGCUGAAUGGACAUCCAAGUCAUGCGUGAACACUGCCCGAUGGCUUGGCUAUGGAGUCUCCAUGAAGACGAUGCAUUCGAUUGGUUUAGAAUCUGGUCCCUCAUAUUUUCUCUCCUCCUUUUUGUCCCUUCACUACCAACCCACCGGUAAACACCAUUUCCACAACCUAAUGGGUUGAUUGUGGAAUGGUAAACUACCUAUGUGGCGCUGAGUUAGAAGGUGUUUUGGAUAUAACCACUCCCCACAACCUUAGCAUUAGAACAUCCUGAUGCUCCACAUGAACUAAGAACAUCACUUAAUCUUCAUUAAAUACUUUGGGGUUGUACUCAUAAAGUAAAAUAUCUCCCCCCUUAGACAUAUCAUCAUUUUCCUCAUCUGAUGACCAAGGAAUUUGUGGAGAUAUAUGUGACUUUGGAUUAAAGGGGGUUAUAUUGGUCAUCCUUUUUAGACAACUUUUUAAAUUAAUCAAUCCAAGCUCCUAUACCGACGACAUUUUCUGGAAUCUCUUUAGAUGGGGAUGAUGGUUCAUUAAGCGACGACAUUUUCUAACCGUGUACCGACGACAAGUCGUCACAGACAAGUCAGGAUAGGUCAAAAAAGUCGUCGGCAUAGGUGUCGUCGGGAUAGGUACCCCAUAUACCGACGACAUGACGUUGGUACAAGUACCGUCUGGAAUGAUUUUCGAGAAAAAAAAUAAAGUUUUAUUAAUUACUUGUGGCGACGACAUGUCGUCGGGACAGGUGCCACCUAUAGCGACGCCAUUUUGUCGCCACAUGUUUUCCACAAAUAUCAAUCAAAUACCUAUAGUGGCGACUAGUCGUUAGGAUAGCCACUGGGUGUUUUUUUUUUUUUUUUUUUUUUUUUUUUUUUUUUUUUUAGUUUUUACAGAUUUUGUACAUUUACCAUUCGUGCAUUUUUAACAAAUCCAAACAUUUUGCAGCAUAUAUCAAAUAAGAUACAAUAACUGGGUACCAUUGUUUAAAUUCAAAACAUCAAAUUCAAGUUUAAUAUUACAUACCGAAUUAGAUAAAAUAAGUAGUUAACAUUGUUCAAAAUAACACAAAACAUAAACAUCAUUAUAUUCUUUUUUUUUUCUUCUUCUUCUUCUUCCAUCCUCUCGGGUUCACAUUUUGUUGAGAGGUAUUUCCUUGUGAUGUACUUCCUUCUGUGUUGGAAUUGAAUAGAAAACUAGCAAACGGUGGUGGUUGUGUAACAUCCCAAAAAUUUUAACAAAUAUGAACUUUUCAAAACAACCCAUUUAUUAACAAAAGUGUUUACAAAAACAUGAUUUAAAAUUAGAGUCUCCCAAGAUCCACUUUGUUCUAAAACCGAGGAUGCGUACGGUCACGCCUUUGCCUUGCCAUGAAUCAUUUGAAGAAACUGAAACCAUAAACAAAUCGUAAGCAAGAAUCUUAGUGAGUUCCUCCAAAAUACCACCGCACAAACAGAUAGCACAUAAAUAACGACAACAUGUACUAGGUCCACAACUAAAAGACUGGAUUACCCCUGAGCCUAUAAUAUGAAUCUGGCUUGCCUAUUGGGCCCACAACUCAUAUCUGGUUUGCUCUUGAGCCCACAACAUAAGUCAGACUUGCCCCUGGGGCUCACAACUUAUGUCAGGCUUGCUCCCAACUCAAUCAGUCAUCGGACUAGAAUACCAAUGUUCAGCCCUGUGACAACCUGAAAUUUCCAUUCUGAACAAACCAUAUCAAUCCAAUAGAAGUUAGAACAGUUACAAUGAAAUUCCAGACUUUGGGCAUAAGUUUGACAGUUUUUCAGGAUUUACACUUAAGGAGAUAUCAGGAGAGUGGAUGCACUAGGGUUUUGUGCAACACUGUUAUUCCAAAACUCUAGGAUAUUAGGGUUCAAUUCCGGAAUAAAAAUAUUUUCUGCCAAAAAUCUCAGGACUAUAUAUAGAAAUCUGAGCCAUAUUCAUUCAUUAGUUACAUUUCCAACUAGAGAAAAGCCAAAUUCUCUCUCACGGAUCUUCAGGUUUUUAUCCCAAAUCGUGAGUACUUCUAUCUAGUUGUAUUAUAUAGCUUAGAUUGUUUUUUAUAACAUCAAAAUCGGAUCAAAACCCCAAGAUUUGGGAGUUUACCGCCCAAGAACACUUGGAGAGUAAACUCCUUUUUAAGGGCCAAAAGUGUGCCCAAUGUCCCUCAAAGCCUUGGGAAUGAACCUAGAAGCUACCAUUACAUGUUUAAGACCACAAAACAAUUAAGAAUCAUGGCUAGAAGUGAGUUCACGGCCAAGGAAGUUCUUCGUCCGUGAACUCCAUUUUUAUGUGCCAAAAUGCCCUAAAAGCCUUCCUUAAGCCAAGAGACUAAUUUAGACAUGUACCUAGAUGAGUUUAGGACUAGCAAACACCUUUAGAACACCAAGAGUAAGGUGUUCACGGCCCAAGAAGUUCUAGGGUCGUGAACUCCAAACAAUGGUGCCAAAUGGUGCUAUAAACUCUCCUAAAGCCUUGGACAAUUUCCUUGCUUCAUUCUUAGAUAAAUUAGGGACUUGAAAACACCACAAACACCCUCCUAAGGGAGAUUACGGCCGUAAUCUCCAUGGGAUAUGGUCCAUGGCGCGUGAACUCCUCAAAGGAGUUAAAAGGAAGCCCAAACACUUGUUUAAGCCUAGAAGCACUUCACCACUUAAGUUGUAAUAAUGUUAGGCUUCAUUUAGUGACCCUAUAGAGAGUUUACGGCCAAGAGUUUACUCCCCUAGGCCGUAAACUCCAACACAUAUGGUCUUUUGACCAUAAACUCCCAUAAGAGGUCUUGCACUCCUUUGUUGCAACCCAUUAGCCUCCUAGCACUUGACCAAAGUGUUUUCCUCACAUUAGGAUGUUUAUACAUGUUUAAUUAGUGUUAUAAUCACUAAUUGUUUAUAUACAUAUGUCUUCAUAUGUAAUUAGGACCAUUGUGUGUGUCUAAAGUCUUCACUUGACACCUAGCAGUCCUACCUCUUCAGUUCAUCCGUAUCACCCACAACAGGUGAGUUUAUACCUNGGGGAUACAAGUAGAAUUAUGCUAAUUAUUAUAUCAAUCACAGGUGAUUAAUAAGCAGCAUUCAAAUGAUUAGCUACUCAUUAGCCGUUUUACCAAACCGUUUCCUUCAAAUGUUUUUCAUAAACACCUUAUGUGUUUAAAACUCCUUAUUACACUGUACCUUUUAUUCUGUAUGUUUCAAUUCAAACUUAUUUACAAUUGUGUUUCAAACAAAUGUUUCUUUAUACUAAACUAUUUUGUCAAACCCAUGCCUUCAAAACCGUUUUAUAGAUUGACAUCAAGUCGAUCUUUUCUUAGAUAAUAAUUAUGUUCAAAGGUUUUACAAAACUUAUUUUAUGUUUUUAUAUUAUAAAUUGGAUGCCUAUAUAUGCAUAGUUAUAUAAUAAAUGUUGAAAGGACUUAGGAAGGCUAUCCACCCUAUUUCCUUUUCCUCGAUUUGGAUGUGGUCUGGUGGGAUAUCAGGUACCCGUCCGAAGGUUGUUUAAAUAUUAAUUAUAUAUCAUGUGUACGUAUAUAGUCAUAAAAGUCCUUCCAGCUCAGCCAAUGCCCUUGGGUAGCAAGGGUAUAUUUAACAUCCCCCUCUUGCACGUAUCACAAUAUUAUCCGCUUUGGGCCACUCGGCACGAGGACUUCCCAGGGGGUCACCCGUCCUGGUACUACUCCCGCCCGAGCACGCUUAACUACAGAGUUCUUAUGGGAUUUGCUGCCCUCACGGCUUUAAAACGCGUUGUGCUAGGGAAUGUAUCCACACCCCUUAUAAGGAAUGCUUAGAUCUCCUUCCCAGCCGAUGUGGGAUCAGAUCUAACCCACUUUCACCCCCCAUUAUAGGGUUCGACGUCCCCGUCGAACACAUCGACCCAUGCCCUGGCUCUGAUACCAAUUGUGACAUCCCCUAAUUUCUCGGCCAGAAAAUACCGAUUUAAUUUAUGCUUUUUAAAAUAAAAUCAGAGAAAUCUUUUUAAAAGAUGUUGCGGAAUUGGUCCCCAAACAACAUAUGAUAAAAGUUUAUCAAAAUCCUUCAUUAAGAAGGUAUAUAUUUUCCAUAUAUAUCAAAACCUCGGGAUUUCAUGUUCCGAUACAGAUCAAAAGCAUAAACAAGACAUUAUAAGCCUUUCAACAGUUAUUUACAACUACUGGCCUAUAAUCCAAAAAUUCUCUCGUCGUCCUCCGACUAUGCUCAGGGUCCACUACCUGUAAUCAUAAAAACUGAGUGGGUCAGGCUUGGGAGUCUGGUGAGCAUAUAGGGGUUUCAACCCACAAUAAUAAUAUACUUAUUAAGUUCACCAAUCAACAAUAACCCUGAUUACCCAUUCCCGUUGUCCUCACUUUACGUCCCUAAACACCUAUCACAAGGGACCUAGCCUAAGGAUUAUCAUCGGGAUGGACACUACUGCUAAGGGGUUUCCUCAGCCAUACAUGUCCUUAAGGCAACCAUGAGGGGGAUGAAGUACGCCAAUGAACAUUUAAUUCAUCAACACCUACAAGUUGCGAACCUGCUAGUGUUCGACUGGACUAUCUAGAAAGUCUGUGGUCGUCAUCUAUACUCCGCUAGAUGACUACAACAACAACAACAACAACAUCGAGGCCUCUCACCUUUUUAACACACAUCAACUAUUUCAUCUACCCAUGUUCUACCCAACAUAUUUUGUAGAUAAAAAGAAUAUACAGUUUGAAACUUGUAUAAAACAUCAAAUCAAUAGUCACCUUAGUUAAACAAUUACUAUAUUUACACAUAACACGUAUUUCAAGGUAAAUACUUCAUAUCUAUGUGUAAAUUGAAAGUAACUACACACUCACAUAUUUUGAUGAACAUCGGGCAACAAUUCAUUUCCUAAAACGAUCGUUUCUAAUAAAACCGGGAGUUUUAUUGAGAAACUGGGCUCUGCAAAAGUCGGGGUUUGAAACCGAAAAGAUAAAUUUUCCGGGCUUCACGGGCACUUCGUGGAGUAUUCCGGGCUUUACAAUCGAUACCGGGGCUUUGCGGGAUGUUAAGAUGAAGAAAAUAUGGGUUUAGGGGUUAAAUAUGGCAAAAUUUCAAAGUUACCUGGGAGGUCUCGCACCCUUCUAUUUAUAGGGGCGAGGCUUCUGAUCCAACGGAUAGAAAGAGGACACGCGUCGCAGAUCCGAAGGCUCGCAGGGAAGCCUCGCACGUGGCUGCGCAUGGCUCGCACCUGUGAGGGGCUCGCUGGCAGCUUGUGAUUGGACCGAGGUCUAGGGUCCGAAGUAGAGGGUUCGUGGCAUGUUGCGAGGGCUCGGUCUCGUGCAUGAGGGUACGUGUCACCUUCUCAGUGGACCACUUCGGAUAAGGCCAUGUGCUCGGAUGACUCAGCAGCUCGGGUGACUCAACAGCUCGGAUGACUCAGCAGGACACAUGGCACUUUUUCAGCGAGGGUGACGUGGCAACUCGUGACUAUGCGAAUUUUCUCGAUUUUCGCGCCAAAACUUCUAAAAUCCAUAACUUUCGCAUACGAGCUCCGUUUUUGACGUUCUUUAUAUGCACGCGUAGCUAAAAUUACGCUCUACAACUUCCGUUUAGACUUCGUCGGCUAAUUUUGAAUUUAAAUUUUAUAUUAUUAUUUUUAACAGACCGGGACAGGAAAUCCGUUAAAAAUUCAUAACUUCUUCAUCCGACGUCCGUUUUCAUCAGAAUUUUUACCGUUGUGCUCCUAAUGACGAGACCUUCAAUUCUCGUUUAGGUUGUGUCGGCUAAAAAUCGCUCGAUCUAAAAUUCGAGUUUUUUAGCUGUCUACUGCUAAGCUGAAACUUCGAAAAAUCAUAACUUCCUCAUACGAAGUCAGAUUUGGGCGUUCCUUUUAUCGAACUUCUCAGUUUAACGACUACUACGACUUUCAUUUAGAUUACUAAGGCUAAAAAGUAGUUUAUCGAAAACUCACUUUUUACAACAUUCAGCACCGUGCCGGUUUUGUCGCGAAACUUCGACAUGUCAUAACUUCUUCGUUAUAACUCGGAUUUUGGUAUUCUUUAUAUCCCCGAAAUCCUUGUUUCGACCACUACAAAUUUAUGUAAAGAUAUCGGGCUUAUCUCCCACUUUAAUUUUGACGCUUAUUUUUAUUCUUAACUAAUUAAGCCCUAAUAAUUAAGCAUAAAACACAUAAUUCAUAUAAUAUUCACAUAAUUCCUUUUCAUUUCUUCAAAAUGAGUUACAAAGGUUAACCUAGACUAUCAACUCAAUAUAAAUGCCUAGGAUAGAAACAUGAGUGUUACAAAUUGUAUCAAGACAUGUUAUAUGGACGUGUUGAACUUCCGUGUCCAUUUCUCCUUCUGCUGUUUGUUCUUCUAAAGAAUGAGGAAAGAUAUCCAAGUCUAGCAUAUGCAGAGAACUAGCAACAAGUAGAUCUAAGUCGUCCAAGUUGUUGGCAAUUUCGACUGGACUCGUCGGGUCUAGGAAAGUGACUCGGUGAGUCAGAUCAUAUUUCACCAUUUCCACUGUGUUUUCCGAGUCGGCUCCUUCCAGUAGCUUUUCUAUCUCCUCCAAGUCCUUGUUAACAUCUCCAUCCUCUCCAGAAGGUAGCAAAAGCUUGCUUGGAUCUUCUUCUUGCAAAAGUGCAAGUUCUUUUUGUAGUAUCUCAUCAUCCAAAUCGAUAAAUGAGAUAUCUUCUUUUCCUUCCUCUUCUUGCUUGGCUUCUGGUAAAGCUCUAAAUAUUGCUGACUCGUCUCCUACCCUUAAUGUUAGUGUAGACUCGCAUACAUCAAUUAAAGCACAUGCGGUGUUUAAAAAUGACCUCCCCAAAAUAAUCGGAAUUUCGGGGUCUUCUUCCAUAUCAAGCACCACAAAGUCUACUGGAAAUAUGAACUUGUCGAUUUUAAUAAGAAGAUCCUCACAAACGCCUCUUGGAUGAAUUGUUGUCUUGUCUGCCAAAUGGAUCUUCAUGUUUACCGGCCUUGGCUCCGAUAAAUUCAGUUUCUUGAAGAAAGAGAAAGACAUUAGGUUAAUGCUUGCACCUGAGUCGGUCAACGCUUGAGUGACAAAUGCAUUUCCAAAUUGGCACGGAAUUAUGAUACUCCCCGGAUCGCCCUUCUUUUCGAGUAACUCACUCAAUAUUAUUUCCGUGACUUCAGCCAAAUAUUUCCUAGCAGCAAAGAGACCCUUUAGUAAGUUGAAGUACUUGGGUGUUUUAAGCAUCGUUUCUACAAAUGGCACAUUGACUUGUAGGGAUUUAACAUGCUCCAUAAAAGCUCAAUAAGCUUCAACUUUUUCAACUGGCAUGGCUUUGAUUGGGAAUGGCAAAGGGGGAUUAUAUGGCUUUAAGGGAAUGACGGUUUUGUCAUUAACGCAUGGACUCGUCGAGUCCAUUAGAGGGACUCGGCGAGUCUUGUCGGGCUUAGCUGGAGCCGACUCUUCUGCCUUUUCUGUCUUCCUAUUGGAGAUCCUCUGUGCAUGUGUGAAAAUUUCUUCAUUGCUGGAAGUUACUGCACUCACAUUCUCCAUUCUCGGAUUGUUUUCGGUGUUACUUGGAAGUUGACCCGGUCUUCUUUCGUUCACUUGAUGUGAAAGUUGUCCCAGCUGUUUCUCAAUGUUGAGAAUGGAUGCCUGCUCAUUCCUUAGCAUAUUUCUGGUCUCGUGUAUUGCAGCAUCGUGAUCAUUGUGUCUCUUUUCGGACACGGCUAUGAAUCUAGUGAACAAUUCUUCUAAAUCGGCUUUCUUUUCCAUUACCGGUUCUUCCUUUUGAUAAAAUACCCUCUCCUUCUGCUUGUAUUUCUCCUCCUUAUCCUUCUUGUAUUCUUCGUAUGGGAGCCAUUCCUUCUUCGGUUUCCCCCAAUUCUCGUCGUAUCUAUCGCCACUUGAGUAGAACACUUGAGCCUUCUUGUUUCCAUUUUCAUCCAAAUCACAAUCCUUUGUGAGAUGGGGCCCUCUACAAUUCUCACAUCCAACAUGAAUAGCAUGGAUUGUUUGAUCCAUUUUUGUCAUCCUUCUAUCUAGACUAUCGAGCUUAGCUAUCAUCGCCGCCAUGCUAUCAUUUGCCGAGUUCACUACCCCCCGACUUACUUCAUUUAUUGGAUUGUGGUAUUCUCUAGAAUGCUUAGAGAAUUCUUCAAUUAACUCCUUGAUUACCGGGGGCGCCUUCUUCGUGAGCGGGCCUUGUGAAUCGAGCAAUUGCCUUGUGGUGACAUUGACUCCAUCAUAGAAAAUGGAGACCUCUUGUUGGAUAUUGAGGUCAUGGUGUGGGCAAUUUCUAAGCAAGCUCUUGUACCUUUCCCAAGCUUCAUAAAGAGAUUCUCCGGGUUGUUGCUCGAAGUUGGCAAUGGCUUUCUUUAGUUUAGCUAUUUUGGAGGGCGGGCAAAAGUGGUCUAUGAACUCUUCUUUCAUCUUGGCCCAUGUGGUGACCGAUCCGGGAGGAAGUGACUUGAGCCAAUCCUUUGCAUCACCCUUGAACGUGACUGGAAGCAUGCGAAGUAGUUGGGUCUCGCGAGGCAUAUUUGGUACAUUGAAGUAGUCAGCCACAUCAUUUACUUCAUCCAAGUGCUUGUAGGCGUCUUCGUGGUCCUUCCCAUAAAAAGGAAUCUCCUUGAGUUGAGCGAGAAUAUGGCCUUUUAGUUCGAACGUAGUGGUUGCGGGAAUUGCGGGUUGCACAAGUCCCGAGCCGGUGUCAUCGCGCAUCCUUUUCUUCCAUUACCCCAUGGGGACUUCAUCGAUAUUAGCCAUAGCGAUAGCUAAAUCGUCUUCAAACUCGGAUUCUUGCUCGUAUGUGGGUUCUUCUUCUUCCUCGGUCUCGUACUCGAUGUCUUCUUGAAUUGGGUCUCUGAUUGUCAAAGAGGCACUGGAUGCUCCUGAUUUGCUGCUCCUUGUCUUGCUGAAAACGGACUUGAGGUUUUUGAGUGGUAAGUUCUUUGAAGAAGCGGAUUCUCCAACGGUUUUGCCUUUGCUCCUCCUUAGUGCGGAUUCCGGGUCUUCAAGAGGAGGGACCAGAGGUGUAUCAGAUCCUCAGGUCAUGAAACAACUGUAAACAAAACAAAAAACGCGUAAAAAGAACAAAAAAUAAAUAAAAAUUAAAACUGUGAAUCAGCGAUGUACUCGCCGAGUCGGCACGAGUGCACUAGGCGAGUCUGGUCAAAACAUAGAAAAAUUUUUCUAGUUACUUUAAAAACGGAUUUUUAUUAAAACUUAUACUACUUACUAAAUUACCUUUUAAAUAACUUUGUGUAAGAUAAAUCCCACACAAAUGAUCGAUUAAAUUAGAAUUUAACGUUAAUUUUAGAACCGUUCCCCAGCAACGGCGCCAAAAACUUGAUGUGUGCAAACUCACUUAGUUUUAAACCUACUUUUAAUUUUAAAAUAAACACACAAAGGCAGUGGACCUAUCAAUUGUGGUAUAGUUAAAUAAGUAGGGUAUCGAACACAGGGAACGGCAAAUUAAAACUAAAAACUAAUUCUAUCUAAAUUAAUUAAUAAGUAGGAGGUUUUCUCUAGUUUUUCAAGACUAGAAACUUACUAACUAUUACUUAUUCUAAAACUUAGAAAAACAAAGAAUUAACUAGAUUCAAUAAUGGGAAGGAACUUCUGUUUAGUUCAACUCAAUUGAUCCUAUGGUUGAUAUCAAGGUAAUGGUGCAAUGGAUUAACUCUUUUGUUGGUUACCGAUUCAAGUGAUUAGAUUUGCGUUCACUACACUAAUCCUUAGCAAAUAAACUAACUUAAACAGUGGCCAGUUGUCUAAUUUAAUUAAAUUCACUAGAUUAAUUAUUCGGGUUAAUUUAGACUUGCAAUAGUUAACUAAUUUGGUCCUUUAAUUAACUUNUUUGUUGAUGGUCAUCACAAGCUCACACAUGAAUUUACUCAAUUUUCUUAUUAAUUCUAGUUUCAUGUUCAUUAAUCCUAGACAUAUGACAAAGUGGUCACAUAGCAUAUGAGGUUGAUAAUCAAUAGAUGUUCAUGCUAUUCAAUUACCUUCCUAUUAAUAGAAAAUUAAUUAUCAUUCACACACAAGGUUCUUUAGCAAGCUAAAAUAACAAAAAUCACUAACUUUAAAUUAAUCCUACCAAUAAUCAAACCAUAGUAUCAAUUUUGUAUCCCCAAACAGAAGUUUAAGAGUUUUAGCUCAUGAUUGAAGUAAAUUACAGCAAACAAACAGAUUUUAAUUGUUUAACCAUUAUGAAAAAUAAAAAAUUAAGUAGAAUGAUGAAAUUUGCCUCAAAUCUCCUUCGGAAUUGGAUUCUAGCUUGUAUCUUCGUCCUCUAGGUUUUUUCUGACUCUUCAAUCGCAGCUAACCUCUCCAGAAUCGUUCCAGAAUUCCUCCCCAUCGUUCUCAGAAGUUAUCUUUAUAUAUGCAAAACGACUCGUCGAGUCAGAUGCCGACUCGUCGAGCCCAUCUCUAAGUCCCCGUAUGCGAUAAGUCUCUAGGUCUCCGAGUCUUUAUCUUCUCGAAUAUUCGCUUGGGCUCGCCGAGUAGUUGACCCUACUCACCGAGUAUGUGUUGUUUUUAGUGUUUUUCUUCUUUGUUCGAUUCCCGAGCUCUCAACCGCUUCUCCUGCUUCCUUUUGCUUCCGAGCUUCACUUUUGGACUGAAAACAUAAUUCAAACACUUUUAAGUACCUUUUGUCCAUGAAAUGCAAUAAUUUAGCUAAUAAAUGAAUAAAAAUCUACACUUAAUAUGAACUAAAUAUGCACAUAUCACUUUCCUUAGAUUCAUAGUCUCUCCAACCAAAAUUCCUAGAUAAUUGAAUGGGAUGGAUGAAGGUUCACAUCCAAGAGGAGCUGCCCAAUUUAUUACUUCCAUGUGGGUAGCUCCUAUCCCAUACACCUUCGAUUUCCUAAAGUUCACCUUUAGCCCCGAUGAUACACAGAAGCACCUUAAUAUCCGGGCCAAGUUUGCAAUAUUUCGCCUUGACCAUUAGCCUAUAAACAGUGUGUCAUCUGCAUAGAAUAAAUGAGACAAACAUUGAUUAGAUUGUGAAAAUUUGAUGCCUUCGAAGAUUCCUUUUUCCACAACUGUCUUCAUCGCCUGAUUUAAUCCUUCAAUCACAAUGAUAAAAAGAAAUGGGGAGAGUGGAUCUCCCUGUCUGACACCUUUUGACAUAGAGAACUCCUUGGUCGGACUGUCGUUGAUCGACUGGGAAGGAGAACUAAGCAUUCCUUAUAAGGGGUGUGGAUACCUUCCCUAUCACAACGCGUUUGAAAACCGUGAGGGAAGCAGAUCCCAUAGGAACUCUGCAGUUAAGCGUGCUUGGGCGCGAGUAGUACCAGGAUGGGUGACCCCCUGGGAAGUCCUCGUGCCGAGUGGCCCAAGACGAACAAUAUUGUGAUACGUGCCAGAGGGGAAUGUUACAAAUGGUAUCAGAGCCAGCGCACAGUUCGAUGUGUUCGACGAGGACGUCGAACCCUAUAAUGGGGGGUGAAAGUGGGUUAGAUUUGAUCCCACAUCGGCUGGGAAGGAGAACUAAGCAUUCCUUAUAAGGGGUGUGGAUACCUUCCCUAUCACAACGCGUUUUAAAGCCGUGAGGGCAGCAGAUCCCAUAAGAACUCUGCAGUUAAGCGUGCUCGGGCGGGAGUAGUACCAGGAUGGGUGACCCCCUGGGAAGUCCUCGUGCCGAGUGGCCCAAGGCGGAAAAUAUUGUGAUAUGUGCCAGAGGGGGAUGUUACAGUAUAUAGCCAUGUUCAUACGUACCAGUUAAAUUACUAGUAAGCUAUUGACUAUCCUACACCUUGCUGCUUGCUACAGCCGGACGUCAUUUCUUUCUACAUAUAGAUCAGUUAAGUCUUGGUAGAAGACUCCCUGUUAUAGUAGUAGGAAUCAUAGGGAUUUCUAGAGUUUUUCAAACGUUUACAGUUGUUUUACAUACAUUUUCAAUACUUACGAUUUACAUACAUUUUCAAUACUUACAAAUUCUUACAUACAAAUUCUUACAUACAAAUUAAGACACUAAAAUACUUAUGAUCUCACCAGCUUCAAAGUUGAUACUCGCUUUCAAAAUUACUUGUAUCCUCAGGUCAAACAUAGACAGGUACCGAUGCAAGGUUUAGAGAAGAUGGAGCUCGUUCAAGACUCAUCUUUCAUUUUGAUUUAUGCCUUAGUGUUUAUCAAAAUUUGACAGAACACAGUUGUAUAAUAAUUAUAUUAUUAAUGCAAUGGAUGAUGUUGCUGCUUGUUUACUACUUUUCAUUGUUGUGAUAUUGUACAUGACGUCCUCCGCCCCAGAACGUUUCCGCGGUUCUUGGUUUUGGGGUGUGACAAGCCCUCAGUAAGAGUCUAGCAUACCAACUGGUCCUCAGAUCAUAUCUGGAAUGCUACUAAUCCCCCAGUAUGAGUCUGGCAUGCCCCAUCCGAGACUCAACUCAUAUCUGGAUUUCUCCGAUACCCUCAACCCCUUAGUACGAGUCUGGCAUACCAAUCGGGUCCUCAGCUCGUAUCUUGAAUGCACCUGAGCCCUUAGUAUGCGUAUGGCAUGCCCUAAUCAGCUCUUAGCUCAUAUAUGGAAUGCUCCAGGGUUUGUUGGCUACAGAACGAAGCAGUACAACCUCAACCCAACACAAUAUGUCGACAAAUAACCAACAUAUACAGAUAAUCAUGCACACAUAAUCAUAGGUACUCCUAUAGAUCUACCAUACUAACAUAUCGGCAACUAGCAUACUCAUGCAGAUCUAUUCCAUACUCAGAAUAUUAGUGAAUUGUAGGAUAACAAACCAAUACACCGGCAUUGGUGCCUUCGACUCGUAAAUAUAGUGAGGAAAAAUCACAUCGCACUGCUGAACAUAAAGACGAUCCAUGGUUGAUGGCUGCCAGAUCCCCGAACCGCCAAUAUCAAGACAACACCCCAUCACAGCUGAUCCCAUGAAUAAUUUCUGACUACAGAACCACUAUGAUCCACGUGCUAUCAAAUACUACAAUGACAACCCAUCAAUAGACCUGGCAAUGGAGCGGGUUUGGAGCGAAUCAGCCUUGAUCCAAACCCUUUUAACAAAUUUCAAAAUCCGAUCCAAACCCGCUCCGUAACCCACAGGGUUUUAAAUAAUCAGACCCAUACCUUUAUCCGCCGAAUCAACGAAUAUUCAAGCCCGCCCCAUAACCCAAAGUUUUUUUAAAUAAUCAAACACAUUUUAAUAAACUCCUAAAAUAAAAUUUCUUAAAUAAGAAACUGUAUACUAUAUCUUAAUACUUAAAAUAACAUUUUUUUAAAUAAAAAAAAUUGAUUUAGAAAAGGACAUUACAUACUCGAAGAAUUUCAAUCGGAAUUAAAAAUCACUAUUGCAACAACUUUGAAUUGAUUUAUGACUGUUGGUUGUAGUGAUAGCGAAUUGCAAUUGCCAUCUUUUUUCAUGUUAAAAAUUGAUUUAUUGAAUUAGAAAUGGAUAUGAUGAUUUCUUGAUGCAAAUAAAUUAAAUGACAUUAUGAUUCUUGAUAGAAAUCUAUAAGUUUAGAAUCUGAAUUAUCGAUUCCUAUGUAAAAGCAUUUUUUUUCUUUGGCCUUUGCAUUUUGGACUUUUGAUUGGUAUUAAAAUUAAACGUUAAGAAGUAUAAAAUAUAAAUAUAUAAUUCUAAAUUUAUAUGGGGCGAGUUAUAAAUGGAGCGGAUCGGUGAUGAUCCAUACCUGACCCAUUUAAUAAAAGGGCUAGUGGGAAUGGAUCGUUAACGGGUAAACGAAUCAAAAACUACACUCCAAACCCAUAUAAUUCUUACGAGUUUGGAUCGGAUUAGGGUCAAAACCCACUUCAUUGCCAGGUCUACCCAUCAACCUUUAGCCCCUGACUCACGUUAUGAGUGAAAAUUAGGGUAAAAGACCUUUUUAUCCUUCUUAAGCUUGGCCCGAAGCCAAGGCCCAACUAAAUGGUUAAUGGCCCAAAAUCCAAAAUAGACUUCUAAGGCCCAAAUAUGGCCCAAUUUUCCAAAUUGGGCCCAAUUCCUUUCUUGGGCCUUCAGCUAAGAAAGUCCAUCAAAACAAAAGCCCAAACCAUAAAAUCUAGAUGGCCUAACAUGGCCCAAGACAAUCCGAGCCCAAAACCGGAGCCAAAAAUGAAGGCCCAAUAGUACCGCAUACGCGGGGAGUACUCCAAAGGCACACUUAGCGUACAUGAGGCUGCGUAGAAUCCACCAUUGGGGUGGCAGAUUGGGUAUGCGGGGCGUACACCUCCCUACGCGGGGCGUACCCUCUUAAAACUCAAUUUCUUCAUAACUGCUUAAUGGCUUAGCAUUUGAGCUCAUACUUCAGAUCCAAGGUCCAGAGCCAUACUAUGGCCAUAAAAUUCCCAACUUUAUGAAUUUCCACGUCCAAAAAGUCCUUAAUGAAAGGUCUUAAUGGAUUAAUACUUUCUACAAGAAGUAUGGAGAAAAACUAGCUAAGGUGAUCUCACUUUUAUGGCUUAGAACCCCUCUUAGGGUCUGAAAGGACAGCCCAAAAUGACCAAAACCAAACAUGCAUAACAAUGGGACUUUUGGGACAAAAAGAACAUCAUAAUGCUACCAAAAUGAGAUCCAAGCAAACAAAGCAUAAAGGUAGAAACUUUUUACCUUCUGGAGCUUCCCAAGAAGAUGAUGAUCCAAGAUCCACAAGCUUGCUUCAACUACUAAUCUCCUUGAUGCAACUCCUUCUUCCUUAAGAACACAAAGAACACACUUUUAGCUCAAAACACUCUCUUAUUGGGUUAGGGUUGCCAAAAAUGACUCAAGGGUGUGGAGGCUGAAAAGAUGAGGCUAAAUGAUCUAUAAAGGUGAUUAAAUACCCCACAAACCCUAAAACUUAGGGUUUUUUCUAACAAGAGUACACCCAUCGUACAUAUGAGUACGCCCAACAUACUAGGGUACACCCUAGUAUGCUUAGCGUAUGCACAUGUACGCUUAGCGUACCACUCCUUCUCCCAAAAUUACGAUUUUUCCAAUAGGGCUUCUUGCGACCACUUCCUUCCAAAACAAGGACCAAAAUGGUAUACUCUAAAGCCAAGAGAUGAAUUUGAAAAUGCCUGAAAACUGGGGCAUUACAGGUUGGGAGUUCGGAAUACAUGUCGCCAAUGAUGCAUUAUAUUGUUGCAAGUAUUCUUGCAUUUGUUGUGCAUUAGAUUGGGAUUGAGAUUGGAAAGAUGUGGAAGUUGAAGCACAUUUAUUUGGAAUUAGACCGAAGUUGGUGACUGGUCUCCUACCCACUACGCGAGCCUGCCCUUGUCUCGUCCUGAGGGCACGUGCAAGCCAUUCUUCCUCAUCUACUUCUUCACCUUACCCGACCCCGCUUUGCAUUUUCUCGUAUUUAUCUUGAAUCUUCUUCUAAAAUAAACAAGAUAAUAAACAUACGAUAAUUAAAACAAACAACUAAACUUAAACAUUAAAAUAAUAAUAAUAUACCUUAGACAUAAACUAUAAUUAAUAAUAAUAACAUAUUUAACUAACGUAUUAAUUUCGCUUAUGACUUACCUAAUCUUGUUGUGCUCGACUUGUACACCAACCCUAGCCUUCUUUGUAGCGCAUUUGUCUCCAACCCUCAAUAUGUUGCGGCUUCAGUCCUAGUUUUUCCUGUAAUAUGUAAAAAACAAUAAAUAUAUUUAUACGAGUGAUAGUAACAUUUUUAAAUAAUACUAAUAUACUUUAUUACUUUUAAAUGACGUCGUUGAGCAUACGACCUACAUCCAUGAGAACUUGUGUCCGGAAGUUUAAUUCGACCUAGUAACUUUAUUUUUGGCCGAUGUGUGUAUAUAUUCAUCAGUAAAAAACAACAUGCCAAUCGUCUUAUUCUAAGCUUUGGCAGACCAAUCAAUCUGUGGAUGUUUUUUUGUCCUUUCCACAUCCGCAUAUCCACCAGCUUUUUCAAAAUGAUUUUCCAUGUCAUGCUUGCAAUCUCGAUAAGCUUUUUGCAUACUAUCUUGGGUACCCGCUCGAACGGGUUCCCACAACUCUGUGCCCUAGUGCAUAUCGGGAUCAAAAUAAGUCUGCAAAAAAUACAUAUUUGAUUAGUAAUAAGAAAUAUUUAAUAAGUGUAAAAUUCAAUACAUAUAAAAUAUUUUGUAUAUACUUACUUCUAGCUCGAGAUAUAAAUUAUCUUCGUACUUGGUAGAAACAUGGCGCCAAGAAUGAUAAUGCAACAGUACCUCUGAUCCCACCAGAUUUGAGAUCAAUCUAACAAAUAAGUGUCUGUUGUCCCGCACGAAUCGAUACGUCCUCCUGGAGGUAUCAAGGCUCACAACCAAAGGAUUACUACCUUUAUCUUCAUACUCAUCGUACAAUUUUAAGUUUCUCCAUCUGCCAUGUACAUUCACAUUCUUCACUUUUGUUACAUUUACACAUAGAAUUGGAAAUUUAGAAAUUUAAAUCCAAUACUUAAUAUUUUCAUGUAACUUACAUGAUUGGCAACCCGAUGGUAAACCAUGUGUGACCAUGUGUGGGGCUCUAUCACCACUGUCUCCUCCAUGUUACCUCAUGACUUCUGCCAUUUAUUUAACAAAUAUUAUAAACAUUCAAAAUCUAUAAUAAAGCUACUUAUAAAUAGGCAAAAUUUAAAAACUUAACACAUAUUAUAAACAAUCAGGAUAUAUAAUAACCGUAACAUACCAUCAAUGAGAAUCAUCACUAGAACAAUAUAACAUCAUCAUCGUUAUCAUAGUCUUUGUUAUUUAUUUCUUCUUCUGAAGAGUACGUAUCCCCACCAUCAUCGUCAUCGUUAAUUGUCACACCCCUGAACCAGACGACGGAAACGUCUGGGGGCUCGUGUGACUAACAAUUGAAUUAUCAUCACAAUGAAUAUACAUGAAACAUUACACAUUCAUCACCAACAUUACAUAUUACAACCAGCAUUGUUCACAGCAAGUACAUUGUUAAAGAUUACAUAAAUUCAAAGUAUUAAUAGUAAGAUAGGUGAUGUUACACAAAAUAAAUCGAUACACUUGAAAAUCUUCCUGCUUAACGAUUACCUGAGAAUACCAGUUAUUUUGAAAAACGGUCAACAUAUAUAAUGUUGGUGAGUUCAUAAGUAUGUGUGAAUAAAAGUCUUUGCAUCUUUUGUAAAAACCUAGAAAAUCUGAUAUUUUCUGUAAAAUGUCUUAAAAUGAUGUGAAAAUCAAGUAUAAAUGCAUGUGUGAAUUUCAUAGCAAUAACAUAUAUGAUUUCAGUUUAAAUUUCUUUGUAUUUUAAGUAAGUGAUAAAUGAAUAAUAGUAUUUCCCUAGAAAAUCUGAGUAUUUCCUGAUUUAUAAUAAUGUCGAGGUUCUUGUAUCAUUAAUUAAGUUGUUUCGUAUUGACACAAUCGAAGGGUUAAUCUUCGAAAUGUCAAAUUGGUAUUGGAUCUCUAUAUGAGCAGUUAUAACCAUGUAUGAUAAUGACUAGGUUGUCUUUCUUGGCAUUUUCCAAACGUCGGUAUUUGCUCAAGGUUUUGUCGCCCAAGACUGGCCUAGUCUAGUUGUAGCGAACAACUAAGGCGUGGGGGGUCACCCCAUAUAGAUCUAUACACAAACUCCCGCUCUCCCUCCAGGAAACUCUGGUUAUAACUACAGACUACGAUUGUACACUCAGAGGUGUCAACCGACAUGUCUCACUAGAUUCUCAACUUUUCAUACCAUGUUUAAUGUUUACGUGAAUGUUGUAUGUUUUCAAAUCCAAAGGUAUAUAUAUAAGUAUACGAACUUUAGGGCUGGCAAUUGUUGACACGAUACGCGACACGACAUGAAAUAAAUGGGUUUGGGUUGAGUUUUUCAACCCGCCAACCCGCUAACCCGUCAACCCACCAACCCGUUUAUUAAACGGGUCAUAUAUGGGUUUCUCAAAAAAUAAACGGGUUGACCCGCCAACCCGUUUAUAUUCUUAAUAAAAAAAUUAUUAUAUUUUUAAAUGUAUUUAUGUAUCAAGUAUUAAUAUUUAAUAUGUAUUAUAUAAUAUAUACCAUUUAUUCAUAGACCAUUUGAUUGUUUUGACAUUAUUACUCGUGGUGGAUGGUCUAAGGUCAUAAGUCGUAACCUAUAAGACUAAGUCUGUAACAUGUUUCUAUGAAUGUUUUUAAUUUUCAUUUGGAUGUUUAAGACUUAAAUAUCUAAAAUUUAGACCCACGAACCCAAAUCUGACCCACGAACCCGCCAACUUGUCAACCCGUAUAAAUAAAUGGGUUGGUGGGUCAUAUAUAGGUUUAAGUUCCAAACCCGCCAACCCGUGACCUGUAUAUUUAAAUGGGUCGUCAUUGGGUUGGCAUAUUUUGACCCGCCAACCCGCCAACCCGCGACACGCCAACUCGAACACAACACGAUUGCCACGCCUAACGAACUUCAAGAAUUAUGUAAAGGUAUAGUUACAAUCUACUAAGCAUGUGAAUUUCAGUCCAAGCCCAACUAGCAUGUAAAUGGACCACAAAGGUCCAAUGACAUGUAAGAAGGUAAUUUAGACCCAAUAGGCAUGUAAGUGGACCACCAAGGCCCAACAAACAUGUAACCUAUAGCUCAGGCCCAAAUUAACAUGUAAAUGGGUCGCAAGGCCCAAUAAACAGGUCAUUGAAAAUAUUGGGCUCAAUAUAUACUUGAAUGGGCCCUUAAGGCCCAUUGGCCAUGUAAUGUGAAUAUUAGGUCCAAUAAAAUUAUUAUCGAUGUAUUUCGUCAAUUCGUUAUUAUUUCAUGGUUUGCUUUAGCUCGAUGUUUACCGAAUUAAAUAUAAAAGUCCCCUUUUUGUAUAAACGACGUUCUUGGCCAAUAAGACUAAAAUUUUGAAUUAAGGCCCAAAGUUUUGUAAAAAUUAACACUUUAGUCCAUAAUGUAUAAAAAUUUGUAAUUUUGCCCCAAAUGUUUAGAAAUUUACGGAUCUAGUCCAAAAAAUUAUAUUUUGACAUUUAUGGCCCAGUUUCGCAGAAUAUUACAUUUUCAGACCCUUGUUUGUAAAAAUGACACUUUUGACCCAGUUUUUAUAAAAGUUACAUUUUUGGUCCAAUUUAGAAAUAUAUGUUAUUUUUACCCCUAAAUUUGGUUUAUUUACAUUUAUGACUAAAACUUUGGUCAAAUAACAUUUUUAAUCCCAAAACUUCCAUUUUUUCGCAAAUUUGGCCCCAAAACCGUGAGGCCCAAAUAUUCAGCCCAUUAGGCUAAAAUUUACGUUUUUGGCCCUUUGGAAAGCAUGUUUAUCAUAAAAAUCCCUUUUUAUACAAACAGGACCUGUUUGGUCCUUUAAAAACCGUAAAUGUCACUUUUUUCCCUUAUCUUUUGUUUUCUUGACAGUUUUGACCCUUAACAAGGUUUUUGCUUUAAAUUUUUGUAUCUUAAACAUAUAAACACUUUUAACUUGAUAAUAUGAUGUAUAAGGUGUUUUAGUGUUGGAUUAAUGUCUAAGUUUAUAACUAUAAUUGGUAAGACUUGACCCGAUCCGGCAUGGUCCAUUUGGGUUGCAUGGCAUCAUGCACUUGGAUAGACUAUAAUGAGAGAAAUAAGACACUUAUGGUUAUUAAUAUAUUAUAAGUUCUAGUAUAUUAAUAAUAAGAAUAAUAAGAUUAUUUAAUUAGUAUUGAUCAAGAAUUAAUCUAGGAUUAAUUAAGUGAUCAAAAGAAGACUAAUUAAAUAUAUGGGUUGAUUGUGUAAAUCAUCCAUACUUAUAUAGUGGGCUAAUGCUCCAUGGAUAAUCAAGUUGGGCUAAAACCCAUAGGAUGGUCCAUGGAUGCUCCAUGGUGUAUUUGAACCCAUGGAUCCAAGGAAAUGGAAAGUCAUGACAAUUAGGGUUUACCCUAAUUGUAACACUAUAUAAAGAUCUUAUUAUUGACCAAAAUCGGCCACUAGAAUCAUUCUAGAGAAGGGCUAGCCGAUUUCAUGUAGUGUAGAUUUCUCUCAAGUUAUUCCAAGUGUAUUUGGUGUUGUGUGAACCAUUUGAGGUGUCACACUUGGGGCACUAGACACUCAAGCUUCAUGAAGACUUUCUACAUCAAAGAAGUAUGUAUUCUAUCUUGUUACAUUCAUUGUUUUGUAUGCUAGAUUAGGAUAAUACCUUGGAAGUUCUUAUUUGCAUGUAUAAUAGAGAAAACAUAGAUCCAAGGUAUUUAGGGUUGCAUGUACACUUAGGAGUGUUAGAAUGCUCAAAACCCAACAGUGGUAUCAGAGCCUAGGCUUGUUUUCUUGUUAUACUUGCAAAAGAAGCUGAAAAAUCGAGUUUUGAUGCUGUCUGCCCAGCAGACUCGCCGAGUCCAUGAAUGGACUCGCCGAGUCCAAGGCAAAAUGCAUCCAACUCGCCGAGUUGGUUCGUGCACUCGACGAGUUGGACCCCCAGACAGCAUAAAUUCGACUUUUUUGGCUGGAAUUGGACUAGGAACAUUACCCUAAGAUGUUUUUGGACUUAUAAACUUGUUUUUGAUGUGGUAAUGUUCAUGCUAAUCCAAUUUCAAAGAUAAUUGUCAAUAGAUUCAUGUUUUGUAUUAGUUUAAGGUUUAGACUAAUUACAUGAAAAAGUUUGAUUUGAAUUAUCUUGUUCUUAUGAGUUGCUUAGAUUAAUAGAAAAGUUGAGUGAAAUAGUUGUUUUCAAUCCAAAUUAAUCUAAGAGUUGAUUCUAAAAUGUGUUUUUGUAACUUGUCCUCAAGUUAUAUGAAAAGUCACAUUUAAGUUUCAUAAAACUCAUAAAAGUUGGCAAAGGUUACAAAAUGAAGAGUCUAGUUCUAAUUAAAUGGUUUUAUGACUCCAUAACUUGUCCUCAAGUUAUGGAGGACCAAGAGUCUCUUCAUUAAAUAAUAAAUAAAAAAAAAAAGUAACCUUAAUUAAUUCCAUAAGUUAUAAAAUAAAGAAAAGUUAAUUCUUUUAUUAGUUUAAAGUCUUCCAUAACUUGUCCUCAAGUUAUGGAACUUGAAGAGUUUUUGGAUUAAAACUACUUUAAACACAUAAGUUAUGGAAUUAAUUAGUUUUGAAUAGUUUCAAAACUUGCCCUCAAGUUUUGGAAUUUGAAAAGUUUUCACUUAUGAAUACUUUAAUUCCAAGUUAGCCCUUAGAAUUUUAAAAGUUAAAAUUCAACCCUUAUACUUUAUAAUAUUAUAAGUUAAUAAUAUAUAUAUGUAUAAGAGUAAAGUCAGUCUUACCGCUAGUACGCCUCAUUCACGAAGCCGGUCUAUAAGGUGGGUAUAAGGUUGUUGCCUAUAAAAUGGCAACUUAAUGGGUGUCCACUCUCACCCACCGCUUGCUUGACUGGUGGAGGGUCGUUAGCCGAACGGGUUUGACAGGACUAGAAUUCUCCCUUCAUUAAAAGUAUUAAUGAUAAUACUAAGUAACUAAACUCUUAAUAAUACCCAAUCUUAGUUACUUAGGAAAAAUGUGAAUAAGGUGCUAAUCCAUGAAAUUACACUUUGCACUUUGUUUAAGUCGGUUAGUGGAGCGUGUGUGGUUAACCGGCACACUAACUCGUAUUUAACAAGGUAGGCAAAGGGUAACUUAAUGUUUAUCAUAGUAUCGAUGGAGCGUGUGUGGUUAACCGGCACAUCGAUUGAGGGGUAAACACUUAAGGGUACCAAGUAAUUUGCAUGGUUACUUCACACCUUGUUUUGUGAUCCUCGGCAUCCCAGUCACAAAACCUGAAGGGCACACUCGAGAUUGAAACAUGCCAUUGAACAGUUCAAUGAAUCUCAAAGAUCUAGGAGUUUCAAAACCAAUUAAAACCUAAUAAUACAUUUCGUUUAUCUUGGUGGAAAUUGGUGAAUCGUCAUUCACCUACCUUCAAAUAUUUUAUAGCUUGGAUUACGGCAUACCUCUUCUAAGUUAUAAAAUAGUUUGUUGGGUCCUAGCCUUAAUAUUUCAUAUUGGGUGUCAUAUUAAGGACUUUAAAUCAACUAUCUUGAAUAUCUCCCAAAAGAUGUCUGGUUUAGACACCUAUGAUCUUCCCAAAUCUCUUGAAACAAGGUUUCCUAAUGAAGAUGAUGUCCCAUGGAUAUCAUACUUCUUCACCUCUUCAAAUUAUUCUCCCUAACCCACAAGUUCUUGAAAAGUUUAAGGUCACUCAGGCCCUAUUGGCAAGGCAAGGUCUAGGUGUGAUCACAUCUUGGAGAUGUAGUCACAUAUUGACAAGCCGGGAGAGUUGGGUGUCAAAGUCUUGAGAAAGUUGGUGGUUCAAUCACUUUCUAAGUCACAUAGUGAGUUCCUUUGGGACACCUAUGAAACAGACUAUGACAAGACCCUUAAUGAUCUUAUCUAUUUGAUAAGAUCAACUUCCUAAAACUUUAUGGACAUUGACAAUGAUAACAUUGGAUAUCUAGUAAAGCUCUCUCUUCCCAGUGGAAAGGGAUCAGCCAUAGUCAACUGGGUUGACCAAAAUGGUAAAGAGAAAAGCUAAGUCUGUGAUAGUCCCGUGUACCAUUAUCAAAGGGUCCAUAUGUUUAUAUUGCCAAAGGAAGGGGGAUUGGUUGCGAAGCUGCCAAAUUUACCUAAAGAUGUUAAAGUCAAUAAGUUUGACUCUACUUCAUGUAAAGUCCACUAUCUAACUCUGUUAAGUUUCUAUUCUGAGAUUCCUGAUACAUGAUGUGACUGGGUCACAUGGUGAUGUUUUAAGAAUCGGAGCAUAUCCUCGAGUGUCUGGAUGGUGCACUCACUCUGACCAUCCGUCUGUGGGUGGUAGGCAGUGCUCAUAUCUAGCUGUGUUCCCAUUGCCUUCUGAAGAUAUUGCCAGAAACUUGAAGUGAAUCUGCUAUAUCGAUUUGAGAUAAUAGAUAUUGGCACUCCAUGGAGUCUCACAACCUCCUUGAUGUAGAUUCGGGUCAGCUUUUCCAUCUUGUAAGAUUCUUUUAUUGGUAGGAAAUGAGCGGAUUUUGUUAAUCUAUCCACGAUUACCCAAAUAGCAUCCAAUCCGUCUGCUAUCUUUGGCAAUUUUGUCACAAAGUCCAUGGUAAUCCUCUCCGAUUUCCACUUGGGUAUCACUGGUUGUUGCAGUAGUCCCGAGGGCUUUUGGUAUUCCACUUUCACUUUGGCACAAGUAAAACACUUGCCCACGAAAGUGGCUAUCUCUGCCUUCAUAUUAGGCCACCAAUAUUGUUGCUUGAUAUCCAAAUACACCUUAUCUGACGCCGGAUGAAUAGAAUAUCGCGUCUUGUGGGCUUCAUGCAUGACUACUUCUUUGAAUCCCUUAAAUUUGGGAACCCAGAUUCUAUUCAUGAAGUAGUGAGUUCCAUCGUCUUUAACUUCGAGCACCUUCUCCAUUCCACGUAGUGAGUCACUAGCGACAUUCUCUGGCUUCAAUGGUUCCAAUUGGUCUUCCUUGAUCUGUGAGGCUAGAUGAGAUUGGAUGGUGAUUGAUAGAGUUUUCACACGACGACUUGAAUACUCCUUUUGGAUCAAGGCAUCGGCUACCACGUUAGCCUUGCCUGGAUGAUAUUUGAUCUCACACUCAUAAUCAUUUAACAGCUCAACCCAUCUCCACUGCCUCAUGUUUAGUUCCUUUUGAUUUAGAAUGUGCUGGAGGCUCUUGUGGUCUGUAAAGAUGGUGCACUUGGUACCAUAUAGGUAGUGCCUCCAAAUUUUCAAGGAGAAGACCACCUCCCCCAAUUCGAGAUGUUGAGUAGUAUAAUUUACUUCAUGUGUUUUCAAUUUUCUAGAUGCAUAUGCAAUUACCUUCCCGCGUUGCAUAAGGACACAACCUAAACCAUGAUUCGAAGCAUCAUAGUAAAUUAUGAAGUCUUUAAUUCCCUUCGGUAAGGAUAACAAUGGAGCACUACAGAGGGCUUGCUUCAAGGUUUGGAAGGCGAUCUCUUGCUUCUCAGUCCAGUUGAAAGGUACGCCUUUCUGUGUCAAUGUGGUGAGGGGUUUGGCUAUCUUAGAAAAGUUCUGAAUGAAUCUUCGGUAGUAGCCCACAAGACCCAAAAAUUGGCGAAUUUAUGUUGGCGUUGUUGGAAUUUCCCAGUUUUUGAUUGCUUUGAUCUUUGAAAGAUCCAUGUGUAUUCCUUCCUAACUAACUACAUGGCUUGGAAAGUUUACACUGCGGAGCCAGAACUCACACUUGGAGAGUUUCGUAUACAACUUUUCAGCUCGAAGGGUCUUCAAGAUCUGUUGGAGAUGUUGACUAUGCUCUUCUUUGCUUCGAGAGUAUAUGAGGAUAUCAUCGAUGAAAACGAUCAGGAAUUUGUCAAGGAAUGGGCGGAAGACUCGAUUCAUGAGGUCCAUAAAUGCAGUGGGGGCAUUUGUUAGACCGAAGGGCAUCACGACGAAUUCGUAAUAACCGUAACGGGUUUGGAAAGCAGACUUAGGAAUGUCCUCAUCUCGGACCUUGAGUUGAUGAUAACUGGAUCUUAGAUCUAUCUUUGAAAAGUAACUAGCCCCUUGAAGCUGGUCAAAUAGAUCAUCGAUUCGUGGAAGUGGAUACCGGUUUUUGAUGGUGAGCUUAUUUAGUUCCCUAUAAUCAAUGCACAUCCUGAAGGAUUCGUCUUUCUUUUUAACGAAAAGAAUCGGAGCUCCCCAUGGAGAGAAGCUUGGUCUUAUGAAUCCUUUAUUCAAGAGUUCACUUAGUUGGCUUGACAAUUCAUGCAUUUCAGCGGGAGCCAACCUAUAGGGUGAUUUGGCUAUUGAAGUGGCUCUAGGCACUAGGUCGAUUCAGAAUUCGAUUUGUCGUUCUGGGGGUAUUCCUGGAAGCUCUUCUAGAAACACAUCCGGGAAGUCACAUGCCACUGGGAUGUUUUGAAUGUUCGCUUCCUCUUUGGUAUUAUCCACCACAUGAGCAAGGAAUGUGUAGUUCUUCUUUUGUAGACACUUUUGUGCCUUGAUACACGAGAUAAGGUAAAGGUUUGCACCGGGUUUAUCUCCGUAGAUUAUUAGGGUUUCGUGAUUAGAAAGAUGAAAGUGAAUGACCUUCUCGUGACACAUAAUAUCGGCAUGAUGGGGGCUUAACCAAUCCAUGCCGAUGAUGACAUCAAAACUCCUAAUAUUUACUGGCAUCAAAUUUAUUUGGAAAAAGUGGUUGUUUAGUGUUAACGUACAUCCUAUAUAGAUAUCUUUGGUUGUUUCAGUGUUCCCAUUAUCCAUUUCCACCGUGAAGGAUUCGUUGAGCUUCUGGGGUUGUUGAUUUAGAAAGUAUUUGAAUUUAUUACUAACGAAACUUCGCUCCGCCCCACUAUCAAAUAAGAUGCAUGCAUACGAGUUGUUAAGUAGGAACGUACCGAUGAUAACAGCUGGGUCCUACACUGCUUCAUCCUAACCCAUUGUCAACACUCUCCCUGCUGCUCCUGCCCCUUGAUUGUUUGCGUUGGGGAAAUUUCUCCUGAAAUUCCCGGUUUUCCCACAUACGUAACAGGUAUAAUUGGCCCCAACAUUGGUGUUGUUGUUAUUGUUGUUGUUGUUGGUGUUGUUGUUGUUGUUGUUUUUUGGCAUCUGGUUUUGUUGAAGCUGAGUCCUGCAAUACUUUGUUGUAUGGCGUUUCUGGUUGAACCUUGCGCAAAUCAUCUCUCUGUAUUCCCCAUGAUGGUGGAAGUUGCAUUUGUUACACUUGGCGAGAUUUCCUGAAUACUGCUUUGGAGCAUUUGGCGUGGAUGAGGCUGGAGCAUGGGGUGUGGUGGUAGCUUGAGUUACAGCAUGGACAGUCACAGUUUGUUGCUUCUUAGAUGAUUCUGAGUUAUGUUUUCCAUUUCUCUUGUUGUUUAUCCCUUUCUUUCUCUCUUCUUCCUUCUUAACCUCCGCUUCCACUGUUUUGGCACGCUUCUUAUUUCCAUGAUCAUACGAUUUCUUGUCCAGUCUCUUGGCGCUAUCAAACAUCUCAGGGUUUUGCUGCAAUAACAUUCCCUUAGAUAGGUGCAGUCAAUCCCUAGAUAAACCUAUCAAUCUUUUUCCCUUCUAAGGUGAUCAUUCCGGGACACAAAAGAGAUAGCUCACUAAACCUAGAUAUGUAUGCGGUUAUAUUGGAGUUUUGAACUGUGAGGUUCCACAACUCUUGUUCCAUCUUCUGAAUUUCACCUCCAAGACAGUAUUCUGCCAACAUCAUUUCCUUAAGCUCUUCCCAGAGCAUCGCGUUCGCUACCGGGAGUGUCAUGGCCUCUACAUGCCCAUUCCACCAGGAGAUGGCUUGAUCAAUGAAUUUGCAGGUUGCGAACAUGACCUUACACUCAUCUGGGCACCCACAGAUUUCAAAAAUGGAUUCUACUUUCUCGAUCCAUCGCUUCAGGGCUAUUACGCCUCCUGUCCCAUUAAAGGUUCGAGGUUUGGCAUUGGUGAAGUCCUUGUAGGUGCAUGUUCGUGUGGCUCCAUGGAUUGUUCCUUGAUUUGUGCUUCCGUUUCCCUGUCGGUUGCCUUCUCUAUUGUUUCCAUUGCGAAUCUGCACAAGUGUUGUAGUGACCGCAACAGACAAUGUUGCCUGGAAUGCAACCGAGAUUAUUUUCGGCGGGUUUGGUGUUGCGUUGUUUCCACGAUUGGGCCUUUGAGGCAUCUUUCUGUCAUGGAACGGAAAGAUGUAGAGUGACUAUUGUUUUGCGAGUUUGGAAUCCCCUAGGCUAGGUGUAUCGAGUGUGUAUUUAAGUAAUUUCAUACAUUAACAUAAAAUAGGGAAGUAAAACACAUAGCAGAUGACAACAUCAUGAUAAAACGUAAAGCAUUUUCAUUAAUACUAAUUGUUUUGAUACAUGAACAUUUGCCAGAAGGCAUACAGUACAUAGGGAAAUAUAAAAUAUGGCAGCAUUACAACCCUAUGAGCAGUGUGAUCACUUAAACAUAGAGUCGAUAGUACAUAGCAUAGUACACAUAAGGGAAACCUAAUAGUAUUAAGAGAUACUACUGGUCCUGAUCAUACUGAGAAGUGCCUAAUGGUGGUGGUGAAAUCAUAUCCCAAAAUGUUAUGCUAAUAACUGAUCCAUCUCGGUCAUCUCUCCGAUGACCUCAUCUUUUUCCUACUCAGUUUGCAUGGCUCGUGCCUCCAUAGCAAAUAGUUGUUGUCGAAGUGUGGCAACCUCCGCUUCCAGAGACCGAUCCUCAUCAACGGGGUUCCCUAGUGGACCAGGGUGGUCCUGGUGUGCCUCAUUGGUAGGUGGUUCGACGGGGGCUUCAUUUUUGUCCCCAUCCUCCUCCAUGUCUUCGUCAGUCCUAUCAAACUCAUAGUCUGUAUUAGUGUACUCGUCGGGCCCAAUGGUAGGGGCUCCUCCUUGUUCCUCCUCGGGAUUCUCCUCAAGCAUCCCAUGUGCCACUAGGGAUUGAUAAAAAUGGACUCCUUGCUGAGCGUCGUCCAUGGUGACUGCAUGAGGGCGUAUGAAUAAGUCAUGUUUUGAUUAUUCCUAUAGUAUAUUUUACUUAUUUAGGUUUGGUUUCCCUAGAGUUGUUGGAGAGUGAGGUAGGCUUUUGGAUUCAUUUCCCGCUAUGAUUACUCCCAAACACAAUUUGGUCAUAUUCUGAAUAAAUAUAGUUGAUCAGGCUAUAUUUAUCCCUAAUAGGACUACAUAACUGCCCAUGUUUAAUUAUAAUGUUCAAUAUCCUCCAAAAGCUUUUAUUAAAUAUUGUUAGGUUAUUAUCCUAAUAUGCGCAUAUAAGUAUGAAAUUUUUGUUUUGUUCACAGUUAUUUAGUCCCAUUGUGUUUAUAGUUGCAUAUCAUGUAUGGUUAGAUAUGCUAGUUCACUAUAAACAUUGCUUUGAUACCAACCUGUCACACCCCCGACCCAGACGGUGGAAACGUCUAGGGGCUCCUGUGACUAACAAUUGAAUUAUCAUCACAAUGGAUAUACAUGAAACAUAACACAUUCAUCACUAACAUUACAUAUUACAACCAGCAUUGUUCACAUCAAGUACAUUGUUAAAGAUUACAUAAAUUCAAAGUAUUAAUAGUAAGAUAGGUGAUGUGACACAAAAUAAAUCCAUACACACUUGAAAAUCUUCCUGCUUAACAAUUACCUGAGAAUACAAGUUAUUUUGAAAAAUGGUCAACAUAUAUAAUGUUGGUGAGUUCAUAAGUAUGUUUGAAUAAAAGUCUUUGCAUCUUUUGUAAAAACCCAGAAAAUCCGAUAUUUUCUGUAAAAUGUCUGAAAAUGAUGUGAAAAUCAAGUAUAAAUUCAUGUGUGAAUUUCAUAGCAGUAACAUAUAUGAUUUCAGUUUAAAUUUCUUUGUAUUGUAAGUAAGUGAUAAUUGAAUAAUAGUCUUUACCCAGAAAAUCCGAUAUUUCCUGAUUUAUAAUAAUGUCAAGGUUCUUGUAUCAUUAAUUAAGUUGUUUCGUAUUGACAAAAUCGAAGGGUUAAUCUUCGAAAUGUUAAAUUGGUAUUGGAUCUCUAUAUGAGUUGUUAUAACCAUGCAUGAUAAUGACUAGGUUGGCUGUCUUGGCAUUUUCCAAACGCCUGUAUUUGCUCAAGGUUUUGUCACCCUAGACUGGCCUAGUCUAGUUGUAGCCAACAACUAAGGCGUGGGGGGUCACCCCAUAUAGAUCUAUACACAAACUCCCGCUCUCCCUCCAGGAAACUCUGGUUAUAACUACAGACUACGAUUGUACACUCAGAGGUGUCAACCGACAUGUCUCACUAGAUUCUCAACUUUUCAUACCAUGUUUAAUGUUUACGUGAAUGUUGUAUGUUUUCAAAUCCAAAGGUAUAUAUAUAAGUAUACGAACUUUAGGGCUGGCAAUUGUUGACACGAUACGCGACACGACAUGAAAUAAAUGGGUUUGGGUUGAGUUUUUCAACCCGCCAACCCGCUAACCCGUCAACCCACCAACCCGUUUAUUAAACGGGUCAUAUAUGGGUUUCUCAAAAAAUAAACGGGUUGACCCGCCAANUGUAAGUGGACCACCAAGGCCCAACAAACAUGUAACCUAUAGCUCAGGCCCAAAUUAACAUGUAAAUGGGUCGCAAGGCCCAAUAAACAGGUCAUGGAAAAUAUUGGGCUCAAUAUAUACUUGAAUGGGCCCUUAAGGCCCAUUGGCCAUGUAAUGUGAAUAUUAGGUCCAAUAAAAUUGCUAUCAAUGUAUUUCGUCAAUUCGUUAUUAUUUUGUGGUUUGCUUUAGCUCGAUGUUUACCGAAUUAAAUAUAAAAGUCCUCUUUUUGUAUAAACGACGUUCUUGGCCAAGAAGCCUAAAAUUUUGAAUUAAGGCCCAAAGUUUUGUAAAAAUUAACACUUUAGUCCAUAAUUUAUAAAAAUUUGUAAUUUCGCCCCAAAUGUUUAGAAAUUUACGGAUCUAGUCCAAAAAAUUAUAUUUUGAUAUUUAUGGCCCAGUUUCGUAGAAUAUUACACUUUCAGACUCUUGUUUGUAAAAAUGACACUUUUGACCCAAUUUUUAUAAAAGUUACAUUUUUGGUCCAAUUUAGAAAUAUAUGUUAUUUUUUCCCCUAAAUAUGGUUUAUUUACAUUUAUGACUCAAACUUUGGUCAAAUAACAUUUUUAAUCCCAAAACUUCCAUUUUUUUGCAAAUUUGGGCCCAAAACCGUGAGGCCCAAAUAUUCAGCCCAUUAAGCUAAAACUUACGUUUUUGGCCCUUUGGAAAGCAUGUUUAUCAUAAAAAUCCCUUUAUAUACAAGUAGAACCUGUUUGGUCCUUUAAAAACCACUUUUUGCCCUUAUCUUUUGUUUUCUUGACAAUUUUGACUCUUAACAACGUUUUUGCUUUAAAUUUUUGUAUCUUAAACAUAUAAACACUUUUAACUUGAUAAUAUGAUGUAUAAGGUGUCUUAGUUCAUGGGUUUUUUACUUAAUGUUGCUUAAGAUGUCGAGACAUGCUAAGAUCUAACAUAUUUUUUACAAAAUAGACUAAGAAAUCACACACGACAUGCAUAUAACACAUAGAUCUACACAUUUUACUUGUAUUCUCCCCCAAAACUAAUAUGAAAACCAAAAACAAGGGGGUAAGAACUCACCUUUGCUUCGAUGUUUCGGUUUUGAAGAAGAAAUGGAAGAAGUUGAUGUGAUUUUUUGCUCUAGCAAGCUCCUUGAGUAGAUUUCGAGCUUAAGAAGUUUCCAAGAGUCUGACCAUGGAAUAAAGCUAUGUAACAAGGAAUUUUUUGAUGUUAAAAUAAAAGGAGAUGUUUGUGUUUGAUAACAACUUACCAAAGAUUGAAAAUGCUUGAUGAAGAUCCUUAAAACUCAAGCAAAAUUUUGAGAUCCUUGGAGAAAGGAGGAUGAUCUUUGAGAGUGUUUGGAGAGGAUUUGAAAGAGUGUGUGUGUGUGUGUGUGUGUGGUUUGCCUCUCGGCCGUGAGUAGAAGAAGAAGGGGGAAAGAGAAGAUGUGAUGGAUACUUAGGAGUAUAAGCUUUGUAUUUGCUUAAUGGGUAAUUAGCUUGGAGAACCACCAUGUAAUUAUCAUGUGUCAAUGCAUGGUAAUUCUCUUAUUUUCCUUUUUUUACAUGUAUAUGAAUGUACAUAUCUAAUGGGCCGAGAAAAAGAAAGAAUGGAGGGGCUUUGGCCUCUUUUUGAUUUGGUUCGAGUUUAUGAGGCCCAUAGAAAGAGGCUUUCGGCCCAUUGGGCCUUUAGGUGUGUUCACGGCCCAUUUCGAAAGAAGAAAGGGUGUUUAUGGCCCAUUACGGCUAAUUAAUUCAUUAAUGGCCUAAUAAGGCCCAUUAAGGAUAAACCAAUUUAUUUUGGACCCAAAAUGGCCCAAAAUGCUAAGUUUCACGGAAGUGGGUCCAAUUAGUGCCCAUUUAAGGGUCCUAAGCCCAAAAUAGUUAAAUUGGAACCUCAUUGGUCCAUUAGGCCCAAUAAGGAAAUCCUAGUCCAAUAUGGACUUAAAUCGGGAUUCUUAGGGUUUUCAAACUCUUUGUUGAACAUGAGAGGUGAAUUUAAAUGAGCAUUGCGUGAUAUUUACUUAAAGUAUAUGUUUUACACUAGUUGAAUGAUUACACGAGAAUAGAGUUUUCUAGCAAAAAUGCUAGUUGUGACAUUAAUGAAAUCGUGAUUAUUUAUAGUAGGAGCAACAUUCCUCAUAGCAACCACACUUGAUUUACCAACUUCACCUAAAGUCAUCUGCAUAGGCAAGGUGCUUAAGUUUACAAACAAGGUAAAAUCAGUUGAUCGAGUUUUGUUCACGACAUCUAUCUCAUUAACAACACUGAUACUUGGAUGAUCCUAAAGUUUUGAUGAUGAACCUCUUCCACAAAUAUCCGUUUAUUGUUUUGAGUAUGAUCUUUGAGAUAAAACACUUGUUUAGCUUGUGUGGAUAAGAUGUAUUAUUGAUCAUCAUACCUUCUUUUAUUGACAUACCAUCCAUGACUGGUAUCUAUAACGACCAUAUUAUUUAUAGUCUUUAAACAUCCAUUACGUAAUGACACAUUGAACCAUUUACCACGACAGAGUAAAAUUGAGUUACCAUAUAAAUAAUGCGAAUCUAGGAUCUCCUCUAAUUGUCCAUAGAAUGGUCUACCAUCUUCUUGUUGGAUUAGUGUCUAAUUCCAUAACUAUAUUUGGUAUGUACUUGACCCAAUUGGCAUGGUCCAUUUGGGUUGCAUGACAUCAUGCAUUUGGAUAGACUAAAAUGAGAGAAUAACACUUAAGGUUUAUUAAUAUAUUAUAAGUUCUAAUAUAUUAAUAAGAUUAUUUAAUUAGUAUUGAUCAAGAAUUAAUUUGGAACUAAUUAAGUGAUCAAAUGGAGACUAAUUAAAUAUAUGGGUUGAUUGUGUAAAUCAUCCAUACUUGUAUAGUGGGCUAAUGCCCCAUGGAUUAUCAAGUUGGGCUAAAACCCAUAGGAUGCUCCAUGGUGUGUUUGUACCCAUGGAUCAUGGAAAUGAAAAGCCAUGAAAAUUAGGGUUUACAUGGUGUAACCCUAAUUGUGACACACUAUAUAAGUAUCUUAUUCUUCCCAAAAAAAGAGCUAUAAAGGAAUGGUGAGGGCUAGCCGAUUUCAUGAAGUGUCUAAUUUCUCUCAAGUUAUUCUAAGUGUAUUUGGUGUUGUGUGAACCAUCUGAGGUGUCACACUUGGGGAACUAGGCUCUUAAGCUCCGUGGAAUCAAGCUACACCAAAAGGAAUGUCUUCUAACUUGUAUUAUUCCUCAUGAAUCAAUAUUUUGUAUGCUAGUUAGGAUAAUACCUUGGAAUAUUAAUAUUUGCAUGUAUAAUAGAGAAAACAUAGAUCCAAGAUAUUUAGGGUUGCAUGUACACAUAGGAGUGUUAGAAUGCUCAAAACCAUUCACUUCUCCAAAUUUAACAACACCACUAUUUUUAGUAGUGUGUCAGAGAUCACGAAUACUCACAACAAAACGAACACCGACAAUAUGUAUUAUGUUGGUCAUAGACAAUUCUUGAAUAUGAACCAUAGAUGGAGGGAGAGUCUAUUGUUUGAUGGUCCACCCGAUACAAGACCGUAUCCUAGACGAUUUAGUAAUUUAACUAUAUUAAAGUAAUGUAACGUCUGUGUUUCUGGGCUUGCCAUUUUUAGCAAUGUANNNNNNNNNNNNNNNNNNNNNNNNNNNNNNNNNNNNNNNNNNNNNNNNNNNNNNNNNNNNNNNNNNNNNNNNNNNNNNNNNNNNNNNNNNNNNNNNNNNNGACGAAGGUGGACCGGUAUGCGAAGGGACUCCCAUGGGAGUAUGACGUGCCAGUACGUCAGGCACAUACUUUAGAGGCAGCUAUCUGGGCUACCAAGUCUGUUGAGAACAUGAUAAAGGGGAGAACCACCAACAAGGUUGAGGUUGGUGAGAAGAGGAAGUUUGAGGGAACAUCUGGUUCCGGUAAGAAAAGCAAAUUUUCGAAAUCUGAUUCGAAAAGGUUUGGUGGGGGUAAAGGAGGGGAAGCGAAGUGGUGUGAAAAGUGUAAGAAAAAGCAUUUCGGGAAAUGUAGCGAGGAUGUAACUUGCUACAAGUGUGGAAAGGUUGGACAUUUUGCCAAUGAAUGUCCGAACAACAAAAGGAUGUGUUUUGGUUGUAAUGAAGAGGGGCAUAUUUUGAAAGACUGUCCGAAGAAGAAGGAGGCAGCUAAGCCCAACAUUCCACCAAAGCCGAAGGCGAGAGCCUUCCAGAUGACACUUGAGGCUGCGAAAGAUGAAGCUGAUGUCGCUUCAGGUACCUUUCUCGUAAACGAAUUACCUGCUCAUAUAUUGUUUGAUUCUGGAGCCAACUACUCCUUUAUUUCGCAUGAGUUUGGUAGAAAGCUAGCUUUGCCUAUUGAUAGACUAGAUGAUGCUUUAUUAGUCGAAGUAGCUAGUGGCAAGUUUGUACCUGUUAGUCAUCGUAUGAAAAGCAUCUUAAUUGAUCUGAAUGGGAAUAAGUUUCACGAGGAAUUAUUGCCUAUCGAACUAAAUGGUUUCGACAUCGUGUUGGGAAUGGAUUGGCUUAGCGCCAAUGAUGCCGAAAUUUUGUGCAAGAAGAAGAUAGUUAAAGUAAACCCGCCUGGGAAAGAUUCGUUUAUGGUGUAUGGGGACAAACGCAGAGUGAAUUCUGGAAUCAUUUCUCUAAUGAAAGCCAGAAAGUGUUUGACCAAGGGAUGUACAUCAUAUUUAGCAUUCGUGAUUGAUGCUAAGAAGGAAAAGAAGGUGAUGCAGAGUAUUCCAGUGGUGUGUGAUUAUCCGGAAGUAUUUCCCGAGGAUCUUCCUGGAUUACCACCUGAUAGACAAGUGGAGUUCAGAAUAGACUUGUUACCAGGAACCACGCCAAUAGCAAAAGCACCUUAUCGAUUAGCACCGACGGAGAUGAAGGAGCUGAUGAUGCAACUUCAGGAGUUAUUGGACAAAGGUUUCAUUAGACCUAGUUCAUCGCCCUGGGGAGCUCCGGUGUUAUUUGUAAAGAAGAAAGAUGGAAGUAUGAGAAUGUGCAUCGAUUACAGAGAGCUGAACAAGGCAACAAUAAAGAAUAGAUAUCCGUUGCCGAGGAUUGAUGACCUGUUUGAUCAAUUGCAAGGUUCGAGCUAUUUCUCGAAGAUCGAUCUUAGGUCAGGAUAUCAUCAGCUGAAAGUAAGAGAGCAAGAUAUCGAGAAGACUGCAUUCAGAACUAGAUAUGGACACUACGAGUUCUUGGUUAUGUCGUUUGGACUAACCAAUGCUCCAGCAGCGUUCAUGGAUUUGAUGAAUAGGGUUUGUAAUCCUUUCCUUGAUAAAUCCGUGAUAGUGUUCAUAGACGACAUUCUGAUCUACUCGAAAAGCCAGGAGGAGCAUGGCAGACACUUGCGAGAAGUGUUAGAAGUUUUGAAGAAGGAGAAGCUUUAUGCGAAGUUCUCCAAAUGUGAUUUUUGGAUUCGUGAGGUCCAAUUCUUGGGUCACGUGGUCAACCAAGAAGGGAUAAUGGUUGAUCCAGCGAAGAUCGAAGCUGUGACGAAGUGGGAACAACCGAAAAGUCCCACGGAGAUUCGAAGCUUUUUAGGAUUAGCCGGAUAUUACCGAAGGUUUAUCCAAGGCUUUUCUUCGAUUGCUACUCCAUUAACAGCUUUGACCCACAAAGGAGCUACUUAUGCUUGGAGUGAGAAGCAUAAAGAAGCAUUCGAGAAGUUAAAGAAGAAGCUAUGCGAGGCACCGAUACUUUCUCUACCCGAUGGAGUUGAAGACUUCGCUGUUUAUAGCGAUGCGUCUGGUGUUGGAUUGGGUUGUGUUUUGACCCAAAGAGAAAAGGUGAUAGCAUAUGCGUCUCGACAGCUGAAAGAGCAUGAAAAGAAUUACCCGACUCAUGAUUUGGAGUUGGCAGCGGUAGUUUUCGCUCUGAAAAUAUGGAGGCAUUACCUCUAUGGCACGAAGUGCAAACUUUUCACUGAUCAUAAGAGUCUCCAAUACCUCUUUAAUCAGAAAGAAUUGAAUAUGAGGCAACGACGCUGGCUAGAAUUACUUAAAGACUACGACUGCGAGAUACUUUACCACCCCGGUAAAGCUAAUGUUGUUGCUGAUGCUCUCAGUCGGAAAGUCAAUCUUGAAAGGAAGAGGCCAAGAGCGUUGAGAAUUGAAGUUGUCUCGACUAUUGUGGAAAGUAUAAAGAAAGCUCAAGAGGAAGCUUCUGAGAAAAAUGACCGAAAGGAGGAACGUUUGGGUAAAACGUUGGUGUUUGGUACUAACGGUCAUGGACUGAAGGUAUUCCAAGAUCGUAUUUGGGUACCUAAGUCAGGAGGAAUUAGGGAUCUUCUGAUGGAAGAAGCUCACAAAACCAUGUACUCAAUUCAUCCGGGUAGCACUAAAAUGUAUAGGGACCUGAAACCCUACUACUGGUGGCCGACGAUGAAGCUUGAUGUUGCAAAGUAUGUGGCCGAGUGUGUGACUUGUGCGAGAGUCAAGACACAACAUCAGAAACCUUACGGGAGUUUAGAACCAUUGCCUGUGCCUAUGGGUAAGUGGGAAGACAUUGCUAUGGAUUUUGUCACUAAACUGCCCAGAACAAAGAAUGGUCACGACAUGAUUUGGGUGGUCGUUGAUCGAUUCACUAAGAGUGCGCAUUUCAUAGCGGCCAGGGAGAAAUGGUCUAUGGAAAAGCUUGCGAAUUCUUACGUGAAGGAAAUUGUGAGGCUUCACGGUGUUCCGUUAACGAUUGUAUCGGAUCGUGAUAGCCGUUUCACCUCAAGGUUUUGGAAAAGUCUACAAGAGGAAAUGGGUACCAAGUUAUGUUUAAGCACAGCUUACCAUCCGCAGACUGAUGGUCAGAGUGAAAGAACAAUACAAACACUUGAAGAUAUGCUGAGAGCAUGUACCUUGGAAUUCCUAGGUAAUUGGGAUGAACAUUUACCGUUGGUAGAAUUUUCCUAUAAUAAUAGUUUUCACUCGAGCAUUAAGAUGGCACCUUAUCAAGCUUUGUAUGGACAGAAGUGUCGUACGCCGUCUUGUUGGCUUGAGGCUGGGGAAAAGCAGUUUAUGGGACCGGAGAUGGUUCAUCAAACUGCUGAAAAGUUGAAAAUAAUUAGGGAAAGAAUGUUAGCAGCUCAAGAUCGUCAAAAGAGCUAUGCUGACAAGAAGCGAAGACCGAUGACUUUUGAGGUUGGAGAUUCGGUUUUGCUUAAAGUCUCGCCGUGGAAGGGACUUAUAAGAUUUGGUAAAAGGGGAAAGUUGAGUCCAAGGUUUAUUGGACCGUUUAAAGUCCUUCAGAGGAUUGGGAAUCAAGCUUACAAGCUCGAAUUACCCGAAGAACUGAAUGGAAUUCACAACACCUUUCAUGUGUGUUAUUUGAGGAAGUUCACGGGAGAAGUUCCCGAUAUAAUUCCAAUUUCUGAAUUGAGAAUUGAUGAGAACAAAAGGUUGAUUGAAGAACCAGAGGCAAUUGUUGACCGAAAGACUAAGAAGUUGCGACGCAAAAUGGUUGGGUUAGUGCUUGUCCGAUGGAAACACACGAAUGGGCCGAAUCUCACCUGGGAGACGGAGAGUGACAUGUUGAGUCGCUAUCCGCAUUUGUUUGUUGAUGUGUGAUUCCGGGGACGGAAUCAUUCUAAGGUGGAGAGAAUUGUAACGCCUGUGUUUCCGGGCUUGCCAUUUUUAGCAAUGUAAUAGUCUAGGUUAACCUUUGUAACCCGUUUUGAAAUAAUAAGAUUGUAUUAUUUGAGUAUUAUGUGUUUUGUGCUUAAUUGCUUAAUUAUGUGGUUUGAUUAAUUAAGAAUAAAAAUAAGCGUCAAAAUUUAAGUGUAAAAUAAACUUAAUAUCUUUGGUUAAUGUUGUAGUAGUUGAAACGAGGUUUCCGAAUAUAUAUAGAACGCCCAAAUCUGACUUCGUAUGAGGAAGUUAUGAUUUAUCGAAGUUCCGGCUUAGCGAUAUACAGCCUGUUUUACUCGAUUUGAGAUCGAGCGGUUGUUAGCCGAAGCAAUCUAAAUGAGAAUCGAAGAUCUCAUUGUUGGUAUUGAAACGAUAAAAAGUUAGGCGAGAACGGACGUCAAACGAAGAAGUUAUGAAUUUAUAACGAAAGUUUCUGUCCCGGCCUAUUAAAAAUAAUUAAUAAAAAUAAAGUCAAAAUUAGCCGACGGAGUCUAAACGAAAGUCGUAGAGCGUGGUCUCACCUUCGCGUGGAUAUAAAGAACGUCGAAAACGGAGUUCGUAUGAAGAAGUUAUGAAUUUCCGAAGUUUAUUAAUCAUUUUGUAUUUAUUUUUAAUUCAAAAUUCGGAAGCAUUAUCCGAAGGAGUCACCGAUCUGAUCCGAGGUACGCCCCGCGUACUCGAGUACGCCCCGCGUACUCCGAGGGAUGUCGACACUCGCACUCGAGCACUUCGGAUACGUAAGCAAUGACGUUUUGGGCAGUACGCCCCGCGUAACGCAGUACGCCCCGCGUACUCCGAGGCUCCAGCCUCCUAUAAAUAGGAUGCGAGGGUUCCGGGUAUUUUUGCCAAUUCCCUCUCGUUUUCGUGUCGAAGCUCUGUGCAAAAACCCCCGAAGCUACCCCGAAGUCCCGGUAUCAUACUCUAGCCCCGAGGCAAGUCCCGAGAUCCUGAAGAUCCCGAAAAGUGCGGUUCCCGAGUCGAAGCUCUGCCCGCGAGAAGUUCGAUUUUCGAGAAGAUCUUCCAGAUCUGCUGUGGAUUACUACUUCUAUAAGCCGUAGUGCUGUCCGAUCAUCUUCUGAUCAAGUGAGUGUGUAGUUAUUUCUUCUAAUACAAUAAUACGAAGUAUUUUAUAUAAAAAUACGUGCUAUGUGUAUAUAUUUUGUUGUUAUAUAUGUGAAUGUAUACCCACUCUCUUCUAUCUUAUAGAUCUGAUUAUUUCUCAAUGAAAUACGUGUUAUGUGUGUGUGCCUCAUCUGUUAUGUGAAAAAUGUUUUGAUUGAGCAUGCUAUACAGGUUUUGAAACUACGUAUAAAAAUGUAUAUUUUAUCUACUAAUAUGUUGGGUAGAAUAUGGGUAGAUAGUUGGUGUGUAAUAAACAGAUGAGAGGCCUCGAUGUUGUUUUGAUCCAGUCAUCUAGCGGAAUUUAGAUGACGACCACGGACUUUUCUAGACAGUCCAGUGGAACGCUAGCAGGCUCAUAACCUGUAGGUGUUAAUGAACUUGGGUGUUCAUUCGCUGUAUUCCAUCCCCCCCAUGGUUGCCUUAUUUGACUUAUAUUGCUGAGGAACCCCCGAAGCAUGUGUAGUCGCCCCGAUGAAAUAUUCUUUGACUAGGUCCCUUGUGUUAGUUAUUUUAGGGACAUAAAGUGAGAAUAACGGGAAUGGGUAACUGGGUUAUUGUUGGAUGAUAAUAAUUAAUUAAAUUAUUUAUUGUGGGUUGAAAACCCUAUAUGCUCACCAGGCUCCCAAGCCUGACCCACUCAGUUGAUUUAUUUUACAGGAAGUGGCGCAAGAGCUUAAGAUGGGCGAACAUCAAGUUGUUUUGUUUACAAGUCUGUAUAUGUAUAUAUUUGUUGAAAGACUUGUAAUGCUAUCGUUUAUGCUUUAUGAUCUGUAUCGGAACAUGACAUCCCGACUUUUGAUUAUGAAAUGAAAUCAUAUUUCUUUAUGAAAUGUUUUGAUAAAUAUCUAUUUUAUCAUGUUUUGUUUUUGGGAACAAAUUCCGCAUCUCUUUUAAAAAUUAAAAGGAUUUACUCUGAAAAUUAUUUUAAAAAGCAUAAAUGAAAUCGGUCUUUUCUGGCCGAGAUUUUGGGGAUGUCACAAGUAAGUAGCUCGUCUCUCUGAUAAUAUGUAUUAUGUUGGUCAUAGAUGAUUCUUGAAUAUGAACCAUAGCUAGAGGGAUAGCCUAUUGUUUGAUAGUCCACCUAACACAAGACCGCGUCUUAGACAAUUCAGUAAUGUAACUAUAUUAAAGUAAGUAGCUCGUCUCUCUGAUAAUAUUCCAGGGGAAUAUCCUAAUCAUGGGGCUAAAAAAGAAAGCAUGAACAUGAAAGCAAAAAGGCAGAGUUGAAUCGGAUGAAACAAAGUAUCUUAUUUGAGCUUGAGUAUUGGUCUUCCCUCCACCUAAAACAUAAUUUUGAUGUUCUACAUGUUUUGAAAAAUAUGAAUGAGAGUGUGUAUAAUACUACACUGAUGAACGAUAAAAGAAAAUACAUAAAAGAAGUAAGAAUUGACUUGAAAAAUACGGUCAUUCGACCAGAUCAAUGGCCAAAAGAGAAAGUCAAGAAGAAGAAGACAGUACACCAUUCUAUGGUCCCUUGGUUGAUGCAUCUCUCAUUUGGACUCCUUCAACCCAUAACAUUUUCAACUCAGCCACCAAAGGCCUCAAGUAAACAUCAAUGUCCUUUGUAGGUGAUCUAGGGCCAGGAAUCAACAAAGUUAGCAUGAAAGAAGAGUCCUUCAUACAUAUCCAUGGUGGUGUAUUGUAGUUAGUAAAUAUAACCAUCCAAAUAAUAUAAGUAUUAUUAAAGUUGUUGAACGGAUUAAAGCCAUCAGCAGCUGAACCUAGACGAAUAUUUCUAUAUUCUUUAGCAAACUCUCGAUAUCUCUUAUCAAAUUAUUUCCAUGACUUCUCGUCAACCGGAUGACGCAUCUUACCAUCCAUUGAGCAUCCAGUAUUAUGACAACUAAUAUAUUUACCAGUGAAUCUGGAACUAUACAUUCGUCGAAGCCUUGAGUCAAAGGAAACUACCACAAUGCUUUUUGUGGUACUCUCUUCCCAUUUUGUUGUUGUGUCCACCCAUUUGCUUGCAUUACAAAUUCGGGCAAUUUUACAUGGAAUCAUUCUCCUUCCAAAACGAAGCACAAUCAUAUUUACAAGUAUGGAUGGAUUGAUAUCAAACCCUAUCUUUCUCAACUUAUUCUUAGCUUCAUAGUGUGAAGUUGCUCUUCGGGAAUGAAACUCUUAGUAACUCUACAAGUUGGUUAAAAAAAAUAUUUGUCCAUUUAUUUAUCACUUUAGUAUGCAACAACUUUGCCAGAAAGUUUAUGUAACGUCCCAAAAAUUAAGACUAAAAGUUUUUAAUUUUAAAUUAAUUAAAACCAUUAUCCAAACAACAUCUUAGAAAUCAUAGUGCAUCAAAGUGUAUCAAUAACAUCCAUGUACAUCAGCAAGAUAUAAAAAUGCAGAACGACGUGGUGGGUGCAUUGCAAUCAUCCCGUGUAACGCCCGUAAACUCGGGCUAGUCAAUUUAGAGACAAUGUGCGUCAAAAAUGACUUUUUGAUGGGAGAUUGUUUACAAGAAACAAUCUUAACCAAGUUAUAUUAUAUGUCACAAAGGUUCCUUAUAUAUAAAGAACGCCAAAAUCCGAGUUAUAACGAAGAAGUUACGACCUUUCGAAGUUCUACGACAAAACCAACACGGCACCGUGUAACGUAAAAAGUGAAAUCUUGAUAAAUUACUUUUUAGCCUUAGGGAUCUAAAUGAAAGUUGUUUUAUACAUUAAAUUGAGAGCAUGCAUAAAAAGAACGUCAAAAUCUGACUUUGUAUGAGGAAGUGAUGAUUUUUCUAAGAUUUCGCACAGAGUAUACAACCUGGAAUUCGAAUGUCAGAUCGAGUGAUUUUUAGCCAACACAACCUAAAUUAUAAUUGAAUAUCUCAUUAAUAGGAGUUCAACGAUAAAAAGACAGUUAAAAACGGAGUCUGUAUGCAGAAGUUAUGAAUUUUACACGGUCGUUAACAAAAUAAUAUUUUCAUACUGUUAUAUUUAAAAUUGGUUGAGAAUUAGCCGAUUCAAUCUAAAGGAAAGUUGUAGAUCUUGUCAAUACCUAUGUGUGGAUAUAAAGAACGUAAAAAACGGAGCUCGUAUGCGAAAGUUAUGAAUUUUUUAAAAUUUGUUGUUUUACCUGCGUCCAGCGCCACGUGUCAGCACCAGGCGAAGCCUUAGUGCCUACACAAGGCCACGACGUGGAUUAUAAGUCUAUGAUGUUGAUUUCCCCAGAUAACCUAUAAAUAGAGGUGGAAAUAAUCCAUUUCCUUCACACCUUCACCCUUCUUUCUGUCUCAACACUCCCAAUCUCUCCCUCCUAAUCCCUAGCAACUUCUAAGUGCUAGAGGCGAGUCCCGGAGCGCCAAAAGGGUCCGAGAAGAAGAGUUUUCGUCUCAAAAUUUCCGCCCCCUCAGAGCCCGGUUCCUAGCCAAACCCCCAGGAAGUGAGUUAUGCUUACACUACUUUAAGUAUACUUAUGUUUAAGUUUAUUAUCGUUAUUAUGAACUUAUAAACAAGAUUUAUCAGUGAUUCCAAGUCGUUAUACUAAUUGAUCUACUUACGGGGAUGAUAUAUAGGUUGUGAUUUAGUGAGGUGUUUAAAGUGGGAUUUCAAAACAGUAUACUUCGUAUACGAAACGGAACUUACCUCCGAUAUGAUCCUACAUGGUUGUUCCUUACUUGAUAGAUCAUGAAAGUAGACUUUGAGUUAAUGAUGAAUCUAGACUAAUAAUUAGUCGUGCGUAAAGAUUAGACUAAAACUUAGCGAUAAUAAUGCUAGGUUUCAUCGAAGGAAAAUAGAAUCAUGAGAAGCAAAGUGCUUCCCGAGUUUGGAAUUAUCACUUUGAUAAGUGAGUGCAUAGUUACUUUCAUCUUACACAUAGAUAUGAAGUAUAUUAUAUAAAUUACAUGCUAUGUGUUCAUAUUAUAUGUUUACUUUAUAUCUAUGCUAGAUGAAUGAUCCUAUACAUGUUUUGAAUGAUUUAAACUGUAUAUAUAUUUUUUGUAUCUAUAAAAUCUAUUGGGUAAAACAUGGGUAGAUGAAUGAUAAGGGAUGAAAGUUGAUAUAGAGGAACAUUGGCAGUUAUAGACAUAGUGUCCUAUAGGUGAACAUUGACAACAAUGGACUUAGUGCCCUAUAGAUGAGCAUUGGCAGCCGUGCCACCACCUGUAGAUGUUUUGAUCUACGAUGUACUCUAAACAUCAUAGCAGCUGCGCUCAAAGGGUAGUAUCGGCAGCUGCGUGUAACGCAUGUGUUUCUAGGCUUGUCAUUAAUAUUGAUGUAAUAGUGUAGGUUAACCAUUGUAACCUGUUUCGAAAUAAUAGAAGUGUAUUAUUUGAGUAUUAUGUGUUUUGUACUUAAUUGUGUGUCUUAAUUAAAUUAAGUAUGAAAAUAAGCAUCAAAAUUAAAUGUUACAUAAAGCUGAUAUCUAUGGAUAAUUUUGUAGUAGUUGAAACGAGGUUUCUGAAUAUAUAUAGAAUGCUGAAAUCCGAGUUAUAACGAAGAAGUUAUGAUCUGUCGAAGUUUCGCGACAUAAAUCGGCACGACGAUGAAUGACGUAAAAAGUGAAUUUAUGUUAGAUUUAUCUUUAGUCCUAGUGAUCUAAACGAAAGUUGUAGAGUUCGUUAAACCGAUAGCGUGCAUAAAAAGAUCGACCAAAUCUGACUUCGUAUGAGUAAGUUAUGAUUUUCCGAAGUUUCGACUUAGCAGUGUGCAGCCCGAAUACUCGAUUUGAGAUCGAGCGGUUUUUAGUCGAAACAAUCUAAACGAGAAUCGAAGAUCUCGUCAAUGGUAGAGCAACGGUAAAAAGAUAAAUGAAAACGGACGUCAGAUGAAGAAGUUAUGAAUUUAUAACAGAGUUUUCCUAUCCCGGCCUACUAAAAAUAAAUAAUAAUAAAAUAAAUUCAAAAUCAGCCGACAGAGUCUAAACGAAAGUUGUAGAGUGUAGUCUCACCUACGCAUGGAUAUAAAGAACGUCGAAAACGGAAUUCAUAUGAAGAAGAUAUGAAUUUCUGAAGGAUUUAUAUGAUUAAUAUUUAUUAAUUAAUCUUUAAUUCGAAUGUAUAUCCGAAGGAGUCACCGACCUGAUCCACACUAUGCCCAGCGUACACCGAAGCGUGACCCACCUCGCACUCGAGUGCUCCGAUGACACAUGCAGUGACGAAUCCGAAGCGUACGCCCCGCGUACUGAGCAUUACGCCUAGCGUAAUGCGAGGCUUCAGCCACUAUAAAAGGGCAUGCGAGGGCAGCCAAUCCUUUUGCUCAAUUUCUUUUCUCUCUCUCUUGUUUUCCAUCGUUUUGCGUUCAACUUAUACCCCGAAUCCCCAGUAUCAUUCCCGAGCCCCGAAGCAAGUCCCGAAGCCCCGAAGAUCCCGAGGAGUAGAGUUCCCGAGCCGAAGCUCUACCCGCGAGAAGCCAAUUUUUGUGAAGAUCUUCCAGAUCUAUCAAAGAAUACUACUUCUACAAGUCGUAGUGCUAUCUGUUCAUCUUCUAAUCAAGUGAGUGUGUUGUUACUUUCUUCUAACGCAUAAUUACGAAGUAUUUUAUAUGAAAUACGUGUUAUGUCUAUAUUUUGUGUUGGAUAAGGUGUCUAAGUCCAUAACUAUUUCUGGUAUGUACUUGACCCGACCCGGCAUGGUCCAUUUGGGUUGCAUGGCAUCAUCCAUUUGGAUAGACUAUAUGAGAGAAUUAACACUUGUGGUUUAUUAAUAUAUUAUAAGUUCAAAUAUAUUAAUAGUAUUAUUUAAUUAGUAUUGAUCAAGAAUUAAUCUAGAAUUAAUUAAGUGAUCAAAUGGUGACUAAUUAAAUAUAUGAGUUGAUUAUGUAAAUCCUCCAUAACUUAUAUAGUGGACUAAAGGGCUCCAUUGAUAAUCAAGUUGGGUUUGUUGGAUUAUUGUCUAAGUCCAUAAACUAUUUUGGUAUGUACUUGACCCGAUGGUGUAUGGUCAUUUUGGGUUGCCUUCACCAAAGCAACUUGAUAGGAUGAAUUAUAAAGAGAAAGGAUUAAAUAUGAUUUAUUAAUAUAUUAUGAUAAUACUAUAUUAAAGGAGAAAUCAUAUUGUUUAAUUAAUAUUAGUCAAGAAUUAAUUGAUAAUUAAUUUUGUGACUAAAAGAGAUUAAUUAAACUUAAGGGACUAGAACUGUCAAUUGUAUGAUAGUUGAAUAUUGAGCUAAUGGACUCCAUAUUAAAGGAGUGGAUGAAUUCUAUGGGGAAACCCAUUAGAAAUCGUCCUAGGCCUUUAAGGAAGGAGCCCAUGGGUUACUUAGGGCUUAAGCAUCCAAAUUAGGGUUUCCUUGUUAGAUAACCCUAAUAGCCUCACUAUUUAAGGACCCUUUGGGCACCAAAAACGUAGGCAACUGAAUCCUAGGGGUUUCUACACGUUUUUGGGUGUUUCUUCUCUUCUCCUAUUCAUCCUCUUGCUCUUGGUGUUUGUGAACCAUUAGAGGAGUGACAUUUGUGACUCUAAGCUUUCUAAAGUCAUUACAAAGGAGGAUUUGAGAUUGUUAUUGCUACAUAACAAUCAAGGUAUGAUCUAAACCCUAAUUCAUAUCUUAUACUGAUUAUCAUAUACUAGAUCCAAGCAUUAGGGUUUGUAUGAGCACAUAGGAUGUUCUUAUAGCUAAAACCCAUCAGUGGUAUCAGAGCCUUGAUUGGUUUCUAUUGUAUUGAUGCCUUGUUAAUUUGUUCAUGCUUGAAAAAUUCGAUUUUGUGAGUCUGCCUAAUGAACUCGGCGAGUCCCAUUGUGGACUCGGCGAGUAGGCCCCUACUCGGCGGGUCCAUAGGGGUACUCGGCGAGUUCGAGCGUCAGAAAGAGGGGACUUCGAGAUUUCUUGCUGAUUUACUCAUGGAUACUUGCCUUAUCUGUUUUAGAUCAUUAAAAUCCGAUUUUAAACAUAUUUAUGAGUAUAUCCUUGAUUAAACAAAAGAUAAUUACCAAUUGAUUAGAUAAUAACUUCCUUAUAUGAUAAAGUUUGAUUAUUUGUAUUAAUUGGGUAACUUAUUUUGCAAGAAAUUGAAAUUAGGUCAAAUAUAGAUAAUGAUGAGAUUAAUUGUUUAAUUUAUAUUAUUUGUUAUUUGAUCCUUGUGUUAUGAAAAGUUUCAAUUUUCCCCUUUAGGUUUUAUAGUUUAAAUUUGAACUCAAAAGUUUNUAGGGUUUCAUGUACACCACAGGAACGAUGUUUCAUAAACUUGACGAGUUCCAUAGACUCGAUGAGUUAAGUGUCCUGGUGCCGGGAUUUUCGAUUUUCUGGCCAAAUUUUAAUGAGGAUAACUGUGAAAACUCGUUUUUCUUUCCUAAAUUCAAAUCUUUAAGAUCGGUAUGGAUAUCCUUAUCAGAUUUGGUGGAUUUAGUUAAAUAUGGAUGAUAUAGGAUUAUUUUGAUUCAAAUAUUUAACCUAGUAAGUUUGAAAAGUUUCAAAUUACACCCUUUAGGUUUUAUAGUUUAAAUUUGAACUUAAAAGUUUUAGUUUUGAAAUUUAAAUAGUUAAACCCUAAUAUUUUGAAAAGUUUUAAAAUUUGUCCUUAAAUUUUGGAAUUUAAAAUUUAAUUAAAAGGUAUUACUUUUGCAAUAUUAAUUUCUAAAACCCUAGUGUUUUGAAAAGUUCAUAUUACACCCUUAUGGUUUUAUUAAAUUAAUUAAGUGCUUAAUUAAGAGAGAGAAUUAAUAAAUCCAUAACAAUAUGGUUUAAGAUUAAUCAAAUUAAAAGUGUAAUUUAUUAAUAGAUUAAACCACCUAAUAUUUUUAAAGUGUAAAAUACACCAUUAUACUAUAUAUAAAAUUAAAAGUCUAAUAUAUUAUAUAUGUAUAAGUAAAGAGUCUGUCUUAUCGUUAGUAAGCCUUAUUCACGAAGUUGGUCUUUAAGGGGUGUUUAAGGAAGCGGCAUGUAAAAUGACCGUCAUUGGAUAUCCACUCUUACCCACCGCACCAUUAACUAGUGGAGGGUCAUUAGCCGAAUGGGUAGGAUAGGACAUAACCUUCCAUUAUAAGUAUAAUGAAAUACGAAGUAACUAAACGUUUAUAUAAAUUCUCAAAUCUUAGUUACUGUAGGAAAAAUGUGAAUUUGGUGCUAAUCCAUGAAAUUGCACAUUGCACCUUGUUGGUCGUUAGUGGAGCGUGUGUGGUUAACAGAACACUAAUAUGGGACCAAUGAAGGAUGGCAAUGGGUUUCUCGUAAUAUUAUCAUUGAUCAAUGGAGCGUGUGUGGUUAACCGGCACAUUGAUUGGGUGGUGAUCGACAUCGAGAGUAUCAAGCUAAUUUGCAUGGUUAUUCACACCUUGUUUGUGAUCCUCGGCGUCCCAGUCACAAACUUGAAAGGCAUAAUCGAGAUUAAACAUGCCAUUGAAAAGUUUAAUGAAUCUCAAAAGAUCUAGGGCUUUCAAUUCAUUAAUAACCUAAUUUUCAUUUUUGUUUUUCAUGGUGGAAAUUGGUAAAUCGUCAUUUACCUACCUUCAAAUAUUUUGCGACUGGAUUACGGCAUCCCUCUUCCGAAUUGUAGAAUAUUGUGUUGGAUCCUAGCCUUAAUAUUCCCUUUGGGUGUUAUAUUAAGGAUUGAAUCAACUAACUUGAACUUCUCCCAUUUUGUAGAUGUCUAAAUCUAACAACUAUGGUAUUCCACAAUCCUUUGGAAAAAGUCUUCCACAUGAAGAUGAUGUUCCACGAUUCGAUCGAGGAACAAGAGAUCAUGCUUCACUUCAUCCUCCUCCUCCCGUUGUUCUCCCUAACCCACAAGAUCGAAGAAUUGAAAGGUUCAAUGUCACUAAAGCCCUAUUGGAAAUGAAACAUGAAGAUAAUGUUGGGUGCGUCAUUCCCCGAUAAGUUGGCUGUGAACUGGGUUCUGCAGUCGCUCCCUGAAUCAUAUAAUGAGUUCAAGAGAAUGUAUUAUAUGAUGGAUCAUGACGAUAACCUCAUUGACCUAACUUACAUGCUCAUUGCUGCUGAAUCAGAAAUAAUUUGGCAAAGCAAUGGAGCGGUUUUGUUGGGAAAGUCAACCAACCAUGCUUUCGAGGACGUUCUAGGAGAACCGACCUGCGUUUGCUGCCAAGAGAAAGGGCGUUGGAUACAAGUUUGCCCUAAGAGCCUGAAGAAUCCAAAAGAUGGGAGAGUCAAAGAGUAUGGUUGUGCUUCAGGUAAAAAUCCACUAUCUAACUCCAUUAAGUUCUUAUUCGUUGAUUCUUAAUACAUGAUGUGAUAAGAUUGCAUUUGAAUGUUUUGCAGGAUCAGUGAAAAGAGAGGAAGCUUGAUGGAAAAGCAAGAUAAGUCUAAUCACAAAGAAAUGGAUCUCGAUCGCAUGGACUUGAAGAUUAGAUUUUGAGCUUAGAAAGUUAUGAUAGAGUUGUUAGGAAUAUUAGACUACAUAGUUUUUCAGUUAAUUUUGCAUUGUAAGGAAAAAUGUUUUCCGCUGCUUUUAUGAAUAAAAUAAAUUUUGAUUUGACUCAUUUAUUUAUUUAUUUCCUUGCAAUGAAAUCGUUAUGAAAAAUUGAUGUUUGCAUAUUUCUACAACGAAUGGAUGUGAUUCUUAAUUAUGUUAAUUAUGGAAAGGUCAAGAAUUUACCAAAUAGGAAAAGUUUCUCAUCGCCCAAGUUUCAAUUGGAUAGAGACUUGGGUCAUGCAACUUGGUUGCACGAUGAAUGAGAAAUUUCAUAUGUGGAAAUAAGACUAAUUCGUUGACAAAGUGUCAAGUGAAGAACUAGGAGAUCGAGUACACAAAGUUGUGUGUUGAUCAAGUCCACCGCAAGAGUAACGAAGAUAUUCGUCAUGAUUUACUAGAGGUUUAGUAAAAAUGAUUAUACUUAUAAGAUUAAGUGUAAUUCUGAAUUGAUUGAAAAAGGUUUAAAUCAAUAGCAUAACGAAUAAGAAGAAUCAAGUAGACAGAAAGAUAAAAGUCUCUCUAUUCUAAGAAGAAGGGAGAGUAUCUUUAUGCUUUAUGAUAUGUCUUAAUGAUUAAGAACCAUAUCUCAAUUGAUCCUCUAAGUAAGUCUUAGUACAAUUGUAUGUCUGAGAAGAGGAAUCAAGAAUUAAAGAAAUGGUUAAAAUCAAGAAGUCAAUCGUAUUUCGUUCCAAACAAGUCUUAGAGUUAAGAUUGUGACAUAGAGUGACAAGUAUUAGGAAGGUUUAUGACAAUCAUCAAAUGUAGAAUUUGGAAAAGGGUUUUCUUAUUCUUGCACAUUUGAAAUUCGUAAGUUGUGAUGUCUUGGAUUAGACAAAGACCAACGAGGACCAAUUUGUGAAGUGUUUUGUCUUGAUAAAAGCUACACUAACUCUUGAAUAUUUGGUUGUCGAGAAAUGUUUAUUGACAAGAGAAUCUUAUAUGUCAAGGAGUCAGUGGGAGUCUUAAUGGUCUUGAAAAGGUUUCAAUAACAAAUCAAAAUAAACCUUAUCAAUCAUCACUAGCACACGAGUUGAGGUUUACAACCUAUCGUGUUGACAUUAUCUUGUUUCUGUGCCGUUCCAAUCGAGUUAAUUAUGCAUGUGAGUUCUAUGAGUUCUCAUUUGAAUGCAUAAAAGGCAAGGACCUUGAUCAAUGGAAAGUACAUUGAUAGGAAAGGGUGAGCUGCUUAACUACUUGGAAGACAUGGUGGGCAGCCGUGUUACCAUAAGGCAAGAAAUCAAGAUUAAGAGUUCGGUCCAUAUAAGUUUGAAUUUGUCAUAAACUUUGGUUUUAACAAAUUCACAUGGAUAGGAACACAUACACUAUUAAAAUCUAAGUGUCAUAAGAUUCCCUCCUUCAUGGAAAUGACUGUGAGGUAAUGCUUUCACUAAAAGAGAUUUUAAGAAGAUAGUAAUUGUGAAAAUUGGAUUCUCGAAUUCGAUUAUGGUUACAGUAUCCCUUUCCAUGAUUCGAAUUGUAAGAUUUGGCAAUUAGUCUGAAUUGUUUAGACACACAUAUGAGCUAUCUAAGGGAAAGGUGUAUAAGCUUAGAUAAAGGAUUAUCAAAGCAUUAGUUAUUAGAAACAUGAACUUAAGAAAUUCAAUAGGUAUUGUUCUUCUGAAAGUUAAGUUGUUUCUAAAUACAUGUCAAAGCUAGUGGGAGCAUAAGUGUUAUGUUUAUAAUAAUCAUCAUGAUAGUGGGAGCAUAAAUGUUAUGAUUAUGUGAUUAUUAAGGCAAGUAUUGCAAGUUAGCAAUAUUAAUUAUAGAAAACAAGAGUUAUACUUUGCAAAGUCACAAUGGUUAAAAGGUUGUUUUGCUAUAAUUAAGGGAGAGAAUAUUAUGCUUCAUUUCAAAACUAAAGGCUUAGGUUGUGGAAUGUUAAUUAUUUUAGUCAAGGAUACAUAGUAUUCUUAAAUUUCGAUUAUGAUUACGACAUUUCUCUUCAUAGUUCGAAUUGUGAGAACAUAGCACAUAAAAUAUUAUGGCAGAAGACUGAUAAAGUAUCAAAUCUUUAUGCAUCGUGUCCCAUGCGCUUCGGGUAUAGGAUCGAUUGCAAAUGCUAUAAUAUUUGACCAUUCCAAAAUUUUCCAAAUGUCUAGCGCAUUUAGAGGGAAAAGGACAAGAAUAGGUUUUGACUAAGAUAAUUAAACAACUAUCAAAGGACAAUCCAAAGUUCGCCAAGGAUUGGUCACUUAUGAGUAGUUGGAAGUAUAGUAUUGAAUAGACCAUAUCGACAUUAUUAUGAAUAGAAAAGAUUCUAUUAAGAAUGAGUUGUCAUAUGGAAAAUAUGGAAACGUUUCCAUAUUGGGAGUCGGAUAUUGAGAAUCUAUGUCUAGAUUAGAAAUUUUAUGCAAAAGGAUGUUCAAAGGAAUGUCCUUUGAGUGAGAGACAUCACAUCUAAGGAAUUGUCUUGUAACAAUCUCCAAUAGACAGCUUUGUAAUUCAUUGGCAAUAGUCAUUGUGACUUUGGUGCAGUGACAUUAUGAAAGGAUGAUUGCAUAAAAUAUUAGAAUCUAACAUAUUCCAUAAGUGGCAAGAAUUUGAUAUUCUUUCACUUGUGAAAAGGAUUGGGAGUUAUGAAAUGAUUAUGAUUGGAAAUGUGUUCAUUUGAUCUAUUUCACAAAGUAAGAACCAUAGAUAAACACUGUGUGCAUGCUAAGAGCAUGGGACAAGUGUUGUAAUAAUUUAAGUAAGAAGUUUAUUACCCGAAACAAGAAAUAAUGAGUAAUCGAUAUGGUGAUAAUAAAAGGUGUUUUAUUUAUACUCAAGGUUUGAGGCCAUAUGGGACUAGUAUUAUUCUUGUGUUUCACUUUGCAUGUUUUGACUUCCUAAAUAAUUUAAAUUGGUUUAGAACAGUUAAAUUAUUCGAACGGGCCCUAGUCGUUCAUAUGUUGGAAGUAGGUAUGAAUGAAGACUGUCAUGAAUUGGUGUGUGGAUUGUCUAAAGAGCAUUAGACAUAAGCAAAUGUUUGCUGCAACGUUCAUGAGUGCUUAUAAAUAUGAUUUGAGCAUUGCAUUAAACCCACGCUCACUUGGAUCACUUCAUGGAUUUUAUCACGAGUGAUUGGUGAGACGAUAAUAUCUUAUAUUCUUGAAACCGAGAUGUGUGAGUUGUAUCUUGCGAGUUGGUUGCACAUUGAUAAUACGUAAACGCACCAGUAACUUGGUGUUAUAAAACAUAUUGUUGUGUGUGAUUCGGUGAGUAAGUGCAAUCGAACAUUGAGUCAAAGUUUAUCCGUUCCUUUUAUCAAAAGUAGGAUAAAAACGAUUUCUGUGGGCCCCUCGAUUAUUUAGUGAUGGCACCUAAGCGCUUGGCCAAGCCGGGACUAAAUUGAUGUGUUCAAUUGUAGUCUAUUGUUAGUCGUCAUAAAUCUGAAUUCGGGAAACAACACAUAGACAGAGAGAAUGUUUUAGAUCCAUGUCUCAGUCUAUACGAUAUCUAGAAUGGAGGAAUAUAUGAUCCCUUAUCUAAAGGAUACGCGAAUAUGAUAAGAUCAGAGUUGACAGCGGCUUUAGAAAGCUACGAUUGCAGAUCAGGAUCUGAAGUCAUACGCAUAAUAGUUAUUAGACUUAUCCAAGUGGGAGACUGUUGGAUUAGUGUCUAAGUCCAUAAACUAUUUUGGUAUGUACUUGACCCGAUGGUGUAUGGUCCUUUUGGGUUGUCUUCACCAAAGCAACUUGAUAGGAUGAAUUAUAGAGAGAAAGGAUUAAAUAUGAUUUAUUAAUAUAAUAUGAGAAUAAUAUAUUAAAGGAGAAAUCAUAUUGUUUCAUUAAUAUUAGUCAAGAAUUAAUUGAUAAUUAAUUUUAUGACUAAAAGAGAUUAAUUAAACUUAAGGGACUAGAACUGUCAAUUGUAUGAUAGGUGAAUAUUGAGCUAAUGGACUCCAUAUUAAAGGAGUAGACAAAUUCUAUGGGGAAACCCAUUAGAAAUCGUCCUAGGCCUUUAAGGAAGGAGCCCAUGGGUUGCUUAGGGCUUAAGCAUCCAAAUUAGGUUUUCCUUGUUAGAUAACCCUAAUAGCCUCACUAUUUAAGGACCCCUUGGGCACCAAAAACGUGGGCAACUGACUCCUAGGGGUUUCUACACAUUUUUGGGUGUUUCUUCUCUUCUCCUAUUCAUCCUCUUGCUCUUGGUGUUUGUGAACCAUUAGAGGAGUGACAUUUGUGACUCUAAGCUUUCUAAAGUCAUUAUAAAGGAGGAUUUGAGAUUGUUAUUGCUACAUAACAAUCAAGGUAUGAUGUAAACCCUAAUUCAUAUGUUAUAUUGAUUAUCAUAUACUAGAUAUAGGGUUUAUAGUCUUGGAUGAGUUGCAUGUACAAUAGAGAAACCUAGAUCCAAGCAUUAGGGUUUUUAUGAGCACAUAGGAUGUUUUUAUAGCUAAAACCCAUCAGGGUUAAACCCAUUGGAUGCUCCAUGGAGGCUCCAUGGGAGUUACAAACCCAUGGGUAAUGGAAAUGAAGAGUCAUGUCACAUUAGGGUUUACAUGGCGUAACCCUAGAUGUGACACACUAUAUAAAGAACAUCAUACUCCCUAAAAUCGGCUACACAUAGUGACAAGAGGGCUUGCCUGAUUUUUUGAGUGUUACACGUUCUCUCAAAGUUGUUCCAAAGCAUUUGGUGUUGUAUGAAGCAUUUGAGGAAUCACACUUAGGGUGCUAGGCUCUCAAGGUUUCAAGGAAUCAUAACAACAACAAGGUAUGUGUUUCUAGCUAUCUUUUAUAUUAUAAAGUUCCCCAUGUAUGCUAGAUAGGUUUAUGAACCUUGGAAAAAAGUAAUUUGCAUGUAUCUUAUACAAACAUAGAUCCAAGGUUCUCUAGGGUUGCAUGUACACUUAGGAGUGUUAGAAUUGCUCAAAACCCUUCGAUGGUAUCAGAGACUAGGCUUGCUUGUUUGAUAUUUGAUGCAAAAUAGUGAAAAAAGUCGAUUUUUUGUUGUCUGCCUGCUGAAAUCGCCAAGUCCAUGGGGGGACUUGCCGAGUUCAUGUGUAAAAUCAUCCUACUCGUCGAGUAGGUUCAUGCACUCGACGAGUAGGAGCCUCAGAAUGCAGUUUUUUGACUUUUGCUGCUGGAAAUGGACUAGAAACGUUACCCUAAACUGUUUGGGUGUUAUUAAACAUGUUUUAGAUGGUGUAAUGGUUGUUCUAAUCCAUUUAUAAUGACUAAUAUCAAAAUUCCAUGAUUUUAUGUUUUCUUGAAAAUUUGAUAUUCAUAUUCAUGUUCUUAUGAGUUUAGAUGAUCAUAGGAAUUAUGUGUAACUUCUUGAUAGUUUUAAUUCUUAAUCAUUAUGUGUUUUAAUGGAAUCCAUAAUUUGUCCUCAAGUUAUGAAUUACCAAAAGUUUUAUCUUUGAAUGUCCAUUGAAGAAACACAUAGGUUACAUAAAAUGAAGAUUUACUCAUUUUAAUGAACCAAUUAAUCUCAUAAGUUAUGGAUUGAAGAGUUUUGUUAAGUUACAAAACUUUCCCUCAAAUUUUGGAACUUGUAAAGUCACCUAAUUAACUUUAGUUCCAACCCCUAGAAUUUAAAAUGUUAAAAUUCAACACUUAUACUUUAUAAUAUUAUAAGUUUAAUAUAUAUAUAUAUAUAUAUAUAUAUNNNNNNNNNNNNNNNNNNNNNNNNNNNNNNNNNNNNNNNNNNNNNNNNNNNNNNNNNNNNNNNNNNNNNNNNNNNNNNNNNNNNNNNNNNNNNNNNNNNNNNNNNNNNNNNNNNNNNNNNNNNNNNNNNNNNNNNNNNNNNNNNNNNNNNNNNNNNNNNNNNNNNNNNNNNNNNNNNNNNNNNNNNNNNNNNNNNNNNNNNNNNNNNNNNNNNNNNNNNNNNNNNNNNNNNNNNNNNNNNNNNNNNNNNNNNNNNNNNNNNNNNNNNNNNNNNNNNNNNNNNNNNNNNNNNNNNNNNNNNNNNNNNNNNNNNNNNNNNNNNNNNNNNNNNNNNNNNNNNNNNNNNNNNNNNNNNNNNNNNNNNNNNNNNNNNNNNNNNNNNNNNNNNNNNNNNNNNNNNNNNNNNNNNNNNNNNNNNNNNNNNNNNNNNNNNNNNNNNNNNNNNNNNNNNNNNNNNNNNNNNNNNNNNNNNNNNNNNNNNNNNNNNNNNNNNNNNNNNNNNNNNNNNNNNNNNNNNNNNNNNNNNNNNNNNNNNNNNNNNNNNNNNNNNNNNNNNNNNNNNNNNNNNNNNNNNNNNNNNNNNNNNNNNNNNNNNNNNNNNNNNNNNNNNNNNNNNNNNNNNNNNNNNNNNNNNNNNNNNNNNNNNNNNNNNNNNNNNNNNNNNNNNNNNNNNNNNNNNNNNNNNNNNNNNNNNNNNNNNNNNNNNNNNNNNNNNNNNNNNNNNNNNNNNNNNNNNNNNNNNNNNNNNNNNNNNNNNNNNNNNNNNNNNNNNNNNNNNNNNNNNNNNNNNNNNNNNNNNNNNNNNNNNNNNNNNNNNNNNNNNNNNNNNNNNNNNNNNNNNNNNNNNNNNNNNNNNNNNNNNNNNNNNNNNNNNNNNNNNNNNNNNNNNNNNNNNNNNNNNNNNNNNNNNNNNNNNNNNNNNNNNNNNNNNNNNNNNNNNNNNNNNNNNNNNNNNNNNNNNNNNNNNNNNNNNNNNNNNNNNNNNNNNNNNNNNNNNNNNNNNNNNNNNNNNNNNNNNNNNNNNNNNNNNNNNNNNNNNNNCUCCUGGAAGAAUCGCGGGGCCACCCCGACUCAACUCGCCGAGUCUGAAGAACAACUCGACGAGUCCCAGUUAAUCUUCAAGCUACUCGCCGAGUCUGUUCAUCGGACUCGGCGAGUCCAUGCCAUGCAACCGCUCAAACUGCUUUCUAAGGUCAGAACUGCUCCGACCAUUCAUAGGUCUGGCCUUCCUAGACUGAUUCAUCACGUAAGGUCCUCAUUUCGGUGCUCAUAAUACACCCCAUGACUCAUAAUUUACAUUUUGACCUAAGGCAUAAGGAUUCCAAUCCAAAACCUCCAUUGAUUCCUGAAAUGCUCAGGCAUGGGACAUUCUGGACUUCCAAAGAUCUCAAUACAGGGUUCCAAUCGUUUGGGGGACUAAAGUAACACUCAAUCUAGCCACAAAAGGGUUCAAUAAAUCCUAAAUCCAUAUACACAUCAACAUAGAAGAAUGUAACUCGAAAUAUUACCUGAAUAACGUGCUCUCUGUGUCCCCAAUCCACAGAACGUGGCUCUUCCUGUUGUUCCCUUAACCAAGCCUCUUCUUCCUUGCAAAACCACACUUCCAAAAUCAACAAUGGUCUUCAACCUUGCUCCAGACGCUCACAAUCGAAUUAGGGUUUCUCUCAGAGGACUAGGGUGAACAAUGACGGCCAUAAAGUCCCUCAUAUACGUCCCAAACCUGAACGGUUAGGGUUUUCGCUAAAUAGCGCAGACUCGCCGAGUCCAUAUCCGGACUCGUCGAGUCCAGUCGCGAACCCGCAACCAGAUCCGCGAUCCUACUCGGCGAGUCUAGGCUCCAACUCGCCGAGUCCCCUCUUAAAACACCCAAAAUCAUAAAUAUAACAAUACCUGAAAUUCCAGGCUGUUACAGUAAUCGGGUUAUUGUUGGUUGGUAAAAGUAAAUACAAUUAUUUAUUGCGGGUUGAAAACACUAUAUGCUCACCAGGCUCCCAAGCCUGACCCACUCAGUUUAUUUGUAUUACAGGUAGUGGCGCGAGGGCAUAAGAUGGACGAAUCAUCAAGUUAUUUUGUUUAUUAGACCAGUUGUUAUAUGUAACUAUUGUAUGGUCUAUCUUUUGUUGUUUAUGCUUUUGUGUCUGUAUCGGAACAUGACAUCUCGAGUUUUGAUUUUAUAGUGAAAAUACAUUUCUUUAUGAAAUGCUUUGGUAAAUAUUAUUUUAUCAUACUUUGUUUUUGGGAACAAAUUUCGCAACUCUUUUAAAUCAAAAGGAUUUACUCUUAAAUUAUUUUAAAAAGCAUAAAUGAAACUGGUCUUUUAUGGCCGUGAUUUUGGGGAUGUCACAGUGGGUAUCAGAGCAUUAGUUUAAGCGAACUAGGAAUUUGUAAGAUUUCUAGACUUAAACUUAGAAUGCUAAGUGGAGAUUGUGAGAAGUGUGUCUGUUAUAUUAUGGACACGAGCACUAGUAUAUUUUAGGAAGUUGCCUAAAAUGCUCUUAGGUGCUAAAUGUUAUAUGUUGCCAUAUAUGAUAUUAUUUGUUUGGAUCUAUGGUCUGUUGCCGACCGGAUCAUGAAACCUUAUGUGUGUAGGAUUCUAAGCAUACGUCUACGACAUUAGAACUAGCAUGUAAACGUUUCGGAGUGAUAUGGAAGAUCGUAAUAUCUAUCAUGAAUAAAGAUCUAAAUUUCACCUUAUUCGGUGUAUUGAUCAAGAAUGGCAAGAACAAGAAGCAGUGAUGGAAAUGCAAACAAGAACAGGAAUCAACCGCCUCUAAUUGAACAAGUAAUUGUUGAAACUGCUGCACCAGAGCAAAUCACUCUGGCUGGGGUGCAAGCCAUGAUUCGGGCUAUGUUAGCCGAACAAAAGGAAGAAAUGCGACAGAUGUUGCAUGAAAAUAGGGACGAACCAAUCAUACCCAUUGAGGAACCCAAACUGAUUCCCGAACAAUCGGAGGAAGGAAACAAUAGUCGCGUUGUGAGUCAAGUUGGGAGUCAAGGAGAACGAAGGAACGACCCGGAAAGGGGAAACAAAAAGGAUGGGAGAAUGUAUAAGAAUUUCUUGGGCGCCAAGCCGCCAAGUCUUUCUGGGAACCUAAAGCCCAUUGAGAUUAUGGAUUAGAUCUCCGAAAUGAAGAUGGUAUUUGAAAGUUGCGACUGUAUCAACAAACAGAAGACUGUCUUUGCAGUUAGACAACUGAAGACCGGAGUCUUGAGCUGGUGGAAGUUGUUGGCAGAUAUUAUGUCAUGAGGAGAAGCCCUGAAAAUGUCAUGAGAGGAGUUCUUAGAACAACUAAGGGCGCAGUAGUGUUCAGAGAUAGAUCUGAUUGAUCUGAACAAUGAGUUCCAAAACUUAAAGAAGGGGAGGAUGAGCAUAAAUGACUAUGCUAUCGCAUUCACUGAUAAAAUGAGGUUAUUUCCAUACCUAGUGCGAAUGAAACUCUCCAAGAUUGAGAGGUUCGCUAAUGGACUACCUUCCGACUUUUGCCCGAUAGUCAAGAUGGCAACUACUCUAAAAAUAGUUGUUUGUGCGGCUAAGAAUGUGGAGACCCAGCAGAAGGAAAAGGGUCUGGAAAGAAUAGAGGUUGGUGAGAAAAGGAAGUUGGAUGGACCUUUAGGGUCCAACAAGAAAAUCAAGUUUUCGAAGUCUAGUUCGAGAGGAGGAGGAGGAAGAGAAGCCAAAUGGUACGACAAAUGUAAGAAGAAGCAUCAUGGAAAAUGUGAAGUAGUAGCCACAUGUUUUAAAUGUGGAAAGCCAGGGCACUAUGCCAAUGAAUGCACUCUCACCAAGAAAGUUUGUUAUGGCUAUGGUGAGGAGGGGCACAUCUCGAGAGAUUGUUCGAAGAAGAAGGAGGCAUCAAAACCCAAUAUUCCCCCAAAGCCGAAGGCGAGAGCAUUCCAGAUGACACUGGAAGCUGCAAAAUAUGAAGCUGAUGUCGCUUCAGGUACCUUUCUCGUAAACAAAUUGCAUGCCCAAAUUUUAUUUGAUUCUGGAGCCAACUACUCCUUUAUUUCGCAUGAAUUUGGUAGAAACUAGCUUCUCCUGUCGAUAGACUAGAUAAUGCUUUAUUAGUCGAAGUUGCUAGUAGCAAAUUUCUACCUAUUAGCCAUCGUAUGAAAAACAUCUUAAUUCACUUGAAUGGGAAUAAGUUCCAUGAGGAAUUAUUGCCUAUCGAACUAAACAAUUUCGACAUCGUGCUGGGAAUGGAUUGGCUUAGCGCCAAUGACGCCGAAAUAUUGUGCAAGAAGAAGAUUGUAAAGGUAAAUCCGCCAGGNGCAAGAAGAAGAUAGUAAAAGUAAACCCACCAGUGAAAGAGUCAUUUAUGGUGUAUGGGGACAAACGCAGAGUAAAUUCUAGAAUCAUUUAUCUAAUGAAAGCCAGAAAGUGUUUGGCCAAAGGAUGUACAUCAUAUUUGGCAUUUGUGAUAGAUUCUAAGAAGGAGAAAAAGGUGAUGCAAAGCAUUCCUAUCGUAUGUGAUUAUCGGGAAGUAUUUCCCAAAGAUCUUCCCGGAUUACCGCCUGAUAGAAAUUUGGAGUUCAUAAUAGACUUGUUACCAGGGACGACGCCUAUAGCAAAAGCACCUAAUCGAUUAGCACCAUCAGAGAUGAAGGAGCUAAUGAUGCAACUUCAGGAGUUAUUGGGCAAAGGUUUAAUUAGACCUAGUUUAUCACCCUGGGGAGCUCCGAUGUUAUUCGUGAAGAAGAAAGAUGGAAGUAUGAGAAUGUGCAUCGAUUAUAGAGAGCUGAACAAGGCAACAAUAAAGAAUAGAUAUCCGUUGCUGAGGAUUGAUGACUUGUUCGAUCAACUACAAGGUUCAAGUUAUUUUUCAAAGAUCGACCAAAGGUCAAGAUAUCAUCAGCUGAAGGUGAAAGAGCAGAUAUAGAGAAGACUGCAUUCAGAACACGAUAUGGACACUAAGAGUUUUUGGUUAUAUCAUUUGGACUAACCAAUGCUCCAGCAUCAUUCAUGGAUUUAAUGAUCAUGGUUUGUAAUCCGUUCCUAGAUAAAUCUGUGAUAGUGUUCAUAGAUGACAUUCUGAUUUAUUUGAAAAGCGAAGAGGAGCAUGGCAUACACUUGCGAGAAGUGUUAGAAGUCUUGAAGAAGGAGAAGUUGUAUACAAAUUUCUCCAAAUGUGAUUUCUGGAUUCGAGAAGUCCAAUUCUUGGGUCACGUGAUCAACUAAAAAGGGAUAAUGGUUGAUCCAGCAAAGAUUGAAGCUGUAAUGAAGUGGGAACAACCGAAAAGUCCCACGGAGAUCCGAAGCUUUUUAGGAUUAGCCAGAUAUUACCGAAGGUUUAUCCAAGGCUUUUCUACGAUCGCUACUCCAUUAACAGCGUUCACCCACAAAGGAGUUACUUAUGCUUGGAAUGAUAAGCAUAAAGAAGAAUUCGAGAGGCUAAAGAAGAAGCUAUAUGAGGCAGCGAUUCUUUCUCUACCCGAUGGAGUUGAAGACUUCGCUGUUUAUAGCAAUGCGUCUGGUGUUGGCUUGGGUUGUGUUUUAACCCAAAGGGAAAAGGUGAUCGCAUAUGCAUCUCGACAGUUGAAGGAGCAUGAAAAGAACUACCCGACUCAUGAUUUGGAGUUGGAAACGGUAGUUUUCGCUCUGAGAAUAUGGAGGCAUUACCUCUAUGGCACGAAGUGCAACUUUUCACUGAUCAUAAGAGUCUCCAAUAUCUCUUUAGUCAGAAAUAAUUAAAUAUGAGGCAAUGAAGUUGGCUUGAAUUACUUAAGGAUGUACGACUGCGAGAUACUUUACCACCCUGGUAAGGCUAAUGUUGUUGCUGAUGUUCUCAGUCGGGAAGUCAAUCUUGAAAGAAAAAGGCCAAGAGCGUUGAGAAUAGAAGUUGUCUCAACAAUUGUGGAGAGUAUAAAGAAAGCUAAAGAGGAAGCUUUUGUGAAGAAUGAUCGAAAAGAAGAACUUUAGGGAAAAAUGUUGGUGUUCGGUAUAAACAGUCAUGGACUGAAGGUGUUCCAAGAUCGGAUUUGGAUACCUAAGACAAGAGGAGUCAGAGAUCUUAUGAUGGAAGAAGCUCAUAAGUCCAUGUACUCAAUUCAUCCCGGUAGUACUAAAAUGUAUAGGGACCUAAAACCCUACUACUGGCGGCCGACGAUGAAGCUUGAUGUUGAAAAGUAUGUAGCCGUGUGUGUGACUUGUGUGAGAGUCAAGACACAACAUCAGAAACCGUAUGGGAGUUUAGAACCUUUGCCUGUGCCUAUGGGUAAGUGGGAAGACAUUGCUAUGGAUUUUAUCACUAAACUGCCCAGAACGAAAAGUGGUCACAACAUGAUUUGGGUGAUCGUUGAUCGAUUCACUAAGAGUGCGCAUUUCAUAGCAUCCAAUGAGAAAUGGUCUAUGGAAAAGCGUGCGAAUUCUUUUGUGAAGGAAGUUGUGAGGCUUCACGGUGUUCCGUUAACGAUUGUGUCAUAUCGUGAUAGCCAUUUCACCUCGCGAUUUUGGAGAAGUCUACAAGAGGAAUUGGGUAGCAAGUUGUGUUUGAGUACAUCUUACCAUCCACAGACUGAUGGUCAGAGCGAACGGACGAUACAAACACUUGAAGAUAUGCUGAGAGCAUCUACCCUAGAAUUCCAAGGUACUUGGGAUGAACAUUUACCUUUGAUGAAAUUUUCCUACAAUAAUAGUUUCCACUAGAGCCUAAAGAUGGCACCUUGUCAAGCUUUGUAUGGACAGAAGUUUCGUACGCCGUCUUAUUGGCUUGAGGCUGGAGAAAAGAAGUUUAUGGGACCCGAGAUGGUUCAUCAAAUUGCUGAAAACCUGAAAAUAAUUUAGGAAAGAAUGUUAGUAGCUCAGGAUCGUCAAAAGUGCUAUGCUGACAAAUAGCGAAGACCGAUGACUUUUGAAGUUGGAAAUUCGGUUUUGCUUAAAGUCUCGCCAUGGAAGGGACUUAUAAGAUUUUGUAAAUGGGCAAAGUUUAGUCCAAGGUUUAUUGGACCUUUUAAAGUUCUUGAGAGGAUUGAGAACCAAGCUUACAAGAAUGAAUUGCCAGAAGAACUGCAUGGUAUUCAUAACACUUUCCAUGUGUGUUAUUUGAGGAAGUUUACUAGAGAACUUCCCGACAUGAUUCCACUUUCGGAGUUGAGAAUCAAUGAGAACAAAAGGUUGAUUGAAGAACCAGAGGCAAUCGUUCACUGAAAGACUAAGAAGUUGGGACGCAAGAUGGUCGAGUUUGUGCUUGUCCGAUGGAAACACACGAAUAGGCCAAAUCUCACCUGGGAGACGGAGAGUGACAUGAUCAGUCACUACCCGCAUUUGUUUGUUGAUGUGUGAUUCCGAGGACGGAAUCAUUCUAAGGUGGAGAGAAAUGUAACACCUGUGUUUCUGGGCUUGUCAUUAAUAUUGAUGUAAUAGUCCAGGUUAACCAUUGUAACCCGUUUCGAAAUAAUAGAAGUGUAUUAUUUGAGUAUUAUGUGUUUUGUGCUUAAUUGUGUGUCUCAAUUGAGUUAAGUAUGAAAAUAAGCGUCAAAAUUAAAUGUUAGAUAAAGCCGAUAUUUAUGUAUAAUGCUCUAGUAGUUGAAACGAGGUUUCCGAAUAUACAUAGAAUGCCGAAAUCCGAGUUAUAAGGAAGAAGUUAUGAUAUGUCGAAGUUUCGCGACAGAAACCGGCACGACGCUGAAUGACGUAAAAAGUGAAUUUACGUUAGAGUGAUACUUAGCCCUAGUGAUCUAAACGAAUGUUGUAGAUUUCGUUAAAUUGAGAGCGUGCAUAAAAAAAUCGCCCAAAUCUGACUUCGUAUGAGGAAGUUAUGAUUUUCCGAAGUUUCAACUUAUCAGUGUGCAGCCCGAAUACUCGAUUUGAGAUCAAGCGGUUUUUAGCCGAAACAAUCUAAACGAGAAUUGAAGAUCUCGUUAAUGGUAGUGCAAUGGUAAAAAGACAGAUGAAAACGGACGUCGGAUGAAGAAGUUAUGAAUUUAUAACGGGGUUUUUCUGUCCCGGCCUACUAAAAAUAAAUAAUAAAAAAAUAAUAUCAAAAUCAGCCGACGGAGUCUAAACGAAAGUUGUAGAGCGUAGUCUCACCUACGCGUGGAUAUAAAGAAAGUCGAAACGGAGUUCAUAUGAAGAAGAUAUGAAUUUCCGAAGUUUUUAAAUGAUUAACAUUUAUUAAUUAAUCUUUAAUUCGGAUGUAUAUCCGAAGGAGACACCGAUCUAGUCCGCACUACGCCCAGCGUAGUUGAGUACGACCAGCGUACACCGAAGUGUGACCCGCCUUACACUCAAGAGCUCCGAUAACGCAUGCAGUGACGAAUCCGAAGUGUACACCCCGCGUACUGAGCAUUACGCCCAGCGUAAUGUGAGGCUUCAGCCUCUAUAAAAGGGCUUGCGAGGGCAGCCAAUGCUUUUGCUCAAUUUAUUUUCUCUCUCUCCCGUUUUGCAUCGUUUUGCAUACAAAUUAUACCCCGAAACCCCGAUAUCAUUCCCGAGCCCCGAAGCAUGUCCUGAAGCCCCGAAGAUCCCGAGGAGUAGUGUUCCCGAGCCGAAGCUCUGCCUGCAAGAAGCCAAUUUUUUUGAAGAUCUUCCAGAUCUACCGAAGAAUACUACUUCUACAAGUCGUAGUGUUGUCCGAUCAUCUUCUGAUCAAGUGAGUAUGUAGUUACUUUCAUCUAAUGCAUAAUUACGAAGUAUUUUAUACGAAAUACGUGUUAUGUGUAUAUUUGUUGUUAUAUGUGUGAAUGUAUAUUCACUUUCUUCUAUCUCGUACAUAUGACUAAUUCUCUAUGAAAUAUGUGUUAUGUGUAUCUGUCUCAUCUGUUGUUUGGAAUAUGUAUUGAAUGAGAAUGUUAUACAGGUUUUAAACUAAGUAUAAAAAUAUAUAUUUUUAUCUACUAAUAUGUUGGGUAGACCAUGGGUAGAUGGUUGAUGUGUGAUAAACAGAUGAGAGGCCUCGAUGUUGCUGUUGAUCUAGUUAUUCAGCGGACUAUGGAUAAUGACCACAGACUCUUUCGAGACAGUCAUGUGGAACGCUGUGACAUCCUCAAAAUCACGGCCAAAAAAGACCGUUUUAAUUUAUGCUUUUAAAAUAAUUUGAGAGUAAAUCCUUUGAUUUAAAAGAGUUGCGGAAUUUGUUCCCAAAACAAAAUAUGAUAAAAUAAAGUUUUUCAAAGCAUUUCAUCAAGAGAUGCAUCUUCAUUAUAUAACAAUAUUCGGGAUGUCAUGUUCCCAUAAACAGACCAAAAAUAUAAACAACAAAAGAUAGAUCAUACAACAGUUACAUAUAACAAUUGGUCUAGUAUCAAAAGAUCUUGAUAAGUCAUCCAACUUAUGCUCUCGCGCCACUACCUAUAAUACAAAUAAACUGAGUGGGUCAGGCUUGGGAGCCUGGUGAGCAUAUAGGGUUUUCAACCCGAAAUAAAUAAUUAUAUUUAAUUUCACCAACCAACAAUAACCCAAUUACCCAUUCCCGUUAUCCUCACUUUACGUCCCUAAAACAACAUCUAUCUCAAGGGAUCUAAUAUAGGAUUUUCAUCGGGACAGACACUGCACAGGGGUUACCUCAAUAGUAGAUGUCCUAAAGGCAACCAUGAGGGGGAUAGAGUACACCGGUGAACACAUCGUUCACAACACCUAGCUAGCGUUCCACAGGACUGUCUAGAAAGAGUCUGUGGUUGUUAUCCAUACUCCGCUGAAUAACUAGAUCAACAACAACAACAUCGAGGCCUCUCAUUUGUUUAUCACACAUCAACUAUCUACCCAUGUUCUACCCAACAUAUUAGUAGAUAAAAAUAUAUAUUUUUAUACAUAGUUUAAAACAUGUAUAGCAUUCUCAUUCAAUACAUAUUCCAAUCAACAGAUGAGACACAUACACAUAGCACGUAUUUCCUAGAGAAUAAAUUAUAUCUCUGAGAUAGAAGAAAGUGAAUAUACAUUCACACAUAUAACAAAAAAUAUACACAUAACACGUAUUUUGUAUAAAAUACUUCAUAAUUAUGCAUUAGAAGAAAGUAACUACACACUCACUUGAUCAGAAGAUGAUCGGACAACACUACAGCUCUAAGAGUAGUAUUCUUCGGUGAAACUGGGUUCACUUCACUCACCAGGCUUCUUGCGGGCAGAGCUUCAGCUCGGAAACUCUUUUCUUCGAGGGAUCUUCGAGCUUCAGGACUUGCUUCGGUUGUCGGGAUGAUACCGGGGCUUCGGGGGUACUUUUUCACGUAAAUCGAGGUAAUAUGAGUGAGAGAGAAGAGAUUUGGCAACCACAAACGGUUGCCCCUUCAAAUCUAUUUAUAGGGCUAUUUUCUCAUUUUCCACGUCGUGGGCACUUCUUCCACGUCGUGAGCUUGGUCGUCAUUGCAUGCGUCAUCGUCCACUUGCUCUGCCAGGCUCCAGAAGGCGUCAGAAGCCAUGCCACGUCGUGGUCUCUGACGGUUUUGGUGUUUCGCACCCCGAACUUCAGAAAUCCAUAACUUUCGCAUACUUACUCCGUUUUCGACGUUCUUUAUAUCGACGUGUAGGUAAAAACAAGAUCUACAACUUUCAUUUAGACUUUGUAUGCUAAUUUUGACUUUAUUUUUAAUAUAUUAAUAAUAUACUAUUGUUAGUAGGCCGGGACAGGAAAACCCCGUUAGAAAUUCAUAACUCCUUCAUCUGACGUCCAUUUUCGACUGUCUUUUCACCGUUGGAGUACAAUCGAUGAGAUCUUUGAUUCUCGUUUAGAUUGUUUCGUCUAAAUAUCGCUCGAUCUCGUAUUCGAACUUCGGGCUAUACACUGCUAAACAAAAACUUCGAAAAAUCAUAACUUCCUCAUACGAAGUCAGAUUUGGGCCUUCUUUUUAUGCACGCUCUCAGUUUAACGAACUCUACAACAUUACUUUAGAUCGCUAAGUCCAAAUAUUUUUCUAAUGUAAACUCACUAUUUACGUCUCGCUGUGUCGUACCGGUUCUGUCGCGAAACUUCGACAAGUCAUAACUUCUUCGUUAUAACUCGGAUUUCGGCAUUCUUUAUAUAUUCAGAAACCUCGUUUCAACUACUACAACAUUAUCCAUAGAUAUUGGGUUGAUCUAACAUUUCAUUUUGACGUUUAUUUUUAUUCUUAAUUAAAUUAAGACAUACAAUUAAGCACAAAAACACAUAAUACUCAAAUAAUACACUUCUAUUAUUUCAAAACGGGUUACAAAGGUUAACCUAGACUAUUAUAUCAACAUUAAUGACAACCCCAGAAACACCGUCAUUACAAUUCUCUCCACCUUAGAAUGAUUCCGUCCCCGGAAUCACACAUCAACAAACAAAUGUGGGUAGCGACUCAUCAUGUCACUCUCCGUCUCCCAAGUGAGAUUUGGCCCAUUCGUGUGUUUCCAUCGGACAAGCACAAACUCAACCACAUUGCGUCGCAACUUCUUAGUCUUUCGGUCAAAGAUUGCCUCUGGUUCUUCAAUCAAUCUUUUGUUCUCAUCGAUUCUCAACUCCAAAAGUGGAAUCAUGUCGGGAACUUCUCUCGUGAACUUCAUCAAAUAACACACAUGGAAAUUUUUAUGAAUUCCAUUCAGUUCUUCUGGUAGUUCGAGCUUGUAAGCUUGGUUCCCAAUCCUCUAAAGAACUUUAAACGGUCCAAUAAACCUUGGACUCAACCUUCCCCUUUUACCAAAUCUUAUAAGUCCCUUCGACGGCGAGACUUUAAGCAAAACCGAAUCUCCAACUUCAAAAGUCAUCGGUCUUCGCUUGUUGUCAGCAUAGCUCUUUUGACGAUCUUGAGCUGCUAACAUUCUCUCCCUAAUUAUUUUCAACUUUUCAGCAGUUUGAUGGACUAUCUCUAGUCCCAUAAACUGCUUUUCUCCAGCCUCAAGCCAACAAGACGGCGUACGACACUUCUUUCCAUACAAAGCUUGAUAAGGUGUCAUCUUUAUGCUCGAGUGGAAACUAUUAUUGUAGGAAAAUUCUACAAAAGGUAAAUGUUCAUUCCAAUUACCUUAGAAUUCCAGGGUACAUGCUCUCAUCAUAUCUUCAAGUGUUUGUAUUGUUCGUUCGCUCUGAGCAUCAGUCUGUGGAUGGUAAGUUGUACUCAAACACAACUUGGUACCCAAUUCCUCUUGUAGACUUCUCCAAAAUCGCGAGGUAAAGCGGCUGUCACGAUCUGACAAAAUCGUUAACGGAACACCGUGAAGCCUCACAACUUCCUUCACAUAAGAAUUCGCACGCUUUUCCAUAGACCAUUUCUCAUUGGAUGCUAUGAAAUACGCACUCUUAGUGAAUCGAUCAACGACCACCCAAAUCAUGUCGUGACCACUUUUCAUUUUGGGCAGUUUAGUGAUAAAAUCCAUAGCAAUGUCUUCCCAAAUACCCAUAGGCACAGGCAAAGGUUCUAAACUCCCGUAUGGUUUCUAAUGUUGUGUCUUGACUCUCGCACAAGUCACACACUUGGAAACAUACUUUGCAACAUUAAGCUUCAUCGUCGGCCAACAGUUGUAGGGUUUCAGGUCCCUAUACAUCUUAGUGUCGCCGGGAUGAAUUAAGUACAUGGUUUUGUAAGCUUCUUCCAUCAGAAUUUCUCUGACUCCUCUUGUCUUAGGUAUCUAAAUCCGAUCUUGGAACACCUUCAGUGCAUGACUGUUUACACCGAACACUAACGUUUUGCCCAAACAUUCUCCCUUUCGGUCAUUCUUCUCAGAAGCUUCCUCUUGAACUUUCUUUAUACUUUCCAUUAUUGUCGAGACAACUUCAAUUCUCAACGCUCUUGGCCUCUUCCUUUCAAGAUUGACUUUCCGACUGAGAGCAUUAGCAACAACAUUUGCUUUGCUGGGGUGGUAAAGUAUCUCACAGUCAUAGUCCUUAAGUAACUCUAGCCAGCGUCGUUGCCUCAUAUUCAAUUCCUUCUGAUUAAAGAGAUAUUGGAGACUCUUAUGAUCAGUGAAAAGUUGGCACUUCGUGCCAUAGAGGUAAUGUCUCCAUAUCUUUAGAGAGAAAACUACCGCCGCCAACUCCAAGUCAUGAGUCGGGUAGUUCUUUUCAUGCUCUUUCAACUGUCGAAAUGCAUAUGCGAACACCUUUUCCCUUUGGUUCAAAAUACAACCCAACCCAACACCUGACGCGUCGCUAUAAAAACAAAGUCUUCAACUCCAUCGAGUAGAGAAUGUAUCGGUGCCUCGCAUAGUUUCUUCUUUAGCUUCUCGAAUGCUUCUUUAUGCUUAUCACUCCAAGCAUAAGUAGCUCCUUUGUGGGUCAAAGCUGUUAAUGGAGUAGCGAUCAAAGAAAAGCCUUGGAUAAACCUUCGGUAAUAUCCGACUAAUCCCAAAAAGCUUCAGAUCUCCGUGGGACUUUUCAGUUGUUCCCAGUUCAUUACAGCUUCAAUCUUUGCUGGAUCAACCAUUAUUCCUUCUUGGUUGAUCACAUGACCCAAGAAUUGGACUUCUCGAAUCCAAAAAUCACAUUUGAAGAACUUAGCAUAUAGCUUCUCCUUAUUCUAGACUUCUAACACUUCUCGCAAGUAUCUACCAUGCGCCUCUUGGCUUUUCGAAUAAAUCAGAAUGUCAUCUACAAACACUAUCACUGAUUUAUCAAGGAACGGAUUAGAAACCCUGAUCGUUAAAUCUACGAAUGUUGUUGGAGAAUUGGUUAGUCCAAACGACAUAACCAAAAACUCAUAGUGUCCGUAUCGUGUUCUGAAUGCAGUCUUCUCUAUAUCCUGCUCUCUUACUUUCAGGUGAUGAUAUCCUGACCUAAGAUCGAUCUUUGAGAAAUAGCUCGAACCUUGUAGUUGAUCAAACAGGUCAUCAAUCCUCGGCAACAUAUAUCUAUUCUUUAUUGUUGCCUUUUUCAGAUCUCUGUAAACGAUGCACAUUCUCAUACUUCCAUCUUUCUUCUUUACGAAUAACACCGGAGCUCCCCAGGGUGAUGAACUAGGUCUAAUGAAACCUUUGUCCAAUAACUCCUGAAGUUGCAUCAUCAGCUCCUUCAUCUCCGUCGGUGCUAAUCGGUAAGGUGCUUUUGCNNNNNNNNNNNNNNNNNNNNNNNNNNNNNNNNNNNNNNNNNNNNNNNNNNNNNNNNNNNNNNNNNNNNNNNNNNNNNNNNNNNNNNNNNNNNNNNNNNNNNNNNNNNNNNNNNNNNNNNNNNNNNNNNNNNNNNNNNNNNNNNNNNNNNNNNNNNNNNNNNNNNNNNNNNNNNNNNNNNNNNNNNNNNNNNNNNNNNNNNNNNNNNNNNNNNNNNNNNNNNNNNNNNNNNNNNNNNNNNNNNNNNNNNNNNNNNNUCUUUCCCAGGUGGGUUUACUUUGACUAUCUUCUUCUUGCACAAUAUCUCAGCAUCAUUGGCGCUAAGCCAAUCCAUUCCAAGCACGAUGUCAAAACCUUUAAGUUCAAUAGGCAAUAAUUUCUCGUGAAACUUAUUCUCAUUCAAAUCAAUUAAGAUGUUUUUCAUACGAUGACUAACAGGUACAAACUUGCCACUAGCAACUUCGACUAAUAAAGCAUUAUCUAGUCUAUCGACAGGCAAAGCUAGUUUUCUACCAAAUUCAUGUGAAAUAAAGGAGUAGUUGGCUCAAGACUCAAAUAAAAUUUGGGCAGGCAAUUCGUUAACGAGAAAGGUACCUGAAGCGACAUCAGCUUCAUCUUUAGCAGCUUCCAGUGUCAUCUGGAAGGCUCUCGCCUUCGGCUUUGGCGGAAUGUUGGGUCUUGCUGCCUCCUUUUUGGGGCAGUCCCUAGACACGUGUCCCUCCUCACCACAACCAUAACAAACUUUCUUGGUGAGAGUGCAUUCGUUGGCAUAGUGCCCUGGCUUUCCACAUUUAAAACAUGUGGCCACUACCUCACAUUUUCCAUGAUGCUUCUUCUUACAUUUGUCGCACCAUUUUGCUUCGCCUCCUCCUCCUCUCGAACUAGACUUCGAGAACUUUUUUUUCUUGUUGGACCUGAAGGUCCUUCGAACUUCCUCUUUUCACCAACCUCUAUCCUUUCCAGACCCUUUUCCUUCUGUUGGGCCUCCACAUUCUUAGCUGCUCGAACAACUUUUUUCAGAGUGGUUGCCAUCUUGACUGUCGGACCUAAUUCGGUAGGUAGUCCAUUAGCAAACCUCUCAAUCUUGGAGAGUUCCGUUGGCACCAGGUACGAAAAUAACUUUAUUUUCUCAGUGAAUGCAGUAGGAUAGUCGUCUACGCUCAUUCUCCCCUUCUUCAAGUUUUGGAAAUCAUUGUUCAAAUCAAUCAGAUCUAUCUUUGAACAGUACUGCACCCUUAGUUGUUCCAAGAAAUCCUCCCAUGACAUUUUCAGGGCUUCUCCUCAUUGCAUAGUAUCUGCCAACAGCUUCCAAAAACUCAAGACACCAGUCUUCAGUUGUCUAAAUGCAAAGACAGUCUUCUUUUUGUUGCUACAGUCGCAACUUUCAAAUACCAUCUCCAUUUCGGAGAUCCAAUCCAUAAUCUCAACAGGCUUCAGGCUUCCAGAAAGACUUGGCGGCUUGGCGCCCAAGAAAUUCUUGUACAUUCGCCCAUCCUUGUUGUUUCUCCUUUCCGGGUCGUUCCUUCGUUCUCCUUGAGUCCCAACUUGACUCAUAAUGCGACUAUUGUUUCCGUCCUCCGAUUGUUUGGGAAUCAGUUCAGGUUCCUCAAUAGGUAUGAUUGGUUCAUCCCUAUUUUCAUGUAACAUUUGUUGCAUUUCUUCCCUUUAUUCGGCUAACAUAGCCUGAACCAUGGCUUGCACCCCAGCCAUUGUUAUUGGUUCUGGUGCUGCUGCUACAACAGGUAUUUGCUCAAUCACUGGUGGUUGAUUCCUGUUUUCAUCUGCAUUUCCAACGCCACUCCUGGUUCUUACCAUUUUUUAUCUACACACCGAAUAAGGUGAAAUUCGAUCCUCAUCCAUGAUAGAUAAUUAAAUCAUCCUUAUCACUCCGAAACAUUUACAUGUUAGUUCUAAUACCGACGUCAUACGCUUAGAAUCUUACACACAUAAGGUUUCAAGAUCCGGUCGGCAGUAUACCAUAGAUCCGAACAAAUAAUAUCAUAUAUGGCAACAUAUAACAUUUAGCACAUAAAAGCAUUUUAGGCAGCUUCCUAAAAUAUACUAGUGCUCGUGUCUAUAAUAUAAUAGACACACAUCUCACAAUCUCCACUUAGCAUUCUAAUUUUAAGUCUAGAAAUCCUACAAAUUCCUAGUUCGCUUAAACUAAUGCUCUGAUACCAACUGUGACAUCCCCAAAAUCACGGCCAGAAAAGACCGUCUUAAUUUAUGCUUUUACACUAAUUUCAGAGUAAAUCCUUUGAUUUAAAAGAGUUGCGGAAUUUGUUUCCAAAACAAAAUAUGAUAAAAUAAAGUUUAUCAAAGCAUUUCAUUAAGAGAUACAUUUUCAUUAUAUAACAAUGUUCGGGAUGUCAUGUUCAGAUAAACAGACCAAAAGCAUAAACAACAAAAGAUAGACCAUACAACAGUUACAUAUAACAAAUGGUCUAAUAUCAAAAGAUCUUGAUAUGUCAUCCAACUUAUGCUAUCACGCCAAUACCUGUAAUACAAAUAAACUGAGUGGGUCUGGCUUGGGAACCUGGUGAGCAUAUAGGGUUUUCAACCUGCAAUAAAUAAUUACAUUUAAUUUCACCAACCAACAAUAACCCGAUUACCCAUUCCCGUUAUCCUCACUUUACGUCCCUAAAACAAUAUCUAUCUCAAGGGACCUAAUCAAGGAUUUUCAGCGGGACGGACAUUACUGCAAAGGGGUUUCCUCAACAGUAGAUGUCCUAAAGGCAACCAUGAGGGGGAUAGAGUACACCGGUGAAUACAUCGUUCACAACACCUACAGGUUAUGAGCCUGCUAGCGUUCCACAGGACUGACUAGAAAGAGUCUGUGGUCGUUAUCCAUACUCCGCUGAAUAACUAGAUCAACAACAACAACAUCGAGGCCUCUCAUCUGUUUAUCACACAUCAACUAUCUACCCAUGUUCUACCCAACAUAUUAGCAUAUAAAAAUAUAUAUUUUUAUACAUAGUUUAAAAACUAUAUAGCAUUCUCAUUCAAUACAUAUUCCAAUCAAUAGAUGAGACAUAUACACAUCGCACGUAUUUCAUAGAGAAUAAAUCAUAUCUAAGAGAUAGAAGAAAGUGAAUAUACAUUCACACAUAUAACAACAAAAUAUACACAUAACACGUAUUCUGUAUAAAAUACUUCAGAAUUAUGCGUUAGAAGAAAGUAACUACACACUCACUUGAUCAGAAGAUGCUCGGACAGCACUACAGCUCUAAGAGUAGUAUUCUUCGGUGAAACUGGGUUCACUUCACUCAUCGGACUUCUUAUGGGCAGAGCUUCGGCUCGGAAACUCUUUUCUUCGCGGGAUCUUCGAGCUUCUGGACUUGCUGCGGGUGUCGGGAUGAUACCGGGGCUUCGGGGGUACUUCUUUGCAUGUAAAUUGAGGUAAGAUGAGUGAGAGAGAAGAGAUUUGGCAACCACAAACGGCUGCCCCUUCAAAUCUAUUUAUAGGGCUGUUUUCUCAUUUUCCAUGUCGUGGGCACUUCUNUUCACAUCGUUACAUCAUCGCAAGUUGGGUCUGGUAGACUCCAGGAGUCGUCAAAAGACAUGCCACGUCGUGACCACUGAUUUCACAUCGUGGUCUCUGACAGUCUUGGAGUUUCGCGCCCCGAACUUCAGAAAUUCAUAACUUUAACAUACGAACUCCGUUUUCGACGUUCUUUAUAUCGACGCGUAGGUAAAAACAAGGUCCACAACUGUUAUUUAGACUUUGUAGGCUUAUUUUGACUUUAUUUUUAAUAUAUUAAUAAUAUACUAUUUUUAGUAGGCCGGGACAGGAAAACUCCGUUAGAAAUUCAUAACUCCUUCAUCUGACGUCUGUUUUCGACUGUCUUUUCACCGUUGGACUACUAUCGAUGAGAUCUUCGAUUCUCGUUUAGGUUGUUUCGGCUAAAUAUCGCUCAAUUUCAUAUUCGAACUUCGGGCUGUACACUGCUAAACCGAAACUUCGAAAAAUCAUAACUUCCUCAUACGAAGUCAGAUUUGCACAUUCUUUUUAUGCAUGCUCUCGGUUUAACGAACUCUACAACAUUCCUUUAGAUCACUAAGUCCAAAUAUUGCUCUAAUGUAAACUCACUAUUUACGUCUCGCUGUUUCGUACCGGUUCUGUCGCGAAACUUUGACAUGUUAUAACUUCUUCUUUAUAACUUGUAUUUCGGCAUUCUUUAUAUAUUCGGAAACCUCGUUUAAACUUCUACAACAUUAUCCAUAGAUAUCGACUUUAUCUAACAUUUCAUUUUGACGCUUAUUUUUAUUCUUAAUUAAAUUAAGACACACAAUUAAGCACAAAACACAUAAUACUCAAAUAAUACACUUCUGUUAUUUCAAAACGGGUUACAAAGAUUAACCUAGACUAUUAUAUCAACAUUAAUGACAAGCCCAUAAACACAGUCAUUACAAACGCUAGCAGGCUCAUAACCUGUAGGUGUUGUGAACGAUGUGUUUACCGGUGUACUCUAUCCCCCUCAUGGUUGCUUUUAGGACAUCUACUGUUGAGGAAACCCUUAGCAGUAAUGUCCGUACCGAUGAAAAUCCUAGAUUAGGUCCCUUGAGAUAGAUGUUGUUUUAGGGACGUAAAGUGAGGAUAACGGGAAUGGGUAAUCGGGUUAUUGUUGGUUGGUAAAAGUAAAUAUAAUAAUUUAUUGCGAGUUGAAAACCCUAUAUGCUCACCAGGCUCCCAAGCCUGACCCACUCAGUUUAUUUGUAUUACUAGUAGUGUCGCGAGGGCAUAAGAUGGAUGAAUCAUCAAGUUAUUUUAUUUAUUAGACCAGUUAUUAUAUGUAACUGUUGUAUGGUCUAUCUUUUGUAGUUUAUGCUUUUGUGUCUGUAUCGGAACAUGACAUCCCGAGUUUUGAUUUUAUAAUGAAAAUACAUUUUGUUAUGAAAUGCUUUGGUAAAUAUUAUUUUAUCAUGCUUUUUUUGGAACAAAUUCUGCAACAAUUUAAAAUCAAAAGGAUUUACUCUGAAAUUAUUUAAAAAAACAUAAAUGAAACUGGUCUUUUCUGACUGUGAUUUUGGGGAUGUCACACUGCGCCUAAUCGAGAACAUCAUAAUCCUGGCAGCUACGCCCAAAGGACAAUAUUAGCACUUGCGCCUAAUAGAGAAUAUUAUAAUUCUGGUAGUUGCGUCUAAAUGAUAAUGUUGGUAGUUGUGCUUAAUAGAUAACGUUGACAACUGUGUCAUUAGGAAAACGGUGGACUGCGUGCCUAUUCCUUAGGAAAAUCCUUAGGAAUGAAUGAGUUAAUGAUAAAUGAUUCUUAGGAUACAUCCUUAAGAAAUAACGAAGAUAAUGGGGAUGGAUAAUUGGGUUAAUUUUUUAAUGAUUAAACAUAAUUAUAUUAUUGUGGGUUGAAAACCCUAUGUACUCACUAGGUUUCCCAAUAUGACCCACUCAAGUUUAUUUGGAUCACAGGUGUCUAUACGAAGCUACUUUACACUGAGAGAUUAAGGAGACGUAAAUCACUAGUGUAAAUGAAUGGAAGGUCUGUUUAUGCUUAUAUUUAUGUAUUAACGAUGACGUCCUAAAGUUUUAAAAAGAAAUGAAAUACAUUUCUUCGAAAAUGCUUUGAUAACACAUUUAUCAUGUUUUUCUGGGAACAAAUUCCGCAACAUUUUUAUAAAAAGGGUACUCUCAUUUUUAAAUAAAGCAUAAACAAAUCGGUCUUUUCUGGCUGUGAAAAUGGGGAUGUCACAAUUGGUAUCAGAGCAUUAGUUUAAGAGAACUAAGAAUAAGGGUUUAUUUCUAGACUUAAACUUAGAAUGCUAAGCGAUGAUUAUGAGUUGAGUGUGUGAUGUUGCGCAUAAAAAAACACAAAGAUAACCAAGAAUGAACCUGUUGAUUCUAAAAGAAUAGCCAGGACAAUCUCUUCAAAACCACGUUGAUUCUACGAAUACUGUGGGAUUGGCUUCAAAAACUGGGUUAACACGCACAAAAUUUGGGAGAAAACUGAAAGUUCAUAAAAUUGAUGAUCGACCAUCCAAAUUACAUAAAAAACAGUUAAAUAAAAAGCAUAAAUUAAAAUGAAACCCUAAAAGUCCAUGGGCGAAAUACAAACCCAAAAAUUAAGGAAAAAUAACAAAAUUGUUCAUAACUCCAUUUAGAAAGCGAUUUCUGGACUCAAAAUGGGUAAGUCCCUUUCGGGGACUUAUCUAGAUGUGCUCCUUGCUCCAAGCUUCGACUUGACUGGUCGUAGGCCCAAAACGGAGACUCGUAGCCAAAGUUAUGGCCAUUUCCGUGAAGCCCCUUUAAUCACACGAUCGUGGGCCUCUAGGAAUGCAAUGGCCCGAUCCUCCACACUAGGGCCCGCAUCUGUGUGUCUAAUAUAUUUUAGGUAGUACACCUGAAUAGACACAGCCACUAUCUUAUUUUGGGAGGAUGCCUAAAAUGCUUUUAUGUGCUAAAUGAUUUGUGAUACUUUAUGAUGCUAUUGUUCGAUCAGAUAUAUGGUAUGUUGCCCACCGGAUCCAGAAACUUUAUGUGUUUAGAUUUCAAAAUGUUUAAUUACAGUAUUAGAACUGGCAUGUAACUUUUCGGAGUGAUAAGAAGAUUUACAUGUGGAUCGUAAAUAAAACCUUUCCUAUCUUAAUUAUCAUCAUUACACAUCAAACGUCUGAUUUGGUGUAUAGAUCAACAUGUUGAGAACUCGAAGCGGAUUAGGAGACGCUAAUGGAAAUGUUGAUCAACGGCCUAUGAUUUAACGUGCACUAAAGGUAGCAGCUACACCAUAGCCAAUCACAAUGGCAAGAGUCCAAGCAAUGAUUCAGGCUAUGAUAGCCAAACAAAGGGAGGAGAUGAGGCAAAUGUUGCUUAAUAGGGAUGAACCUACCAUGCUCAUUGAAUAACUAGAACUAAAUGAUGAACAGUUAGAGAAGGGAAUUACAGUAGAACCGUUGGUCAAGCUGAACUGCCAGUGGUUAGGAGGAAUAACCAAGAGGAAGGGAUCAAGAGAAAUAGAUGCAAGUAUAAGGAUUUCACAACUUGCAAACCAUAGAUUUUCACUGGGAAAGAGGAUCCAAAUCGGAGUUACAGACCGGAUCUCGGAGAUGGAUUUGGCUUUCAUAACAUGUAGAUUCAAAGGAAAGCUAAAAACCAUAUAUGCAGUGCGUCAGUUGAUGGGUGGAGUUGUUCACUAGUGGAACACUUUGGGAAAGAUCAUGAGUCCUAAUGAGCUGCUGCAACUGACGUGGGCAGAGUUCCUAGUGCAUUUCAAACGAAAGUUUUGCUCGGCCCAAAAUCUGUUGGAGCUAGAGAACCAAUUCCUAACAUUGAAGAAGGGCAUCAUGCCUAUUGACGAAUACAGCAAUGCCUUCACCGACAAGAUGGAAUUUUCUUUGCGCAUCGUCCCUGGCGAACUAACUAAAGUCGAUAAGUAUACAAAGGGACUACCAUGGGAAUAUGUUGUGCUAGUACGCCAGGCACCUACCAUCGAGGCGACUAUCUGGGCUGCUAAGUCUGUUGAAGAAAUGAUCAAGAGUAGGGCCACCAACAACGUCGAAGUUGGUGAAAGAGAAAGUUUGAAGGAUCUUCAAUGUCCAAUGAGAGGAGAAAAUGCUCGAAGUCUGGUUCGAAGAAGUUUGAAGGAGGAGGAGGUGAAGCAAGAUGGUGUGAUAAGUGCAAGAAGAAACACUUUGGAAAAUAUGGCAAGAAGGUGACUUGUUUCAAGUGUGGAAAGUCUGGGCAUUAUGCCGAUGAGUGUAUAUUCAACAAAAGGGUGUAUUACGGAUGUAAUGAAGAAGGGAAUUCAAGCUGGACUGCCCAAAGAGGGAAGGAGCUACAAAGCAAAAUGCACCGCCAAAGCCGAAGGCAAAAACAUUCCAUAUGAUCCUUAAUGAAGCAGAUGAUAAUGCAAGGAAUCAAGAAUGAGGACUGAUACCCGAAGAUCAAGUUAUGAAGUAGCCAUGCAGAUAGUAUCAGGAGGUGUAGCCUAUUAGAGGCAUAUUAUAGGUUGAACUUUAACAUCCAUGUAAUCAUUUCAAGAAGUAAUAUAAGCCUUGGUUUUGUUAUCUGGUGCGUUAAGUUGUUAUGUGAUUUUCAAGUAUGGUGACUUGGAAAACUGCGAGACAAUACUUGGGACAAGUAUGAGUAUAUGUGAAUGGUAGUAGAGGCCUAUACUACCAGAAGCACAGGACUCGCACUUGGAUUAGGGAAAGUCACAAGGUUACCAAGGCACUAGUAAUUGAUUCUUUUUUGUUCAUGUUUGUCGUCACCAUCGUUUCGGUAAUGACUAAGAAGAUGAUUGUUAGUCCAACCCUAGUGGUCAUAUCAAAUCGAGUCCGACUAAGAUGAAUAUGUUGCGUGGUUCAAAAAACCAAGGUCGAUGUUGCAUCUGACUUAAGCCAGACGAUUGAAGUGAAAGAUAAUCGAACCGAUCAAUAGAAGUAUCGUAACCUUUGUUAAGGUAAGAAGCUUGUAGCUAGAAGUGCUACAUGCUAGAAUAUGAUUAUAUCACAUUAGAACAUGAAGGAAGGUAUAUUUUGUUCUAUAGUUUGACUCUAAAAGACCUAAGUCUAAGUGUUGCAUCAUACGAUAAGAGGUCAUUACAACAUGACCCAUCGGUUUAUUGUGGUAAUCAAAUAACUUCUCUUAAUAUAAGUAUGUUUAACAAGAAGUAGGAGUCUCUGAUUUGGAUCGAUUUUGUAACUCGAAGGUUACGAUUGGAAGUCCAACAUAGGAUAAAGAACGGGUGCAAGAUUGAGUACCUCCUGCGGUCAAGAAGUCCAAGAGUUUGAUACUCAUUCGAAGGAACAUAAAAGUUACGAUUAUUACCUAAUAUGAAGAGAUAACAUAAGGAUUCAUUAUACAAGCCCUAUUUUGUUGAUUAUUCUGGGACGUAAUCAUCCUAAGGAGGAGAUAACUGUAACGCCCGCAGAUUCAGGCUAGUCAAUUAGAGAUAUUGAGCGUCAAAAAUGACAUUUUUAUGGGAGUUUAUUUAGAAGAAAUAAUCUUAACCUAGUAAUAGUAUAUGUCACAAGGGUUCCGUACAUAUAAAGAACGCCGAAAUCCGAGUUAUAACGAAGAAGUUACGACCCGACGAAGUUCUACAGCAAAACCGGCACGACACCGCGUAACAUAAAAAGUGAAUUUUUGAUAAAUUACUUUUUAGCCUUAGAGAUAUAAAUGAAAGUUAUAAUAUAGGUUAAACCGAUAGCAUGCAUAAAAAGAACGUCAAUAUCUAACUUCGUAUGAGGAAGUUAUGAUUUUUCUAAGAUUUCGCAAAGUAGUAUACAACCCGGAAUUCGAAUUUCAGAUCGAGCGAUUUUUAGCCAACACAACCUAAAUGAAAAUUGAAUAUCUCAUUAAUAGGAGUUCAACGAUAAAAAGACAUUAAAAAUGGAGUUCGAAUGUACAAGUUAUGAAUUUUACACGGUCAUUAACAAUGUAAUCUUCUCAUACUAGUAAAUUUAAAAUCGGUCGAGAGUUAGCUGUUUGAGUCAAAAGGAGAGUUGUAGAUCAUGUCAAUACCUAUGCGUGGAUAUAAAUAAUGUCAAAAAUGGAGCUCGUAUGCAAAAGUUAUGAAUUUUUGAAAAUUGGUUGUUUUACCUGCGUCCAGCACCACGUGUCAGCACCAAGCGAAGCCAUGGUGCCUACGCAAGGCCACGACGUGGAUUGGCUCCAGAUAGCCUAUAAAUAGAGGCGGAAAUCAUCCGUUUUCUUCACACCUUCACCCUUCUUUCUCUCUCAACGCUCCUAAUCUCUCCCUCCCAAUCCCUAGCAACUUCUAAGUGCUCCGAGAAGAAGAUCUUUCGGCUCAGAAGUUCCACCCCCGCAUAGCCCGGUUCCUAGCCAAACCCACGGUAAGUUAGUUAUGAUUACCCUACUUUAAGUAUAACUUAUGUUUGAGUUUAUUAUCAUUAUUAUGAACUUAUAAACAAGAUUUAUCAAUGAUUCCAAGUAGUUAUAUUGAUUGAUCUACUUAUGGGGAUAAUGUCUAGGCUGUGAUUUUGUGAGGUGUUUAAAGUGGGGUUUCCAAAUAGUAUACUUCGUAUACCAAACGAACCCUACCUCUGAUAUGAUCCUACCUGGUUGCUCUUUACAUGAUAGAUCAUGAAAGUAGACUUUGAGUUAAUGAUGAAUCUAGACUAAUAAUUAGUUGCAAUAAAGAUUAGACUAAAACUUAGCGAUAAUAAUGUUAGGUUUCGUCGAAGGAAGAUAGAAUCGUUAGAAGUGAAGCGUUUCUCGACUUUGGAAUUAUCACUUUGAAAAGUGAGUGCAUAGUUACUUUCAUCUUACACAUUGAUAUGAAGUAUUUUAUAUAAAUUACGCGCUAUGUGUGCAUGUUAUCUGUUUACUUGAUAUAUAUGAUAAAUGAACGAUCUUAUACAUGUACUCUAAACAUCCUAGUAGCUGUGCUCAAAGUGUAGUAUCGGUAGCUGUGCCGUCACACCCCCAAACCAGAACGACGGAAACGUUCAGGGGCGGAGGACGUCAUGUAUAGUAUCAUAACAAUGCAUAAUAGUAAAACAAGCAACAACAUCAUCCAUUGAAUUAAUGAUAGAAUUUAUACAUGUGUGUUCUUUGUAAAGUUGUAAGACACCAAAAAUAUAUAAUCAAAAUAAAGACGAGUCUUGAAUACGCUCUGUCUCCUCAAAACCUGGUCAUCGAUACAUGUCUACUGGUGACCUAAGAAUACAAGUUAUUUUGAAAGAGUAGAUCAACAUUUAAGCUGGUGAGUUCAUAAGUAUAUUAGUGUCAAAAAUUUUCAUCUGUUUCAUGAAAAUGUUUGUAAGUAUUUAGAUGUAAAUGUUUGUAUGCUUCCAAGAAAAUCCUAUAUUUUCUACUAAAAUGAAAAGUAGUCUUCUUCCAAGACUCAACUGUUUUGUAUGUUUGUUUUCUCGUAAAAAUUGAUGUAAGAUGUAUGUUUGUACUUGUAAUAGUAUAAAUGUGGGUUUUCCAUAUUUUUUUAAAACUUUCUAUACACGAAAAAUAGUAUGCAUUUCUUACGUGAGAAUAUCACUGUGUGAAUAUGAUGGAAAAAUGACGAUAUUCAGUAGUGUUGUAUAAAAUAUCUACUGAAGCACUAACUACCUUAAAGCAAAUUGUUAAUUAAGGUAAAACGUGAUGAGGUUAUAACCAUGCUUGAUUGACUUGUAUAAAACACAACGAUCAAAAUACAUCGAAAUGGUAUGACAUUUGUCACUUGUAGACCUGUAGGUCCCAUUGUAGCUAGCAACAAGGUUUAGGAUGGUCAAUCCAGUAUAGAUCUAUACACAAACUCACGCUCUCCCUCCAAGAGACUCUGGUUACAAAGCGUGACACAACAAGUAUAUUGAUAUGCCAUGAAGUAGUGGCUCACAUUAAUGUUAUCUUGUUCUAGUUAUAGUAUGUAUGUUCCUUUCUGUUCUAGUUAUAGUAUGUAUGUUCCAAUCUGUUCUAGUUAUAGUAAGUAGUAAUACUCUAAACUAUACCUAUUAUAGUUUACUAGUAUGAUUGUUUGACUGUUACUAAUUUGCAGAAAAGUCUCAAUUACUCACAUAAGCAACUAACUUAAGUAUGUAACUUAAAAAUGGGUUUAAUAUUCAUAUAUGUAUUUAAUAAGCAUAACUAUGAUUUUGCUGACAUUCGAACUAGUGAUCCUACCCUAAGCCCACAACCAAACAAAGAAACAGGAGUUAAGGUAUCUCGCAGUAGUCCUAAGCCCGUUAAAGCAUACUUACACGUAAACAGAUAGACGAAUAUGAUUUGAUAUAAAAGAAGUUUAUAAAAGAUUUAAAAGAGUUUUAACAAGUUUUGAGUAUAAGAAAUCCCUUUGGAUGUUGUUUUCACAUGUAAAUGGUUAACAAAAUUUAAUUGUGUUCUACUUGUUAUCCCCCAUAAAAGCAUUUAAAAGGUAUUUAAAAGUGUAUUGUAGGGGUAUGAACUCAUAUGUAGUGAGUGAUUCGAAUGAAAGAUCGAUAUAGGAUGAUAAGUAUGCCAAGUGAAGUAUCGAGCACAAACGGGUCCUAUUAAGCAUAUAAUAACACAUAUAUGUAUACAAUUAGUAUAUAUAACAACUAAAAUGUAAGGGAAACAACCUUAGGAACUAGGAAACACUUUGAAUGAAGUGUUAGCAUCACAAAUGAUUGGCUGAAAGGUGUUCACGACUAAACAAGGGGUGUUCACGGCCUUAGGAGGGUACAUGUCCAUAGAACGCAUGAUGUGUUCACGGACCAAGGUUGAUCUUAUGAAGGUUUCACGGUCCUAUGAUGCAUCUAUGAAGGGUUCAUGGCCCUAUGAAGGGUUCACGGUCGUGAACUCUUGAAGAUCUUGCAAAUAAGUGUUUGUUUCAUGGGUGGAAUCAAGUGUUUCUAAGGGACAACAAGAUGAUGGAUGAGAUACUUAUGUUUUGGAAGCCUUUAGAAGUGUUCACAGUUGAAGAUAGUUGAGAGAGAAGUGGUGUUCACGGCUAGGGUUUAAAGAAAUGAAGAAAAAUGAGCCAACUCCUUAUAUAUAAGACUUGUUCACGGCCAAGGAUGGGUACACGGCCAUGAACCUAGAUGUGGCCGUGAACUCCUUUUGGUGGUGUUUCCGGCUCGAUUGCAACUCAAUGAACUCAAGCUAACACUUCCUAACUCACAAUCCUUGAGUGUACUAGGCUUAGAAAUUCUCAAACAUACCCUUAACACAACAUAAAGGUAACAGAAACAAGUCUGACUUUAGAUUGAAUUGAUUGACUUUACAAGAUAGAAAUUCCAGGUUGUCGCAUGUGCCUAAUAGAAAACAUCAUAACCCUGGCAGCUACGCCCAAAGGACAAUAUCGACUGUUGUGCCUAAUAGAAAAUAUCAUAAUUCUGGCAGCUGCUCCUAAAUGAUAAUAUUGGCAGCUAUGCUUAAUAGAUAAUGAUGAUAUAUGGUCCAUUAGCAUGGCCUAGACUGCUCUAGCGCGCCAUAUGAUGCGACAUCGGCUCCGACCACCUGCUCUAAGGAGAUGCUUCUGCACCAGAGAUAGAUCUGUGAGGUCACAACAAACAAGACCGUUAGAGCUGCCCCAAAGACUGUGCCCUGGGAGAGAGCUCCGACGGUCAAGUUAGAUCAUUUGGUAGAUCUGAGAUGGAUCUCUUUAGCUAGAGAGGAUCAUCCUUGUGUUGGUGGUGUUGUAUGGUGGUUGACGGCGGCGGGUGCCGGCUGAGCCACCCGGCCAAAGUAUAGGGCGGCGGCUGAGCCAAGGGGAAGAUCCUAAUGGUGGCAGAACCACCUAGGAAAGAGUCCUCCUUCAUGAAGGAGGCACUAUUCUAUUUAUAGGGGGACAACUAGGUCAAGGGGAAUUAGGUCAGGCCUUGGGCCAACCCAAUUCAGGCCCAGCUAGCAAGGAGCUGGGUAAGGCCGCCCGGAGGCGCCGCGCGGGACUUANUGACGGGCGCGUACCAGGAAAGGACGGCAAGGGUGCGCCAGGAAAGGGAGCGUCAGGUCGGGCCUGCAAGAGAUUCCCCAGCAAGGCUGGCAAGGGAGUCCCCAACAAGGUUGUCAAGGGAAUGCCAGGAGAGGCUGGCAGGAGCGCGCCAGGCCAAGAUGGCGCGCUAGAGCAGUGUAGGCCAUGCUAAUGGACCAUAUAUCAUUAGAUAACAUUGACAGCUGUGUCAGUAGGAAAAUGAUGGACUUUAUGCCUAUUCUUUAGGAAAAUCCUUAGGAAUGAAUGAGUGAAUGAUAAAUGAUUCUUAGGAUAGAUCCUUAAGAAAUAACGAAGAUAAUGGGGAUGGAUAAUUGGGUUGAUUGUUUAAUGACUAAACAUAAUUAUACUAUUGUGGGUUGAAAAACAUAUGUACUCACUAGGUUUCUGAACCUGACCCACUCAAGUUUAUUUGUGUGACAGGUGUCGAUACGAAGCUACUUUACACUGAGAGAUUAAGGAGAUGUAGAUCACUAGUUAAAAUGAAUGUAAGGUCUGUUUAUGCUUAUGUUUCUGUAUUGACGAUGACAUUCCAAAGUUUUAAAAGAAAUAAAAUACAUUUCUUCGGAAAUGAUUUGAUAACACAUUUAUCAUGUUUUUCUGGGAACAAAUUUCACAACAUUUUUCUGGCAUCGGGCCUCGCCCGGUAUACAAAUAACAUAUAAGCACAUGCAUAAAAAUCACUUAAACACAUGCAUAAAAAUCACAAUGAUAAAUAGCAUACAAUAUAAUCAUUACGCCCCGCCCGGUAAUCAUAUAAACACAUAACACAUGCAAGAGUAACACAUACAACUAGUAAGGAAACUCACCUCAAGCUGCAAAAUCACUCGGAUAAAAUCUCAAUCUGUUGGUCCGGAAGAUCCUCGCGCUAACCUCAUAAUAUAAAUAUCCAAUUAAUAAUUGGAUCUCGACCCAUAAUAACCAAUCUAAGUUCCUUUUCCAAUAUCCAGGGUAAAAGAUUGUUUUACCCUUUUUCUUACAUGGCCCAAAACCAAGGCCCAAUCCAUUGCUCAAAAGGGCUAAAUUCCAAAAUGGCAUCCAUAGGCCCAAUAAGGCCCAACUUCCAAAUUGGGCUGAAAAUCAUCAUGGACCUAAUCCCAUGAAAGUCCAUAGUCUAUCCAUGACCCAAAGUCAAAAUUCUAAUGACCUAACAAGGCCCAAAUCUUAAAAACCCAAAAUAUGGCCAAAACCCAGGGAAGUCAAACCAAAAGUCAACCUACUGUACGCUUAGCAUACUCCUUCCAGGGCAAGUAUGUGCAUCGUACCAACUGGGUAUGCCCAACGUACUCCCCAGAUUAUCAACCCAACCCAUUAAUAACUUAAUUGGUUAAGCCAACAUGCUAAACUCUCAGAUCUGGUUCUAAAUGGCGACUUACUAUGUAAAGUUGACAACUUUACACCCAUGCAUGAAUUAAUGGGGCCCAACACUAAAAAAGAAGCUUAAUAAGACUCUUAACACUUGCAUGGAAUAAUAUCUUACAUAAAGUUUGCAUUUUUAUGGGCAAAGGACCUCAAAUCAGCGAAGAUCUAACAUCCAUAGCUUCUGGAGUGGACCAUAACUUCAUAUAUGACUUAAAAGACCCAAAAACGCAUAAAUAUCACCAUAAAAUGGAUCUAGCACAAAGGACCAUCCAGAUGAGAGAUUUUUACCUCAAAAGGCUUGCUAAGGUGAAGAUAACUCUAGAUCUACAAGAUUAAGCUACUCCCAAGAAACCUCGAAGUGUUCCUCGUUUUCUUCUUCUUCACCACAAAACACCAACAAACUCACUUUCAAGCUCAAAUCUGACCAAAUACACUUAGGGUUUCGAUAUUGUGACAUAGGGUGAUGGAGGCUGAUCAAUAAAAUGUCCAAAGGUGGUUUAAGAUGUUUAAGUAGGCUGCAAACCCUAAAAAUUAGGGUUUGCCCCUGCUCUACGUAUGUCAUGCAUACUCUACGUACGCCCCACAUACGUGGGUGAAUCUUGCGUCCAGAAAAUAGAUAGUAUGAUAAGCGUACUCAUAGAGUAUGCCCUGUGUACUAGCUAUGGACCAAAAUGAUAAGGAUUUUGCAUUAAGGGGUUAGAAAGAAACUUACCAAAUUACGAAUGUUACAAUUCACUUUAAUCAGAAUUUGUCCUUGAAGUAUGCUGCUCCAAACAACUUUGGGUAGUGCUCUCUCAUCUCGUCCUCCGGCUCCCACGUCCAUUCUGAACCCUUUCGAUGCUGCCACUGAACUUUCACCAAUUCAACAACCUUGUACCUCAAGGCUUCGUCUUCCUGUCAAGAAUUGUUACCGGUCUCUCGAUAUAAUUCAUGCGAUCAUCCACUUAAAUAUCCUCUAAUAGAACCACCACGGAAUCAUCAAUUAAACAUUUUUGUAACUGAGAGACAUGAAAUAUGCUAUGGAUCAUACUAAGAUCCUCGGGAAGAUACAAGCGAUAAGCAACCCGAACCACCCGUGUGAUAAGUCCAUUUUAUGAAUGUACUAAAUUGUCAUAAAUCUGUUGAAUUGAUGUAUAAUUGUCCAAGAAUGGCACUACAUUGCUGAGUUAUUGAACUUCAUAUGCAGGUCAAUAUAUUGUACUAAAAGUGGGUGGAACCUACAAGUAAAACGGAUUGUUAAAGGAAUGAAGAAACGUUGCUGGGAAAAUUGACCAUUCUUCAAUGUUUUGGUCUAAUCUCAAGUUCUGGAGCUCCGAUUGACAUGAGUAUAGAAGUUCUGGAAACUAGACAAGAUUUUCUACAACUUUCGUGUUUUGUGCUUCUGCUAGUUAUGUCGUUUUGACUACCAAAACUUGCACAGAAGAUGAAGGACACCUCCAGACAUCUAAGACGUCCAGGUCAAACAGCCAACAUCUGGUCGUUAUUUCAGAGCAGAAAAGAAGGAAGAACCCCGUCAGCAUCUAACAUGGAAUCUAAGAUGUCCCCUAGGAUGUCUUGGCAUUUUAGGGACGUCCCGUGUUGGAACGGUGUGUUUAGGAAAGUUUAGAAAACAAGGCACGACGUCCUAGAACGCAUCUAAGACGUCUCCUAAGACGUUUGACGUUUUUGGCCAUUUUUUAGUAUAUUUCAAGGACGUACAAAGAUCGCUUGGGCGUUAUACACGACGUCUAAGAUGUCUCCUAGGACGUCCAACGUCCCACAUCGCCCAAUUUCAUUAUUUUUUAUCCCACACUAUAAAUAGGAGCCUAUUUCGUUGGUUAAAAUUCGGAUUCAAAGCAAGAUUCGAUUCAAUUCAUCAUCAAGCUAUAAGUGAAGAUCAUUUCAUUGGUUAAUUUUCAUCAAUUCUUUAUUUUCCAGAAUUAUUUCUUCUUCCCCAAGGUUUAUUUGUUCUACACUUCGAUAAUCAUUAGGCUACAUUUGUUUGAUGAUUCUACGUUUGUUUAUGAAUUCUAUAAUGGAUUUUAUUCAUUUUAAUCAAGUUAUUUGUCUUAUGAACUCAAUGGAAGGCUAAAUCAUUAGGGUUACUUCCGGGGAUGUUUAGGACUUUUUGAUGAACACACUUGAUUAUUACUUGAUUCUAGUUAAUUUCAAUUGUUGUUUUAUGCUUCAUGUGAUGAUCUUUUGGUAAUGAUAAUUGAAAUUGGGUUGUAUGAAUUGUUUGAUGUCAUAAUUAAGAUAGUCUAUUGUCAAUUCAUCAUUUGUUCCAAGUUCACAUAGUUUAGGAAUAAAGACAAGUGAUUGAAUCAACAUAUAUUAUUCCAACUUAUGAUAUUGAAUCUUAAUGCGGUAAUAGGUACUUGUAAGAUAUUUUAUUGCUAGUCCACUAAUUGUUCUUAAUCCAUUGAGGCAUAAAGGAGUAAGACAACUAGUUAAAUGAACAUUUAGUAUGCCCAAACUAUGUAUUACAAGUUAAUAAAUCCCAAUUGUAUCUAAGUAAUUGAAUUAGGAUUUAAGGGAAGAAAGUGUGUGAAUUUAAACUGUCCAUAACUGAACCGGGAGUACUCUAGUUUUCUCAUUGAGAUUUUCGUUGUAAUUAAUAAAUUUCCAUGCUUUUUGUUUGAUCUUUGCGUUAAAUUCUUUUUCGUGACAAUUGCUAGUAGCUUUUUUUCGUUGACUAUUUUAACACAAAGUUUGACAACAAACUCCCUGUAGAUUCGACCCUUACUUACCCUAGCUAUCUAGUGGUUUUGAGGUUAUUUUUGAUUGAUACAACGACAUCAAUCAUAAUUUGGCGCCUUUGUCGGGGAGAUUGUGCGCUUGAGCUAUUGUUUUUAAGUAGUUAUAGCCUUUUACUUUCAUUUUCAAUUCUCGUUUGUAGUUCACAUUUUGUUUUAUUUGUGUUGUGCAGGCACACUGGUGCAUGCAUACAAGACAUAGCAGACGCUCUUCACCGCUUGCAUUUGAUCCGGAAAUCGAACGAACAGCUCGCUCAAAUCGGGUCGCCAGAAGGAACAUCAACACUAUGAGUGUAGAUAAUGUUGUCGUGGAAGAUGUGGUUGAAGGGCAUGAGGAAGAAGCCAACAAUCCUCCACCACUAGUUCCACCACCAGCUCCUCAAUUCCCAAACAACAACAAUGGGAAUAACAACAAUGCCGGUGCACCAAUCAUCCAACCAGUGCAACCAUAACUGAAUAGAAACAACCGUGGCCAAAAUGGUGGAAACGGAGGAAAUUGGGCAUAGAAUAUGGGAGGCAAUGUAGGAAACCACACUGGUGGUAAUGUUAGAAAUCAUAACCAAAAUCCUAGAAAUGUUGGUCCUCAAUUCGGUAAUGGUGGUAAUGGUGGUAACGAGGAUGAUUGGGAUUUUGACGAUGGAAGUUACAACGGACUUGGUUGGAAUCAUAACCACAACGGUGGUAAUAGGCGGAAUCAAGGAAAUCGGGGUGGAAACGGGUACUAAAACAAUAACUGGAACAACCUGAAUUUCCCUAAUGGUGGCAACAAUUACUACAAUGAUGGGUUCGGAAAUCAAGGCUUUGGGAAUCAAUAUCGAAGGAAUCCAAAUGGUGGAUUCAACAAUGCGAAUGGAGGAUACUAAAAUGAAGGUAAUCAAUUCCCUCAUCUUUACUUUCUGCAGCCUAAUAGACAAUCUGUGGCGUCUCAUUUUCAGCCGAGAGAGUAUGAUGAUGCUUCACCCAUACUCUUCGCAGAAGUAAAUGAGCAUCAUGUAGAAGUAAGACCACAACUAAUUAGUGUCUUACCCGUCUUUAGAGGCCAUAAAACUAAUGAUCCAUACAAUCACCUCUAUGAGUUCCUUGCAAUUGCUAACGCGAAUACUCCGCGAGGAACUAAUAGAGAUUCAUUUAGACUUCUCUUAUUUCCGUUCACUUUAAAAGAAAAAGCUAAGUAUUGGUUCACUUCUCUUGCCCCCAUAGUAUCACUACUUGGGAGCAAUUAAAAACUAAAUUUUUGCAAGAGUUUUACCCAGCUAGUAAAACAACGGAAAUAAGAAAAGCCAUAGAAGAUUUUGCACAAAAACCCAAAGAAGAAUUUCAUGAUGCAUUUGAACGCCUCAAGGAAUUGUUCCGUUCAUGUCCCUAUCAUGAAUUUCCCCGUUGGCAACUGGUAGGUUUCUUUUAUGAUGGAGUCGAUACUGCCAAUCAAAGCAUGAUUAAUGCCUCGUCCGGCGGCAUUAUUAUGAUACAAGAUAGUGAAGACGCUUGGCGAUUCUUAGAGUAGUUGAGUCAUGGUUCAAAAACCAAUUACUCAGCUAAGAAACGGGACAAUCCAGUUUCAUCUGUUGCUUCAGUUGGACUAGACAAAAAACUGGAAAAAUGAAGUCAAAUCUGAUAUUAAUUCUUUAAAUAAAAUUUUUGACUUACUACUCUCUAGUCUAGGCAAAAAGAAAGGUGUGUUUUUUCGCAGGGACAGAAGAUAUGUGUAAGCUGUGGAGAUUCAUGACACAUUGCAGAUGAGUGCAUGAGAAUUCAAGAGGAAAUCAAUCAAGUGCAUGGUUAUGGUCAAUUCCAAAAUAAUCCACGAUCAUUCAAUCGGAACUACAUCCAAGGCGGGAACUACAACAACAUUGGGAUUUUCAACAACAACAACCGUCAAGGGAAUUACCAAAACCAAAAUCAGCCAAAACAGUUCCAGCAGUCCAACUUUAACCAAGGUGGAACAUCAAAGAAGGAGGAAAAUGAUGGCAACAAGUUGGACAAAAUCAUGGAGUUCAUAACCUAAACAUAUCAGAAAACCGACACUAACUCCAAGUCUAUAGCUGCUAUUGAGAAGCAAAUUGCUCAACUGGCGGAGCAAAUUGGGAAAAGAGAAGAUGGCAAGUUUCCAAGCACCACAACAGUGAACCCAUCUCAUACCCAGAGACCCCGAAAAGAGCAUCAAGUGAACGAGGUAAUUACCUUGUGUAGUGGAAAAAAGGUUGACAACAAGGUAAGUGCUUCUACAUUAGAUAAUGACAGUGACACUGAAGUCAUCUUUGAUGAAAAAGAAGAGUUUGAGAAAGAUUUUAAAUCCGAAAAACAAAAAGAAGAUAAGGUUAAAAAUGACUCUAAAGUUGGGGAGCAUGGUGUGGAGGUUAAUACCGCACCAUACCCUUCGGCUUUAGAGAAGCCGGCAUCCUUCCCUUUUGGGAAGCGAGGGCUAAAAAUGGAAGACAUGUGAGAUCUAUUUAGUCAAGUUAAAAUAAAUAUCCCAUUAGUCAAACUUAUUAAGGAGGUACCUUCUUAUGCUAAAUUUUUGAAGGAUUUGUGUGUUCAAAAACGCAAACUCCAAGCAUACCUCCCUAAAAAGAUUGAUUUAGUCAAGCAUGCGAGUUCGAUAAUAUCAAAUAAACUUCCACCCAAGCUUAAGGAUCAUGGAGCACCUUUAAUUUUUGUUACGCUAGGUAACAUUAAUAUAAAAAAGGCGCUCCUUGAUCUUGGAGCUAGUGUUAAUAUAAUCCCGGGAAAUUUUUUUGAUCAACAUGACUUAGGCACUUUGGAACAAACUGAUAUUAUUUUACGAUUGGCCGAUAAGUCAACAAAAAUUCCUUGGGGAAUAUUAUCAGAUGUUAUUAUUAAGGUGGGAGAUUUCUAUUACCCAGUUGAUUUUCUUAUGCUUGACACCGUGAGCACUUAUAAAGAAAGUCAACCUUCUAUUAUUUUAGGUCGUCCGUUAUUGACAGCAAUAAAUGCACAAAUUAAUUGUAGAACGGGUGCAAUGGAUAUCUCUUUUGGAAAUAGGAAACUUAGAAUUGAUAUUUUUAAUACGUUUCCUAACUCACCAUCAGAUUAUGAAUGUUAUCAUGUGGAUGUGGUUGAUGACUUAGUGCAUCAAUUCACUCUUAAAAUCUUACACCCUGAUCCAUUGGAGUUUUUUCUUUCUAAUGACAGGGACGAAGUUUUAGAGUUGGAUGACAUCAAGAUGGUUGAGGAGGCAUUUGAAAAUGUUAUUGAGCAAGAGAGGCCACCAUGGAGUUAUCAAGUUGAAAAAUUGCCAACAAGUUUUUCGGACCCACUUAAGCCAUCUUUGGAGGAGCCACCCAGUCUUGAACUCAAAACUCUUCCUUCACAUCAUAGAUACUCUUUUUUAGGAUCUAAGGAGAACUUACCAAUUACCAUAUCUUUUGAUUUGACAUGUCCACAGGAGGAAGCAUUACUGAAGGUGCUUUCGAAGUACAAGGGAGCAAUUGGAUGGACCAUAGCAGACUUGAAGGGAAUUAUUCCAGCCACAUGUAUGCAUUGAAUCAUCACUGAAGCUAGAGAAAAGCCAUCCCGAGAUGCACAACGAAGGCUCAACCCGAAUCUGCGAGAAGUUGUUAAAAAGGAGGUGUUGAAAUGGCUUGAUGCGGGUAUUAUCUACCCAAUAUUUGAUAGUGAUUGGGUGAGCCCGACACAGACAGUGCCAAAGAAGUCGGGCGUUACAGUGGUAGAUACAGAAGAUGGAGAGAAGAUCUCAACAAGAUCGGUCACCAGAUGGAGAGUUUGCAUCGACUAUCGCAAACUCAAUGCUGCAACAUCAAAUGACCAUUUCCCUCUCCCUUUUAUUGAUCAAAUAAUUGAGAAAUUGUAUGGUAAAAAGUUUUAUUGUUUUUUGGAUGGAUACUCGGGGUAUAAUCAAAUUGCCAUCCACCCCGAGUAUCAAUCCAAAAUGACAUUCACGUGUCCAUAUGGCACCUUUGCUUUCCGAAGGAUGCCAUUCGGCUUGUGUAAUGCCCCUGCCACAUUUUAAAGAUGUAUGAUGGCUAUUUUUUUAGACGUGGUGGGGGAUGCAUUAGAAAUUUUCAUGGAUGAUUUUUCUAUUUUUGGAUCAUCUUUUGAGACAUGCUUAGACCAAUUAGAAAAAGUUUUGAAACGUUGUAUUGACUCUAAUUUGGUUUUAAGUUGGGAGAAGAGUCAUUUCAUGAUAAAAUAGGGAAUUGUACUUGGCCAUGUUGUCUCCGAGCAUGGCUUUGAAGUCGACCGGGCCAUAGUACAAAUUAUUUCUACUCUUCUCCCACCAACUUCAGUAAAAGGCGCCCGUUCUUUUCUUGUACAUGCCGGCUUUUAUCGAAGAUUUAUCAAGGAUUUUAGUGCAAUGUCAAAACCUCUUUGUAAUUUACUUUUAAAAGAUGCACCAUUUUCCUUUGAUAAAGCAUGUCUUGAAUCUUUUACCACAUUAAAGAACAAACUUGUUGAAGCUCCUAUCUUGCAAUCACCCGAUUGGACUUUACAUUUUGAAAUUAUGUGUGAUCCAAGUGAUUACGCGGUAGGGGCAAUUUUGGGACAACGGGUGAAUAAAAAACCCAUUGCAAUUUGUUAUGCGAGCAAAAAAAUUUCGGAUGCACAAUUGAAUUACACUACUACCGAAAAAGAGUUGCUUGCGGUCGUGUUUGCACUUGAAAAUUUUAGAUCUUACAUAUGGGGAUCUAAAGUUGUAAUUUUUACCGACCAUAGUGCCAUUCACCACCUCUUGGAAAAGAAGGAUGCCAAACCACGUCUCAUAAGAUGGAUCCUUCUUCUUCAAGAGUUUAAUCUUGAAAUUCAGGACAAAAAGGGUUCUGAAAAUGUUGUGGUGGAUCAUUUAUAUAGAAUAACUAAUAAUGAUAACUCAACGAAAGUUAUUCAAGAAAACUUUCCAGAUGAGCAUAGUCUUGUUGUCAAAACUAUACCAUGGUUUGCUAAUUUAAUUAAUUACUUUGCGACAGGGGAAACUCCAUUGUAUUGGAAUGCUCAACAAAUGAGGUUCUUCCACUCUCAAACAAAAUACUACAUAUGGGAGGACCCAUAUAUUUUCAAAAUUGGAGCAGAUCAAGUGAAUAGGAGAUGUGUACCACAUACAGAGCAAGAAGACAUUCUUCGACACUGCCAUUCAUAUACAUGUGGAGGGCAUUUUAGUGCCAAAAGGCAGGGCAUCGGGUUCUACAAAGCGGUUUUUUCUGGCCCUCUAUUUUUAAAGAUGCACAUACAUUCGUUAAAGCUUGUAUUCGUUGCCAACAAGUUGGGGGGAUCUCAAGACGGGACAUGAUGCCAAUGACCCCAAUUUUAGUAGUUGAAAUCUUUGAUGUAUGGGGCAUUGAUUUCAUGGGUCUGUUCCCCACUUCUUUUGGCAAUCUAUACAUUCUUGUAGCCGUUGAUUAUGUAUCAAAAUGGCUCGAAACCGAGGAUACACACACGAAUGACCAUAGUGUUGUUUGUAAAUUUGUUAAAAAGAACAUAUUUUCUACACACGGAAUCCCUCGAACUAUUAUUAGUGAUGGGGGCUCCCAUUUUAAAAAUUGGCAUUUUGCAAAGUUACUUAAACACUAUAGUGUCACACAUAUGAUAGCUACUCCAUAUCACCCACAAACAAAUGGACAAGUAGAAGUGUCAAAUAGGGAAAUAAAACGAAUCUUGGAGAAGACUGUUCAUCCCGACCGAAAAGAUUGGUCAUUAAGAUUAGAUGAUGUGUUAUGGGCAUAUCGAACAACCUAUACGACGCCCAUUGGAAUGUCUCCGUAUCGGCUUGUUUAUGGAAAGCCAUGCCAUCUCCCGGUGGAGUUAGAACACCGUGCCAUGUGGGCCAUAAAAAAUGCUAACUUUGAAUUGAGUGAUGCAGGUAUAGAAAGGAAACUCCAAAUUGUUGAAUUGGAAGAGAUUCGAAAAGAAGCUUACGAAAGCUCAAGGAUCUAUAAAGAAAAGACGAAGGCAUUUCAUGACCGACAUAUUGUCCGAAAACAAUUCGUUAAAGAACAAUUGGUGUGGCUAUUCAACUCUCGUCUCAAACUCUUCCUCAGAAAGCUUCGGAGUAAAUGGAAUGGACCUUUUGUGGUGAAAAAUGUGGCGGAUCAUGGAUCUAUUGAAAUCAAGGACACGAAAGGCAGUGAACCAUUCAAGGUAAAUGGACAAAGACUCAAACCUUAUAUUCGAAUGGUAAAUGGUGAAACAACAUUCGUUGAGAAAACAACGCUCAAGGCAACACAAUAUUUAGAAACAACUUAGUCGAGGUAAACCGUCCGGCUGAAGACAUAAAACUUACCGCUUUUCGGGAGGCAACCCGUGGUUUGGUGUGUUUUUACUUCUAUUCUUCUUUUGGUGUGUUUUAAUUCUUUUCGUAUCGAGGACAAUCCAAGGUUUAAAGUUGGGGAGGGGGUAUUUAAUUUUUGUUUAAAAUUAAAUAAUAUUCGAAAAAUACUCAAAAAACAGCAAAAAAAAAUAGCCUCAGGCAUCCUAGGGGUGUCUUAGACGUUGUCUAAGACGCCGUCGGGCUGUCACUUCUUUUCCCCCCGAUGAAAACCCUUCGCGAAAAUUAAAAAAAUACCCUUAAUGUGUAUGACGUCCUAGGACGCGUCUAAGACGCCGGCUAGGACGUCGACGUGUUUUUCAACCGUUUUAUGCCGUUUUCUGCAUUAUUGUUGGUAUCUUUCUUCUCCAAACUGCCAUAGCCGAAAACCCACUUGUUCUUGCUUAUUUCCUUUGAUUUCUUGGCCAAAACUCAACCAAAAUUCGUGGUUUUUGUUGCAAUCUUCAAGAAAUCAAGUAAGAAACAUCACAUUGCAAGAUUUACACACUCUAAUCACUUAUUUGGGGCCGAUUUCAAAACCCACAAAAACUAGGGUUUCGAAAUUUUGACUUAUUUUGAGAUUUUACUUCAAGUUCUUGGUUCUUCUUCACUAGAAACACAAUUUCAACAAGGUAUAUGCUUCAAAACUCCAUCUUUUAGUUGAAUUUCAGAAUUUUUGCAUGUAUGUUCAUAUAUGUUUGAAAUUUUGAAAAAGAUGAAGAAUAUGAUAUAUAUUGGUAUGAAUUCUUGUGAAUUAGUGUUUGUAGUUGUUAGAAGUAUGUUCCAAACAAGUUGCAUGUGUUGAUUCGAGAAAUUUCUAAAAAUUGAAUUUUUGUUGUUAGUUGUUAAAAAAUAAUAAUAAUAAAUAAAAGCACAUAUAAUGUUGGAAAAUCAUUCUUAUGUUUAUAUUUGUGUUUGAAUUAAAAAUUCAAGUUUUUAGAAAAUUUCAGAAUGACACUGAAUUUUGACAUUGCAUUGUUAGUCUGAAUAUUUGCCUGUUACAGUUCUGUUCUGGUUUUAGUUAGAACUUGUCAGUUGAAGUUAACUUUUGGUUUAACUGUGUUUUUACUGAUUGGAUAAAUUUUUGAAAAAUAUUUAGUUACUAAAAACAUAACAGGACUUAAAACGGUUAUUUAUUUAGACUGGAUUUAUUUUAACUUUGUUUGGAACAACUUGCCAACUGAAUUAUUUGUUUUAUUUUUGUGACAUUUGAUAUGUUUAAUGGCAAGUUUUGUUUUGUGGUUUUGUGUAUGAAUUAUUUUGCAGAUGCCAGCAAAGAGAUCAAGGGUAGCAUCAUCAAGCAGUGCAUCUAGACAACCAGCUAGACAGUCGGAGCCAAAUGUACAUGUGGCUUUCAACCCACAGUAUCAGACAUUGCAUGAGCAUCUAGAUGACAUUCGUCCAACAGUUUAUGAGGCAACUCAUCCGAAUAUGGGUUUUAUUGUAGAGUACAUGGUGGAGCGACCGAGCUUCACUAGGUAUAAUAUUGUGGAGACGUUUGAUCGCUAUGGAUGGGGUGGAGUGCUAGACUUCAAUCCCACGCAGAUUUAUGUUGAUAUAGUGCAGGAAUGGAUGAGGAAACUUCGACGUGUCGAGGUGCCUGGUAGGCCGGAGGAGUUGCCGCUGAUUGGGACGGUCCGUACUCAUGAUAUAGUGAUAACUGUGCAGGGUAUUCGGGACAUGUUUCAUGUAGAUACUGGCUGUCAUUUUCAUUAUCUUGAGAAUCAUCUGACUGAGUAUAGAUGUAUUGACACGAGGGGGUAACCCUGGGGUUAGUAUGACUGAAGUAUACCGUAUAGUGUUCCAUGAGGGGACGAGGGCAUACGACAGAUUCCGCGAAUUGGUGCCUUUAGCAAAGGCAUUACAUAACAUUAUCACGAAAAAUGUGAACCCAAGGAAUAGUGAUCCUAGGGCGGUGAGGCCACAUGACUUAUAUGUAUUAUAUGGAUUGAUGAUAGGAUCUAUCUUUAUCUCUUAUGCAUAUAAUGCUAUGUGCAACAUAUGGUCCUGUUUUGAUAUCCAGCACAGAGUCACUACCCCCCAUGUUGCCCUGAUAUCGACAUAUGUUGCCUUGCUACUUCUUUUAGACACAUCUCAUUUCAUGUUGAAAAUGGGAGACAUAUUCUGAGGGAUUCUACCACAAAUCCGACAUACACGGCACCACUCGGAGUGGGGGAUGAGGAGCCAUUCGUUGGUGAUUUUUAGGGGGAUCAGUAGCAGCAAUAGGCAUAAGCAGCAGGUCGGGGAUAGAACAUGCAGGCAGCUUGGGAGGACUUUGUGGGGAGGCAGAACAUGCAUAACCAGGAGGUGCAGGCUUGGAUGGGGAGAACGGAUAUAUGGUUGAAGGGUGUCGAUACGACACUAGCUGAUAUUACUGAGCAGAUGCGACAGAUUGGCAUUACAUCUAGCAACACUUAUAGUGUUGCCACUCGUCAGUUGUACCAACAGGAGUACUAUGCAGAUGCUGCCUACACAUAGAGUCGUGUCCAGUAUGAACCGAUGGACAUUGAUCAACCACAGUAUCGAUACCGAGCUCCAGCUCCGUUCUUCUACCGAUCCGGGAAUCUGAGCAACUAUCCACCGCCAUCCGAGCAUGAGCAUUAUCAGCCACCACCAGCUACAGAGGACUCUACUCGCUUUGAGGAUUUAGUUGGAUCGAUCUUUGGGUAUCCUCCACCAUACCCACGUUAUCCUCCACAGUCGCCCCCACAUUGAACUUUGGUGAGAUCCUCUUUUGAUUUUUAUUUUUAUGGUUGUUUGAUGAAGACUUUUUUUAUUUUUAUUUUUAUUUUUCGUUUGCUUUUCAUGUCUUUAUUUGGGAUGAAUGUACUAUUAUUAAACUCAUUAUUAUUAUUACUCUCUCUUGGGUUGGUUCCAUUAAAUAUGUGAUGAGUUAGUAGCAUCUCUAUAUCUUGAACGUAACUCAUCAAAAUGGAAAAUGAUAGGAGUUUCGUAAAUUGAGUCAUAAUAUUUAUUUAAUAUUGAUUUUGUGGAUUGCUCAACCGAUUUGGGAAUAUUUAUAUUUAGUUAAAAAAUUGUUAUGUGAAAUACCCAAGUGUUUGAAAAAUGACGGUUUUUAGCUCGAGCCUACGAUCUUUCAAUUGAGGACCCAACCGAACAAUAUGUGUCAUCACGCUCUGAGUACUUGGUCUUACUUACUCUUGCGCCUUUGGGGUUGGGAGGGGACUAUUAUUGUUUUCACACAAUAAAAAAGCAUCAAAAGACAUUGAAGAACUUCCAAGUAUCUAUAUUCAAGCUCAAGUCAAAUACCAAAAUGAUCAAAUCCGAUGAAGCCAUCAAAGAACUUGAAGAAUGCAAAAUCAAGAUAAAUAUGAAGAAAAGUUCAAGUUGAAGACAUUGUGUGAAAUAAUGUGUGACCCCUCGAUAGCGGGAGCGUAUGGGUUGGUCCAUUAAGUGUUACCGACCGCGCUAACUAUGUUAGUGAACCUUGAAAAAAGGGACUUUGGCAAUGAGUUCAACUGAUUACUCAUGAGGGUGAUUAUUGGAAAGGGUUCAAAAAGUGGAGGGUUUCAAACAACAAAGUAAAAUAAGCAUAACAUGUGUUUUGAGUUUAAAAGUCUGGAUAAGAAAAUAAUAAUCCCCAUAAUCAAUAUAUUGUGCUAUUGGAAAUGUUGUGAUAAAAAGUACAGAAUUCAUGAUUCCAUUGAGUUUUUCUUAGGAUAAGAGAGUAAAGACUACGCUGAUUAUUUCAGGCCAAUCUCGGGACGAGUUUGGAAUAAAGUUGGGGAGGUUUGAUAAGUCCAUUUUAUGAAUGUACUAAAUUGUUAUAAAUCUGUUGAAUUGAUGUAUAAUUGUCCAAGAAUGGCACUACUUUGAUGAGUUGUUGAACUUCAUAUACAGGUCAAUAUAUUGUACUAAAAGUGGGCGGAACCUGCAAGUAAAACAGUGCUAAAGGAAUGAAGAAACGUUGCUGGGAAAACUGACCAUGCUUCAAUGUUUUGGUCAUAACUGAAGUUCCGCAGCUCUAAUUGACAUGAGUAAAGAAGUUCUGGAAACUAGACAAGAUUUUCUACAACUUUUGUGUUUUGUGUUUCUGCUAGUUAUGUCGUUUUGACCACCAAAACUUAAACGAAAGAUGAAGGAUGCCUCCAGGCGUCUAAGACAUCCCCUAGGACGUCCACAUCAAACGGUCAGCAUCUGGCCGUUAUUUCAAAGCAGAAAAGAAGGAAGAACCCCCGUCAGCGUCUUACAUGGCGUCAAAGAUGUCCCCUAGGACAUCUUGGCAUUUUGGGGAUGUCCCGUGUUGGAACGGUGUGUUUCGGAAAGUUUAGAAAACAAGGCAGGACGUCCUAGAACGUGUCUAAGACGUCUCCUAAUACGUUUGACGUUUUUGGCCAUUUUUUAGUGUAUUUCAAGGACGACAGAUGGCAUGCAAGGACGUACAAAGAACGCCUGGGCGUUAUACACGACAUCUAAGAUGUCUGCUAGGACGUCCAACAUCCCACAUCCCCCAAUUUCAUUAUUUUUUAUCUCACACUAUAAAUACGAGCCUAUGAAUUCGUUUUUAGGGUUACCACCUCCGAUUUUCAGAGUUUUUCAUGUGUUUUUGAGGCUUCUAAAACACUUGGAAACAUUUGAAAACACAAAUCCAUUCCAUUAAAAUCCGGAUUCAAAGCAAGACUCAAUUCAAUUCAUCAUCAAGCUAUAAGUGAAGAUCAUUUCAUUGGUUAAUCUUCAUCAAUUCUUUAUUUUCCAGAAUUAUUUCUUCUUCCCCAAGGUUUAUUUUUUCUAUAAUUUGAUAAUCAUUAGGCUACAUUUGUUUGAUGAUUCUACAUUUGUUUAUGAAUUCUAUUAUGCAUUUUAUUCAUUUCAAUCAAGUUAUUUGUUUUAUGAACUCAAUGGAAGGCUAAAUCAUUAGGGUUACUUCUGGGGAUGUUUAGGACUUUUUGAUGAACAUAAUUGAUUAUUACUUGAUUUUAGUUAAUUCAAUUGUUGUUUUAUGCUUCAUGUGAUGAUCUUUUAGUAAUGAUAAUUGAAAUUGGGUUGUAUGAAUUGUUUGAUGUCAUAAUUAAGAUAGUCUAUUGUCAAUUCAUCAUUUGUUCCAAGUUCACUUAGUUUAGGAAUAAAGACAAGUGACUGAAUCAACAUAUAUUAUUCCAACUUAUGAUAUUGAAUCUUAAUGCGGUAAUAGGUAGUUGUAUGAUAUUUUAUAGCUAGUCCACUAAUUGUUCUUAAUCCAUUUAGGCAUAAAGGAGUAAGACAACUAGUUAAAUGAAAAUUUAGUGUGCCCAAACUAUGUAUUACAAGUUAAUAAACCCCAAUUGUAUCUAAGUAAUUGAAUUAGGAUUUAAGGGAAGAAAGUGUGUGAAUUUAAACUAUCCAUAACUGAACCGGAAGUACUCUAGUUUUCUCAUUGAAAUUUUCGUUUUAAUUAAUAAAUUUCCAAGCUUUUUGUUUGAUCUUUGCUUUAAUUUUUUUUCGUGACAAUUUCUAGUAGUUUGUUUUUUUUCGUUGACUAUUUUAACACAAAAUUUGACGACAAACUCCUUGCGGAUUCGACCCUUACUUACCCUAGCUAUCUAGUGGUUUUGAGAUUAUUCUUGACUGAUACAACGACAUUGAUCAUCGUGCCAAAACCCUAAAGAGACCGAUGUGCCUGGGGCCCAAUUUGCUCUUCUUCCUGAAUCGGAUGACACCUUUCCAAUGUGACAAGUUCAGGGGGACCAUAUCCCUAACCUGAAACUCUAAAUCUGAUUGGUGCUUGUCGGCAUAGCUCUUCUUCCGGCUCUAAGCUGUCUGGAGCCUACUCCAAACUGCUGAAUCAACUUGGUAGUCUUGAGUACCGCUUUGGUACUCCCCAUUAGUAGCUGACCGUCCUCACCCCAACAUAUCAUGGUACUGCAUUUCUUUCUAUAGAGCAUCUCAAAAGGAGGUCGAUUAAUGUUGGCGUGAUUACUAUUGUUAUACAAAAACUAUUGGAUUAGGUGUCUAAGACCAUAACUAUUUUGGUAUGUACUUGACCCGAUUGUGAGCAUGGUCCUUUUGGGUUGCCUUCACCAUAGCAACUGAUGGGAUGAAUUAAGGAGAAAAAGGAUUAAUUAUGAUUUAUUAAUAUAUUAUAUGAAUAAUAUAUUAAAAGAGAAAUCAUAUUGUUUAAUUAAUAUUAGUCAAUAAUUCAUUUUGUGGCUAAAAGAGAUUAAUUAAAUAAAGGGGACUGAUAUUGCAAUUAUAUGAUAGUUGCAAAUUGGGCUAUGGAUUCCUAAUGGAAAUCGGAUUGGACAAAAUCUAUGGGAAGCCCAUAUGGAUUUCGUCCAAGGGCUUUCCAAGGGAACUCCAUGGGUUGCUUAAGGCGUAAGCAGUGAGAUUAGGGUUUCCUGAUUCAAAACCCUAAUAGCCUAAGUAUAAAAGGAACCCUUGGCAAGCCAAAAACGUCCCUAACCUUAUAAGAGAAACCCUAGGACGUUUUUGGUGCCUCCUCCCUCUCUCCUUGUUCAUCUUGUUACAUAUGGUGUUUGUGACUCCAUUAGAGGUGCAACAUUUGAGGCACUAGGCUUUCAGAAGUCAAUUACAAGAAGGAUUCGGAUUGUUAUUGCAACAUAACAAUCAAGGUAAGAUCUAAAAUCUAUCCUUUUGUCAAUUUUGAUUAUUGUAUACUAGAGUUAGGGUUUAUGAGCUUUGGAUGAUUAUUACGUAUAUCAGACAAACUAGAUCCAAAGCUUUAGGGUUUGCAUGUACACCAUAGGAUUGACGUAGUGCUCAAAACCCAUCAAAAACUACGCCAAAGGGAUAUAUGUAUCCCAACUCCCACCAAAAUCCAGAACACACGCCCGAAGCAUAUCCUCCAAGGUAUGAAUAGUCCUCUCGCUCUGACCAUCAGUAUGUGGGUGGAAAGUCGUACUGAAAUGCAGAUGAGUACCCAGCUCGUCGUGGAACCUCUUCCAAAAUCUGGAAGUAAACCGGACGUUCCUGUCUAAAACCACAAAACGGGCACACCAUGAAGUGCCACUACCUCCCUGAUGUAUACCUCAGCUAACUUCUCUGAGGAGAUACUAUCUUGAGUCGGAAUAAAAUGUGUGAACUUGGUCAAUCAAUCCACGAUGACCCAAAUCGAAUCCACUCUAUGUUCACUCUAAGGCAACAUCGUAAUGAAAUCCAUGGUAAUCUCCUCCCAUUUUCAAACAGUGAUAUCUAACGGUUACAUCUUGUCGUGAGGCCACUGAUGCUCGGCCUUGACUUUCCUUCAAGUCAAGCAUCUCUCCACGUACCAAGCUACAUCCCGCUUCAUACAGGGCCACCAAUAAUCAGGAUGAAGAUCAAUAUACAUCUUCGUCGUGGUGGGAUGAAUGGAGAAUCUCAAUUUGUGUGCCUCCUCCAUCAGAACUUGACGCACACCAGCCCAAUCGGAACCCACACUCUUCGAUGGAGAUUCAAUAACCCUUGGUUUUCAUAAUAAAAGGAAGCCACCUGACUCACUGUGCGCUCACUCUUCCCAUCACAACCUCAACCUGAGCCUCUCAAAUCUACUCUAAAAGUGGAGUGAUCACAGUCAUCCUGAAACAAAUAUCCUUGAACGGAGCCGCGAUCGCCUUGCUGCUAAGAGCAUCGGCCACCACAUUAUCCUUCCCCGUAUGGUAAAGGAUCUCACAAUCAUAAUCCUUCACCACAUCCAACCAUUGGCACUGCCUCAUGUUCAUAUUUGGCUGAUCCAUCAGAUACCUCAAGCUCUUGUGAUAUGUCUAUAUAGUACAGCGGGCCCCAUAGAGGUAAUGUCAUCAAAUCUUGAGGGCAAAAACCAUAGCCCCAACUCUAAAUCAUGCAUCGGAUAAUUCGUCUCAUGAUGCUUCACUUACCUUGAAGCGUAAGCGAUCACGUGACCCCUCUGCAUCAGAACUACACCUAAACCUGUGAUCGACGCAUCAUAAUAAACCAUGAAAUCUUCAACACCCUCCGGCAGGGUCAAAAUAGAUGCCUCACACAAUCUUUAUCUUAGGGUCUCAAAAGUUGCAUGUUGGUCGGGCGCCCAGCGAAAAGUGACAAUCUUCUUCGUCAACCGAUUUAGAGGAACCGCUAUCUUGGAGAAAUCCUAAAUGAACCUCCGAUAAUAGCCUUCCAACUAAGGAAACUCCAAAUCUUAGAUGGAGACCUCGGUACCUCCCACCUCAUCACGGCCUCGACCUUGGCCGGAUCGACCAGAAUACUGUUUUGGUUGACAAGGUGCCCUUGAAACUGCACCUCGUGCAACUAGAACUCGCACUUGGAGAACUUUGCAAAAAGUCUCUCCCUCCUCAAAGUUUCCAAUACCUCCCUGAAGUGCUCCUCAUGUAGCUCCUGGGUCUUGGAAUAGACCAGGAUAUCAUCAAUGAAUAGGGCAUUUUGUAUAAUCAAUUGUUGAUGUUAUUGAAAAUAAUGAUGUUAUUGAAACAUAUGCAUGGCAUGUAUUCCCAAUAAUUAUAUUUAAUUAAUUGGUUGUUGUGCAUGUUAUUAUAUUGGGAACAAAUUAGAAAGUGGUCCAUGUGGUAGUACAUGAUAUGUAUGGGGACCAUUUGUAGUUAAUAGUCAAUGGGUAUUUUUAUAAUGGAAAAAUGGGACCUUUGAACCCAUUAUAGAACCAUAUCCAUGACUAUAUAACAAAUUCACAUGCAUGCACAUUAUUCCAAAUUUUUCCAUGCAUAAAUAUUCAAACCCAUUGGUCAUGAGUUUACUUAAAAAGGCAACAUACUUUCAUAAGUGAGUAAAAUAUCAUUUCAUGUCAACAAUUUACUUACAAAGGCAACAUACAUUCAUUAGUGACCAAAAUACCCUUUUAUGUCAUGAGUUAACUUAAAAAAGCAUCACGCAUACAUAAAUGACUAAAAUACCCUUUUAUGUCAUGAGUGAACUUAAAAAGGCACCAUGCAUACAUAAAUGACCAAAAUACCCUUUUAUGUUAUGAGUGAACUUAAAAUGGCACCAUGCAUACAUAAAUGACCAAAAUACCCUUUUAUGUCAUGAGUUAACUUAAAAAGCCACCAUGCAUACAUAAAUGAUCACAUCACAUGUAUUCAAAUACACAUACUUUAAAUCCAAAUUACCAUCAUCCUAAUACACAAACUUAAAAUCCAAAUUACCAUCAUCCUAACACACAUACUUUAAAUCUAAAUAACACAAAGGAAAAAUCAACACUAAUAAAUUAGAAGAGCUUUUCCCUUAGAAUUUCCUGGAUCAUCAACACCACCAACUUUCUUGCCUAAUUUCAACUUGAAGAUUCUCUUUGACUUUCUUCUCCUUAUCCUGUUCAAAAUCUUGGAAAUUGGUCUAACCCUUACCUGUUGAACCUAGAUAAUAGGAGUAACCUCCUAAAUUUGAACAUUAUCAACAACUUGGACAUUAGGAAUAACCUCAUCAUCUUGAACAUUACCACCCUCCUCAACUUCCUCACCCAUAACACCCCCAUCACCUUCAUAACUUCUAGGUGGAAUAACUUGCAUAGACUGACUAAAAUCCCUUGCACUACUGGAUUCAACAUGAGUAGAAGUAACUUGCAUAUCAUUUUGAGUAUUAUCCAUCUCAAUUGGAGUCAUUUAACCUCUUCUUGUUGUUGUGGUUCACUUGUACUACCCUAUAUGGCAUGAUAUAAUUAUGUUAGUGGCAAAUCAUAUGUAAAUAAAUUUAAAUUUUAAAUGGUUUUACCUGUUCUGCAUUUUUCUUCACAUAAACUUUUUGUUUCUUCUGUUUCUUUACAUUUAACUUUUGGGGCCUUCUCUAUGGACAAGUGGCCUUACUGUGACACAUCUCCUUGCAUAUAAUACAUCUAAUUUUCUUUCCAUCCUUAGAAACCCUGUGUGUUCCUGUAUUCUUUGUAGUGGAUUUCUUCUUCUUAGUAGCUGGCCUACCAUGCAUCCGUCUACUAAUAAGAGGCAAUGGUGGAGUAUAAUUUGUCUCUGGCCACAUGUCACUGCCAUUCAUGGGGGAAAUUCUGUAAUUGUAUGCCUUCCGAAUUGUGGUGGUGUUAAACAUGUUGUCUACAUAGGCUUCUACAUCUCUAUUAAGAUUGGAUAUGGUAGCUACAGAAUGAGCAUAUCCAUAUCCAUUUAACCGCCACAACCUACAUGAACAUGUUUUCCUUUAUAAGUCCACCUCAUAUGCAUCUGUUUCUCCCUUACCUCGAACUGGUUUAAUCCACUAGGUAGUACCUGAUAAUGCCUCUGAAUUUUUUAAGCAAAUUCACCUUAUCCCUUAUCUCUGGACAAAUAUUAUUUCCCCAUUGUUGUCCCUUUAAUUUCAUGUUGUACAUUUUGUCCAUCAUGUAUAAUCUUAACUCCUCUAACAUGGUUAUUAUGGGCUUCUUCCUGGUAUCCACUAUUACAACAUUAAAACUUUCAGAGAAAUCAUUUUCAACUGCAUCACAACACCUUCCAGCUUGAAAGUAAGCUCUUGACCAUGUUUUAAGAUCUUUCUCCAUGAGAUAUUGAUGGGCAUCUGGGUUUAAUGUCUCAAUUUCCUUCAUCACAACUUUAAAAGCAUGCUCAUUUGUGGUUUUAGAUGCUCUCCAAAACAAGGUAUGAUAUAUGACACCAGUGAAUCUCUUCUGCAAAUUUUGAAAAAUAUGUCUAGCACACUGCCUGUGCAUAUGGAAGAAACUCUUUAACAGCCUCUAUCAAACCUUGUAUUAAUAAAAAGGUUUAAAUCAGAUAGUAUAAAAUAAAUAUAAAUGAAUUACUAUGUAAAAUACUAACCUUAUGUUGGUCUGACAUUAAACUGAAGCAAUUGCCUAAACUUAAGUUUAGAUUAUUAAUGAGAAGCUCUAAAAACCACUUUUAAUUCUACUUGUUCUCCACACUAACCAUUGCCCAAUCAAUAGGAUAUAUCUUGUUAUUUACAUCCCUCCCAAUAACACAAAGCAAUCCCCCCUUACAAACACCUUUAAGAAAACAUCCAUCAAGACCCAUUAUCCUUCUACACCCUUUAAUCCAACCUUGUUUAAUUCCUUGAAAACAAACAUAGAACUUGCUAGAAUAUUUCUUUCCAUCUGGACCAUCCUCCACAUCUAGUUUCACAGUUGACCUAGGAUUUGUCCUUAAAAUCUCAUCAACAUAUUACCAUAGCUUACCAUAAUGUUCAACAAGGCUACCUUCAACAAGAUUUAAUGCAUACUUCUUUGUUCUCCUACAUUAGCCCAUACUAACUUGGAUACUAAACUUGGUCAUUACCUUUACCCUAAGCUUCCUUACACUCAUUUUAUGACUUUGUACAAUCUCUUUGGUAUAGUGACUCCCAAUCCAUGCAUAUGUCACCAAUAAUCCAAACUUGAAGUUCCUAGCACAAUUAUGAUAAGCUUUUUGUGACUUGAUUUGGAAAGUCUCUCCAUCAUUCAUCCAAGAAGCCCAUAAUAUAAAUGUGCAAGCACCCUUGCUACAUCUCACCAAAAGUCUUUUCCUAUCAUAUUUUUUCAAAACACAAUUGAUAUCCAUUAGCCACAACAUAGUUGCACAACCUUGACUUUACUUGCCCUGGACCCUUAGAUCUCAUUCCUAGAAUUGGUUUUUGUUUUUUCCAGUGUAAUAGCUCAUUAAAUAUGGAAAUAGUUUGGAUGUUAGGUUCAACUUCUCUCCCAUUAUCAUCAUCUACAAUGUUGUUAUCCUCCUCAUCAUCAACACACAACUUACUCACGAAAGGAUCAUUUGAUGUCCUAUUCAUAUGCACUGCAUCCUUAUUAAAUUCAAAGACAACAUUCCUAAGUUCAUCUAUGUUAUCUUCAUCUAUGUUAGCGGCGCAGCUUUUUGCCCGUUUGCCUUCAAUCGAUAUGUAUUGAACAAAAAUGUUUGAAUGUCUAUCAAUACAAGGCUCAUGUUCAUCAUCAAACCACCCACCAACACCAACCCCAAUAUGAUCCACAUAAACCGAAAUUACACCAUCUGUUCCAUCAACAUCAAAAAUAAAAGCAGCAUAGUCCACAUCAUCUGAAAAUGGGAUUAAGCUCUUCCAUCAGGGAAUUGCCUGGUUUACAGUAGUAAAACUUUUUACACUCUUCAUGCAUGAAAUGUUCACAGAAGGUCACAAGCUCAGAAUAAGUCAUAGAAGAAAAGUCGACAUCAGUGAACAUGGUUUUCACACCACCAGUGUAAGAGAAAGGAUUUCGAUUAAAUACCCCUUGGUAGUUGAGUUCCACCAUCACAAACACUCCAUUAGGUUCCGAUUGUGCCAUUUUUGCGACUUCUUUGGCUCUUCAGCUCGAUCACAAAAAUGCUUCACAAAACCUAAAUCAAUUUCUUUUAAAACUAAAUAAUGAAGACGAGUGAAGUUCGAUAGCUGAAGACAAAAGGCUUAAAGCUUCGUAUAUCAUCUAUUGAUGUGGCAUAUCUCACAUGGCAUCAGAUUAGCUAAAAAAGAUAUAUUAAUUGACAUAUAUAAAAUGUCAACCAGGAAACCGUUUACAAGUAUGGAAAUGACUAAAUUAAUAAGUCAGAUACCAUUUUAAUGGUCUAAUGUACCCAAAAAACUUUAAUGACCAAAUUAGCCAAAUGUAAAAAGUUUCAUGUGCUACAGUGACAUUAUCCCUGAUGGGUUUUGAGCAUUCUAACACUCCUAUGGUGUACAUGCAACCCUAGAAACCUUGGAUCUAUGUUUGACUAAUAUACAUGCAAAUAAUUAUUUUCCAAGGUUCUUAUCCUAUCUAGCAUGGCAUGGGAACUUGAAUCAAAUAGAGCUAGUAGAAUUACUUACCUUGUAGUUGUUUAAAGCUUCGUAUAUCAUCUAUUGAUGUGGCAUAUCUCACGUGGCAUCGGAUUAGCUAAAAAAUAUAUAUUAAUUGACAUAUAUAAAAUGUCAACCAGGAAACCGUUUACAAGUAUGGAAAAUGACUAAAUUAAUAAGUCACAUACUAGUUUAAUGGUCUAAUGUACCAAAAAAACUUUAAUGACCAAAUUAGCCAAAUGUAAAAAGUUUCAUGUGCUACAGUGACAAUAUCCCUGAUGGGUUUUGAGCAUUCUAACACUCCUAUGGUGUACAUGCAACCCUAGAAACCUUGGAUCUAUGUUUGACUAAGAUACAUGCAAAUAAUUAUUUUUCCAAGGAUCUUAUCCUAUCUAGCAUGGCAUGGGGAACUUGAAUCAAAUAGAGCUAGUAGAAUUACUUACCUUGUAGUUGUAGUUGAUUGCUUGGAGUUUUAGAGCCUAGCACCAAUAGUGUGGAUGCCUCAAAUGUAAAUCACAAAUCACUACAAACUUGGAACUUUGAGAGAAUAGUAACCACCUUUCUUGAAAUCGGCCCUCUUACUUUACUCACCACAACUAGUAUGAUUUCAAGAACCAAAGCCUCCUUUAUAUAGUGUGGUGGAUUAGGGUUACAUCCAUGUAAACCCUAAUACCCAUGUCUUUUCAUUUCCAUGAGAUCCAUGGGUUAAAGCUCCAUGGAGUAUCCAUGGACUUUCCAAGCAAGCCUAGCCCAUUCCAAAUAAGCAUUAGCCCACACUAUAUAAAUAUAAGAGCCCAUAUUUAAUUAGUAAUACUUUUGAUCUCUAAAUUAAUUUUAGAUUAAUUAUAGAUCAAUACUAAUUAAAUAAUAUGGUUUUAUAUUAAUAUAUUAGAACUUAUAAUAUAUUAAUAAAUCAUAACUUAUACUAUUCUCAAAAGAUUAUCCAUAAAUUGUUCGGGUGAAGUGCAACCCAAAUGGACCAUGACGGGUCGGGUCAAGUACAUACCAAAUAUAGUUAUGGACUUAGACACUAUAUCCAACAAUCCCUACAUAAAGUCAUAUGUAGUCAAGGAUCAGAUAGAUAAUCGAACAUAUGACUCACCUAAGAGCGAACAAUCAGAAAAGAACAUCACAAUCAAGCCUUAGAUCAAGAGUUAUCAGUCUAUCCAACUUAAACUAGAUAGACCUAAGAUAUUAUUACCACCUAACCAUGUGACAUAAACAUUUAACAGAUACUAGCAUAUUUAUACACUUAGCAACUAUCCUUCCCUAGUUACCCUGUCAUUGAUCACUUCUCAAUCAAGUGAUCAUCUGGUCAGUCAUGCAUAAUCAUGAUAAUUGACCUACCCCAAUUUCCCUAACUAAACAUAACUCAUAACAAUAUCAUACAAUAAAUAGGAAAGACCUCACAAGAAUAGCAUACCCAGACACCAAGUGUUCUAAACUGCACAUGCAUAUCCUAGCCAACUAGCAUAUUUGUACUCUAACAGUAUCUCCAUCCUAUCAUGCACAGGAUAUAUAAUGAGAUAUGUGGCAUACUAUGAAACUCACCUGAACUGAAGAACCGGAGAAGCACAACAACACUCUUACACAUUUCACUACUCGAUCAUGUGAACCAAUUAACACCAAAAUAGAUAAAUCCUCAAUCAAUAAUCCAAAUCCUCCAAGUUUGACCCUAAGUCAAACUGGUCAAAAGUCAAUAGUCGAUGUAACGCCCAUGUUUCUUUCCAGACAUUAACUAAAUAAUUAGGGUCAACAAUCACCACAACGUGGUAACCUCUUGGCCACAUCCUGGGAAUUUCCAUACAAAAUAGUUACGAAGCUUAGGAUCACCAUGUCGUUGCAAGCCUAUUGCCACGUCGUGGAAAUUCACAGGAAGUCAUAUUCUUCAUUAUGAGCUUAAUGCUUACAGAUCUAAGCUCAAACUUUCAUAUUUGAUUCUUCUUGAUGAAUUAAUGGAUCUUAAACCAUAAGUCUAUUAAGUCUUUAAUAUGACCAAAACUAGAGCAUGGAGAAAAGGGAGCUAUGAAUUAACGCUUUUUCCAUCAAACAAGACCAAAAGAUGGUCACCAAACAAUUCUAAAGUUCUGGAGUUGGCCAAAACUCCAAGAAAAUGCCUUCAAGGGACUUCAAAGCAUGAUAUGAGAGAAAAGGAUGAUAAAGGUGGAAGCUUUAUACCUUCCCAAAAUCCACAAGACAUAGGAGAUGCAAGAUCUGAAGUAGAUACACCAUUCAAACUAGCAAACACACUGUCGUUUCCUUCCCAAAGUGCAACCCAAGGCUUCAAACUUCAAGAACUCCAAGAACUCAUCAAUAUCACUCAAAUAGGGCUAGGGUUUCGAAAUAGGAGGAUGGAGACUGAGGGAAAUGAGCUAACCCUAGAGUUAAGGCCAUUAAAUAUGGGAGAAAAUAUAAAAAAAAAAAUUAUGUGCUUGGGCUACAGCACUCACAACGUCGUGGCAACCCUCUAGUCAUGUCGUGGUGCUCUUCAAAAUGUGCGUUCCCGAAAAUAUGUGUCACGUCGUGGUCAUCCAUGCACCAUACCAAGGCAUAGAUUUUUCUCCUAAAACCCCAUCUUUGAUCCUAUUAGCUCUUUAGUUAAACUAUUAUAGAAAAUAGGUGUUAUAGCCACCAUUCCGAGUUCCUUCUGUGACUGCUAAAUUAGUGUUUGGCGGGUUGGGGAGCCCGACUUCUUUCUCUUAUAUCUUCACAUAUAUAUAUAUAUAUAUAUAUAUAUAUAUAUAUAUAACAUUUUUUUUUCAAAAGUGUAAUACUAUCAAGGGAAAUUGACUUAUCAGGGUAAUUACUGUUUUGUUUUGUUCACAUCGGGGUAACUCUUUUUUUAGUACACAUCUAGGUAACAAACUUUUUGUAAGUGUUCACAUGUGACCAUUAUAAUUGGUUGUAGCAAGUUACAACCGAACGUAAUUGUCAUAUAUGAACACUUCCAACAAGCUCGUUACCUCGAUGCAUACAAAAAAAUGAAGUUACACAUAUGUGAACAAAACGAAAAGGUAAUUACCCUGAUAAGCCAAUUUCCCUUUUUAUUAAGGUGGCAAAUCAUAAUGUUUGUAAUAUUAAUAUAUUCAUUUAAAUUUCUUUAAAACAACAUUUGUAACACCCGGAAUCUAGAAGAUUAAUUAUGGAAACAAAUUCCCUUACCUAAGUAAAAACACGAUGAGUUGAUGGUGGGAAACUCGAUGUGUUGGAGGUUUUUGGGACACACGUUUUUAUGAACCAACUCGGUGAGUUGGUGAAGGAAAAUCGGCGAGUUGGACACUGACUGAGAAACCCUAAUUUUUAGGGUGUUACACCCUAUUUAAAGACCUUAAGUUCUUUAGCUGGCCUCCUUACCGGCCUCCUCUAUCCAGAAACCCUAAAACUGAGCCUUGUCUUCCAUUUAUGAGUGUGAAAGCUUGGGGAGAGCCUUGAGAGUUCAUUUUUGGUGCUUUUUGAAGGAGCUAAGGAAUUAGGAGUUGCUUGGCUUGAAGAAGAAGUCUUGGAUCCAGAAUCUCUGCCUCAUUUGCCAAGUUUUUGAGGAAUCGUGUUCUUACCUUGCUUAUUUGUUGCUUAGAUCUCUUCUUGGGUUAGAGUUUAUGAUUUUUAGCCAUUUUGGGUGAAUGUUGGGGAUUAGGAGGUCCCAAGCAAUUAUUAUUUCAGAUAUAAGGGCUAGCGGCGCUGCUUGUUGCCCGUUCGCCUUCAAUCGAUAUGUAUUGAACUUUCAUUGGAGUAUAUUUUCUUAAUAUAAAUAUAUAAUAGAUAUAAGGUCUACAUGAGCUCUUUAGGCAUAAAGGUGCCAACUUUAUGGAUUUAAUGGCUUCAUGUAUUCAUUAAGUCUUUCAGUUAGCCCUUUUUGAGCUUUUGAUCACCUCCUAGUCAUGCUUAAGUGUAAAGUUGGAAACUUUACACGGCCAUCUAGCCUUAUGGGGACAGAUCUGCAUUAUGGGUUUUAUCUUUGAUGAUUAAGUGAUUAAUGAUUAAGCCUUCACUCUUUUAAGUUUAGGGUUUGGGUUUGGACCCAUUAGGUGAUUCCUAGGGGUAAAGUUGGAAAAUUUACCCUUCUUGAUCUCAUUUUGGUCGAGAGCAGAGCUUUGGAGCCUUUGGACUCGAUGAAGGUACCUUAAUGCAUUAAGAUGUUGGUUCUUGAGAGAACUCGGCGAGUUGACUUGGUUUCCCCGAUUUGUGUAGUUGAUGGAGAAACUCGACGAGUUGGGUUAACUUGGACCGUUGACUUUGACUUUCGAUUUAUGUCUUUGAACAAGUUUGUCCCAAUGGGUACUUGAGGUAAUCUGAAUUGUAAUUAAGGGAAUUAUGAGAUUAGGAUAAGGCCCAUAUGGGGUUGGUCCCAAUUUGGAAAAUUGGGCCAUUACUGGGCCUUUGCGGAUCUUUUGGUUUUGGACUUUUUGGUUAAUGGAAUUUGGGCCUCAGUUUUGGUUCAUGACGCGUUAGGGUUAAAAUGGUCAUUUUCCCCCAAGUAUGGAUGGAGGGCUUUAGAAUGGAACCCAAUUGCUAAUUAGGUGUUAUUUUGAUCUCAUAGCUCGGAGGUCUCAUCAGGGCAGCAGCUAGGGACUUCUUUCUGUGAGUUUCUGCGUUCGAGGUGAGUCUCCUUACUUUUCUAUGGUUUGAAGGCAAUAAUGACGGCCCAUUUGGUUUAUGUAUUAUAGGAAGACCUGGGGGAUAAACCUUGGCAGUUUGUAUGAAAGACCAGGAGGCGGCUCCUGGCAAACUGUAUGCAAGACCAGGGUCUGAACUCUAGCAGUUGACUAGUUAAGUAGUGUAGAUUUUAUACUAUUUGUCUUUGUGACACUUUCAUGGAAGACUCGAAGGUGGAUCCUGGCACUUGUCUGUAAGACCUAGGUUUUUGGCCCCCGGCCUGACAAGGAAGACCACAAGGCGGCUCAUGUCAUAAUGGCAAGACUAUGGAUGGCACAUAUCACCUUUACUAAUUGGGGUAUAUGUAUGCUAAGUAAGACUCAGUGAUAUUAAUGUUAUUUAUAGUUUUGAGUUGAGUUUUCUCCUGCGAUUGAGGUGCAACAGUUGGUGCGAGAGUUUCUGGAUCUCUGUCAGACUACUGAGACUGUGGCAGAUUGUGGAAGGGUGGAAGUGAUGUAAGACUGAGGGGUGGCCCGUAGCAUUCACUAGUUAGAAGUUGGUAUAAAAAUGUUGUAAGACUGUGGGGUGGCACGUAGCAUUCACUAGCGAUCAGAUAGUGUGGGAAGUGUUGUAAGACAGAGGGGUGGCCCGUAGCAUUCACCAGUCCCUAUACAGCGGUGAGAGUGUGGCAAAUUUGUGAUUUGCUCACGGUUUUCUUCGGAUGAUUUUGGCCAGGAUGGAUCAGUUCGCAAGGCUAUGGGAAGGACACAACAUGUUUGGAAUCAAGAUAUGGGAGGUCGUGGGAGACCGGGUUUGAGGUAAGACUAUAGUUGGUCUGUAACGUUCAACCUAGUAUCAGAUUAUUGACGAGACGGUUUGGGUAGUUAUUGCCAGUGAGGCUUUUUUUCAAAAGUUGCGAUGGGCGAUUGUGUGGAGUUUCAAAAGCAGCUACGAGGCAACAAGCUGUUUUGGGCAGUAUUAGUGAUUUUUGGGCAGUAUUUUCGGGUAGUACUAGUCAUUUGGAAUUUGUGUGUGAAUAUGUAAUUUUUCAAACAAUUUUUUUUUCAUUUAUAAAACUCAUAAAAACUCAUAUAUUUCAUUUCAUAAAAUCACAAGUGUCUCAAGUCAACAUAAAUCCACAAGAAAAAUCAAAUCCUAGAAUCCUCAACAUAAUCUCGAACAGGUGUGUACAAUCACGUCGGUGCCUUCCCGCGAUCCUCGGAGGUACUUGAAACACAUAUCACAUAGCACGGUAAGCAUAAAGCUUAGUGAGUUCCUCAAAAUACCAUGCACACACAUAAUUAGCCACUCGAGGCUAUCGCUCUGUAAGACCCUCCGGUUAAUGUGUCUUAGCGAGACCCACCAGUCCUACAAAUCGUCAGACCCUCCGGUCCGGUCUAAGUGAGAACCCUCCGGUCUCACUACUCGUUGGACCCUCCGGUCUAGUCUAAGUGAGGACCCUCCGGUCUCAUAGUUCGUUGGACCCUCCGGUCCGGUCUAAGUAUCUCAUAAUAUAGUACACAGUAUAUAUCACACAGAAAUACAUAACUCAAGCAAGCACAUAAGACCCUCUGGUCACACAUAAUGACCACACUAGGUAAGGUAUAAUGAGAAGACUCACCUCCUAAGAACUCGGAUAAUCUCAAACUCAAAUCACAGGUUUAGCCUCCGCCUAAUAUACACAAUAAUUAUCCCUAAUUAAUAACGGCUCUCACAAGGCUGAACUAACCCUUCCAUACACUCACAGAAGGGUAAAAGACCAUUUUACUCCUCCAUGGGCUUAAUAGACCACAUGUUGACCAAACCCUAAAAGUCAACCGAAAGCCAACAGCAAGGAGUACGCUGUGCGUACCAACUCCCUACGUUGGGCAUACUCGGCUGCCAUGCAGGCAUCGUGGAGACUCGACCUCUACGUUGUGCGUACUGGGAUUAUGCCCAGCGUACAUCCUAGUUUCACUCUCCUCACAAUUUUGGUCUUAAACAGUUAAUACAUUGGCUCAUAAUUCAGAUCUGGACUCCCUAAUGUCUCUUAAUCCAUAAAGUUGGUGACUUUAAGCCUUUGCGUGGCUAAAUAGGUCACAAACACUGAAAACUCCCAUCCCCUUUCCUCAUGAAACUCAUAACUCAUGCAUGGCUUACUCCUAAUGUCCAAGAUUAGAUUUUUAUGACUUUACUCCACAAAAUACACUGAAAAGGGAUAGAUCAAGGCCUCUAGAGUGCAUUAUCUCAUAAAGUCUCCAUCUUUUGGGAAAAAACCCUAAAGUAAUUCAUAUGAAUGCACCAAACAAACAAAUGAGAAAGCUUGAAGAUUUAUACCUUUAUGUGAAACCUUCUUCACAGCUAAGCUCAGAUCCAACUCCUGGGGCUCUCACUCCUUCUUCUCUAAAGCUUCCUCUCUACUUCAAGAACACAAGAUUACACCAACAAGCUCUCAAAUGCACUCUCCAGCUAUAAUGACGGAGAUUUAGGGUUAGGAGGGGUUGGUGUUUGGGAAUGGUGGCCAGGAAUGAGGCCAUCAUGUCCUUUAAAUAGUGAGCUCAUUAAAAUUUAGGGUUUCAUUAUGGGCCUAGCAUGCCCAGCGUACCCACUGGUACGUCGCGCGUACUAGGUGGCCUCCACAUCACUAACACGCAUUGGAGUAUGCUGAGCGUACACUCAAGUACGCCCCGAAUACUCGUUUACCACCUUUUCUCUAAUAAGGCCAAAAUGGACAAAUGCUCAAUAGAUCAAGGUUUACAAGGUAUACCUGGACUUGGGAUGUUACAUCGUGUGUGAGUCUCUUGUAGUUCGGGGAAUAUAAUAAGUUGCUUGUAGUGGAUUAAAUAAUCUCAGAGUGGUUGAUUUGAUUCUAUUGCGCAGUUCUCGUCUGAGUCUAACCAUUGCAGGGAUGAAUCUUCUACUCAAAGGAUUAUCUGAGCCUAUUGUCGAGUAUAAGUGUUCUGUAGCUGCAAAUGAUCUGUUUUUUGGUUCCUUUAAAAGCAUUAAGAUAUUGGUUUUAUAGUGGUUCAGAGAGGGGGAGGGGGUGAUCAGCCAGGAAGUCAAAUCAAAUUGAGAUUUCAGGUAUCAGGAAAGGUAAAGGUGGGUUUUUCUGCAAGGGAUUAAGGUUCGUUCUGCUAGGGUUGGUUUCAGUUGCUAUGGGAAGGUGGUAGUAUUAUGGGGUUGUGAAGAUGAGUCCUUAUGGGGACAGUGUUAUCUGGUGCUAUCUGUCAUGGAGUUCGGCAAUGUCCAGGGUUUUCCAGGUUCAAGUUUAAUGGUUAGGGAUCUUCUAUUUUGGAUUUGUCAUCGGUAUGGGUGGGCGGUUAUCUAAGCGGGGUGACUUCCUUAGUCUUUUGGGGUUCAAGGAGUUUAGUCAGGAUCAUCAGUUCGGUACACGAGAUUUUAGGGAAUGAUUUCGAGGAUGAAAUCUAAUUUAAGUGGGGGAGAGUUGUAACAUCUGGAAUUUACAAGAAUAAUUGUGGAAAUAAAUUCCCUUUCUAGGGACCAACACGGCGAGUUGAUCGUGGGAAACUCGACGUAUUGGAGGCUUUUGGGAUGAGCGUUUUUAUAAACCAAUUCAAUGAGUUGGUGAAGGGAACUCGGCGAGUUGGACGCUAAUCGAAAAACCCUAAUUUUUAGGUUGUUGUACCCUAUCUAAAGGCCUUAAGUUCUUUGGUUGGCCUCCUUACCAGCCUCCUCUGUCCAAAAACCCUAAAAUCGAGCCUUAUCUUCCAUUGUUGAGUGUGAAAGCUUGGGGAGAGCCUUGAGAGUUUAUUUUUGGUGCUAGUUGAAGGAGCUAAGGAAUUAGGAGUUCCUUUCCUUGAAGAAGAAAUCUUAGAUCCAGAAUCUCUGCCUCAUUUGCCAAGUUUUUGAGGUAUCAAGUUCUCACCUUGCCUGUUUGUUUCAUAGAUCUCUUCUUGGGUUAGAGUUAAUGCUUUUUAGCCAUGGUUGGGUGGAUUUUGGGGAUUAGGACAUCCCAAACGAUUAUUAUUUCAGAUCUAAGGUAUAUAUGAGCUCUUUUGGCAUAAAGGUGCCAACUUUAUUGAUUUAAGGGCUUCAUAGAGUCAUUAAUUCUUUCAUUUAGCCGUUUUUGAGAUUUUGUGCUCGUCCUAGUCAUGCUUAAGCGUAAAGUUGGAAACUUUACAUGGCCAUCUAGCCUUAUGGGUUCAGAUCUGCAUUAUGGGGUUUUGUCUUUGCUGAUUAAGUGCUUAAUGAUUAAGCUAUCACUCUUUUAAUUCUAAGGUUUGGGUUUGGACCCAUUUAGGUGGUUCCUAGGGGUAAAGUUGGAAACUUUAACCUUCGGGGUCUUAUUUUGGUCAAUAGCUGAGUUUGGAGCUCUUGGAUUCGAUGAAGGUAGCUUAACGCAUUAAGCUGUUGGACUUUUAGAGCUCAUAUCGUGAGUUCGAUCUUAUCCAUCCGCUGAAUCGACUUCUGACAGCCCGACUCUGGAACCCAUCCAUCACUGGCUCACGUCGUGAGCUUCAUGCUCACGUCAUGAGUCCUCUUAUAGUGUGGGGUUGAGUCUUUUACUCGAAGGAUUAUUUGAUCUUUGUUGCGUGUGGCUAUAUUAAUGAGGAAGCUAGUUGACAUUGGUGGGAUUCCUUUAGCAGUUGAGGGUUUGGUGAGGUCGGGAACCUAGGAAAGCCUAGGAUAUGCUUUAGUGGGUUAGUGGUACGGUUUAGUGAGUUUUGGUGCAUUGUGCUGAAGAAGUGACUUAGAGGAUUCGAGAGGAUUACUGAGGAAAGUAUGGAUAGGUGGGCUUUAGAAUGGAACCCAAUUGCUAGUUGGGUGUUAUUGUGAUCUGAUAGCUCGGAGGUGUCGUCAGGGCACUAAUGUCGGCCCAUUUGGUUUAUGUAUUAUAGGAAGACCCAGGGGAUAACCCUGGGCAGUUUGUAUGAAAGACCAGGAGGCGGCUCCUGGCAAACUGUAUGCAAAACCAGAAUCUGAACUGUGGUAGUUAACUAGUUAACUAGUGUAGAUUGUAUGCUAGUUGUCUUUGUGAUGCUUGCAUGGAAGACUCGGAGGUGGCUCAUGGCACUUUUUUGUAAGACCGCAGGUUUUGGCCCCCGCCCUGACAAGGAAGACCACGAGGCGGCUCGUGACAUAAUGGAAAGACUAUGGAUGACACAUAGCACCUUUACUGAUUGUAGUAUAUGUAUGCUAAGUAUGGCUUGUUGAUAUGAAUGUUAUUUAUGGUUCAAUCGGUAUGUUUGGUAUGUGGUAUUUGGGGAACUCAAGAAGCUAUGUGCUUACAUUUUGUGCUUUAUGGUUUCAUGUAAUUCCAUUUUGAAAGGAAAGGGUUCGGCUUAAUCGCAACGCAUACACCCAUGUUUUCCGCAAUGUGUGAUAUUUAGGAAUGAACUCUGAUAAUUGUUUUAUUUUGAAACUCUUCUAGAUGUCGGAUUAAAGGUUAAUGAAUGUUUUGGGCAUAAUAAAAACGAAAUUUUUACCCCUGAUUUUCGGGAUGUUACAACAUUUAUUACCAUUUAUUGACAUUUAAAUUGGCCACGACAUGUUUGAAACCAUUUGUGAUAGCAUAAUUAUCAAAUCAAAUAACUCUAUAUAUUGAGACAAGAGCAAUGUUAUCCAUGUGGAUAAAAUGUAUUUCUAUUUUUUGUAUUUUAAAUUCAUGUAAUACAUGGAACAAAAUUGAAGAUGAUAUUCUAUUUCAUGUUAUUGGUCUCAAUAUCUGACACUUUUAGUAUCUAGUAAAUUUUAAUUUUCAUAUGUAAUAUCUUAAACAAUAAAAUUCUAUAAAAUGACGAUGUAUUUUUUCCAUGUCAAAUGUGAUUUUUUUUUUGUAUCAAAGUAGUGUAUUUUAAAAAGAUAUUUACCAAGUUGGAUUGAGUGACAAGUGGAUUGAGUUAACUGAAAAAAAAAAUUAUUUUUCAUGGGUUAGAAAAGAUGAAAAAAAAAAGUUGAUAUAGAACUCACACCACAUGAAUGAUUUGACACCGUUCUACUCCUACGACCUUUACCCCCAACAUCGAAUUCAUUAUGAUUGUUAGCCUAUCUUACGAGACAGACAUGACCUCCUACUACCAUGUAUACUAAGUCCCACUAUUUAUAACUCUACCCUAUAAAACUCGACGGAGCGCUGGGGUGAAGGGUUACGGGAUCCUUUCCCGCUCACCGGAACANNNNNNNNNNNNNNNNNNNNNNNNNGGGGGGGGGGGGGGGGGAAGGCUGCUGCACUCUCUCUCUCUCUCUUCUUCCUAUUGGCUGGUUUUUUUCCCAAGCGAACUGUUUGAAAUAAAUAACAAAAUUAAUUUUUUUUUCAAUACAACUAUUGAAAAACAACAAUGAAUUUAUAUAUAUAUAAUUUUGUUUUUACCUCUAUAACAUCUAUAAAUAUACACAUACUUUAACCUUUCAAACUCACACCUCCUUCUAUGAAUUUCUCUGUACUUUCUUCAAAAAAAGGAAUCCAUACAACCAAACCCCAAACUUCGAUAGAAGGAAAAAAACCAAUGUUUCAAAUUUAAGCACCCCAACUCGAAACAUUUUUGAUAUCGAUUCAUCUCAAGGGGUUUAUCGUCCACAACUCGAUGCUCACAUUUAAUCUUCACUACAAUCACAAUACCAAAAUAUUAGACAAUUUUACCCGAUGCAAGUUCCAAAUGUUACUCCAAAUAUGCUAUUAAACUUUGUUGUUUUUCCUGAUCAACUUUCGCCAAAUCAACCCCAAACUCAAAUCCCACUCUUUCAAUCUCAAACCCAAACCCAACCUAAGCCCAAACACAAUAUCAACAACAAUACCAAAUCUUCGAUGAGUCGGAUGAAGAGAUUGUACGGGAAACUCAACCCACAACCCCCAACCCCACAAAGUAAAACAACAAGUGAGAGAGGGUUCCAUACAACCGGGACGACAGAAGCCGCAACCAUGGACUAAACGAGAAGAGAUAAUUGGGGUAAAAGCUUGGGUUGACAUUUCAGAUGAUUCAGCGACAGGAAAAUGCACAACCUGAGGAUCAUUUUUGGUUUCACAUUCUUGAGAGGUUUCAUAAGGAGAUGGGAAAAAGUGACGAGUAUCGUACCAAUCAUCAAUUGAAUUCAAAGUUUCGAGAAAUAGCGUGGGCCGUUUCAAAAAUGAGCGGGUGUACAACAACCUAAAAACCUAAUGGAAAAGCAGCCAAGGAGAUGAAGAAAUACUUCAGGAAGUUUUGCAUUUUUUCGAGAGGAAGUGGGAAAGUCAUUCAAGUGCCACGAUUGUUGGAAAAUAUUGAUUAAAAGUCGUAGGUGGAAAAAAUACGAGCAAGAGUUUAUACGUCGAGUACAACAAUCAAAACGAACAAAAAUGAGCUCUAGUGGUUACACAACUUCCUCCGAUGCUCGGGUCGGUCUAGAUUUAAAUGACGAGGACGCACUCGAGCUAGAAGAAAUUGUCCGACCGAUAGGUAGGGACAAAGCAAAAAUGAAGGGAAAUGAGACUUCUUGGGGUGAAUCGAAUUUCAGCAUGGACGCGGACCAAGUGCGAAAAAUGGUGGAGAUAUUUGAUCGAUAUAAUCUUAAUUUUGCUGAAAGUUUUGGCAUUCGACAAAGACAAAGAAGGAGAAAAAAAGAAGGAGAACGCAUAGAAACAAGAAAUGGAGGAGAUGAUGUUAUUGAUGAAAAAUACCGACCAUCUUUCGGGACUAGCUUCGGAGCUCGUUUUGAAAAAAAAAGGUGCGGAUUAUGCAAAAAUAUUUUCCCUAAGAGUGUUGUUUGUUUUUUUUUUCUAGUUAUUUAAAUCUUAGGUUUUUAUGUAAUUUUUAUUAUAAUUAACAAUGGCGGAGUUACUAUAUCAUUAUAAAUAAUAUUUUGUUUCUUAUAAUGAUAAUCUUUCCUAAUAAAUAAAGAACUUUUUGUCACAUGUCAAACUCUCAUUGAUUUGACCACAUGUCAUUUUGUGGUUAUUUUCAAUUAAUUUUUUUUUACACAUGUCAUUUUGGGGUUUUUUCAUUUUAUUAAUUUUCACAUAAUAUUUAAAUGUAAUAAUUACAAUAAAUAUAAUAAUAAAAUGCAUAUCAAUUUUAUUAAUUGACUUCCUUUUAAUUUUAAAAUUUCUAAAUUAAAGUUUCAUUAGUUUCCUUUAUUUAUUUAUCUAAAUUAUUUGUUUAAUUUAAAAGAAAAACAAACAAUUUAAUUUUAAUAAUUAAAUGUUUUUCUAUUGUUUUCUUAUAAAUUCAAACUUGUCAAAUGUUUAAAAUUUUAUAUGUUUUUCUUUAAAAUGAACUCAUGUAAUACAUGAGUGUUACACCUAGUGAUAGAUUAUAUCACGAGUACAAUUCAUUUAAUGAAACAUAUGUACGUAUAAUUAGAGAAAAUUUUUAAUAUUAGCAUGUUAAUCCUCUCUAAAAAAUAAAAAUAAUUUUGCCACAUAUCACUCUUUUAUUAAUUUGGACACAUGUCAUUUUUUGGUAUUUUUGAUUAAAUGUUUUUUCCAUUUGUCAAUUUUUUAUUUUUUAAUAUUUUCUUAAUUAACACAUCAUAUAUACACCUCAAUUAAUAAUUACCUUAAUUGAAAAUAACCAAUAAAUUACAAUAUUAAUAGUCAUAUAGUAUUUAAUAUGUUUCCUUUUAAAUUUAAAUUUUAAAAUUUUAAUUUCAAAUCUAAAAUUUCAAAUUUGAAUAAAAUUUGUUUGAACUUUUAUAUUUAAUUUUUGUUUUAUCAAACUCGUAUAACAUACGGGUCUCACACCUAAUGGAGAAUUAUAAAUCAACGUUUAUUGUCGGUCUAAACUUUUGAAAUGUCAUUUUUGCAAUGAUCGGUAUAACUUCUCCUUAAAGGAAUUUUUAUAGUCAUUUUCUCUUUCAAGAUUGUAGACUCUUUUACAUUAUUUUGAUAAAAGAUAUAUUUGAAUAUAUUUUUACGACGUCGGCUUUCCUUAUUCUUAAAUCCUGGCUCCGUUCCUUUUAAUUAAUGUAGUGGUUUUUAUUUUUAAUUAUAUAUAUAUAUAUAUAUAUUACUUAUUCAUUUAUAAAAUUAUAAAUCAUAAAAUCAAUUAUUUUUACUUAAAAAAGAGUGAUACACCUUUACAAAAUUAUAAACCAUAAAAAUCAAUUAUUUUUACUUAAAAAAUAGUGAAAAAACCUUCCCACAUACACCUUGGUUUCUAACUAAGAAAAAAAAUGUAGGAAAAAGGAUAAAAUGAUAAAGAAAAAUAAUAAAAAAAAAAAUAAAAACCUUCCCGUACCCACCCUCCGGCAUAAGAAGGUGCGUCCCUACGAGUACAAGAUACACAGGUGUAGAUACAUAUGUAAAAAGCUAGUAAUUAACCAACUAAUUAUUAAUUAUUAAAUAAAAUAGGGAUAUAAUAUUAAUGAUAAACACAUUAAAAUAUUCCAAAUGCUCAUGAAGUCAACAUGAGAAAUUAUAUUGCAAUAAAUUUCUUGUUGGGUGAGAAAUUCACAAGUAAAAUUUGUAUAGUAAAUAACAAACCGAAAGUUCCAGAAACAGGUCAAAACUUAAAACCCUAAAUGAGCUUACAAAUUUCCAUUGGCCACAUACCCCACCACAAAGGCACAAACAAUCAAUGAAACAAGUGUAGAUGUAGAGGCCUUUUUCACCACAAUCACCCUUCAUCGGCCAUUUCGAAGGCCACGUGAAAUGUCACUAACGUGGCCCUCUAAAUAUCCACUACUUUGUCUUUAACCCCUCCCCCCUCCCUUAUAAAACACUCCAUCCUCCUCCUUAAUCACCAUCACCAACAACCUUCUCUCCUUCCUCAAAAGUACCACCAUCUUUUCCGACAUGGCAGCUUCUUCAAUCUUCAUGGCAACUCCCAUCACACUCCUCAAAAAAACUCCCACCUUCUCCGUCAAAUGCAUGUCACAAACACCUCAAAGCGGUGAACCGGAGAUUUCAAAAUCAGCAACCACCCCAACACCACCACAGAUCAACAUUCCUCCUCCUCCGCCACCUGCUCCAAAGGUCAGCACGAAAUUCUCUGACGUGUUGGCGUUUAGUGGACCUGCACCGGAGAGGAUCAACGGAAGGUUGGCGAUGAUAGGGUUUGUGUCGGCGAUGGCUGUGGAAGUGAGCAGCGGUCAAGACGUGUUUACCCAGAUCGGCAACGGCGGAGUUGCGGUGUUUGUGGGGACUAGCGUCGUGUUGACGUU
rnacentral:lncRNA from 1 species